rnacentral:lncRNA from 1 species
GUUAAAGCGGGUGAAAGCUUCGCGUCCCAGUAGUGCUUGAGGGCCACUGUGAAAUGGGGCGAUAUGGAGAGUGAGCUUUUCGCGACGGAGAUUGUCGGAUGAACCGAACACAACCUCUAAUGGUACAAAGCCUGUACAAUUGGCUUAAAGGCCUGGCGUCACUCCUUUGAAGGAAGUGCUGCUACAGCGAAUUUUGGUAGGGUCUAUCCCCAUUCUGCGGACGGUGUCCUGGUAUGGGAGGUGCCGCAUUGUAUUUUCGUGUUAUCACAUGAAGUGAGUUCACUGUUUUGACUUGUAGUGGGAAAGUCUUCUGUUUUCCGGCGUGCUGCUUGUGGGGUUCGUCGUCGUCUUCGCUUGGUGUGUCGAGCCCCUUGCGUUCGGCGUAAAGUCGGCCGGACUGCUUGAAGACCCAACAAUCUCUGUGGGUAUGGUUUGUAGGCUUCCCGGAGGUACUAUGUAUUUGACAUAGCCUAUCCAGAAUUUUGUUUAAGUUGGAUAGCUCAUCACUGUUGUCCUUGAGGGGCAGUGUUUUGUUAUUCGGCCGAGAGCUUUUGAAUCCGGCGUUGACCACCGUGCUAUUUGGGCCAUUUUACUUAUUCCGGCGCUGAUCUUUUCUGCAUCGUGAUUUCCCAUUUCCAUCCCUGACUUCGGAUGUACUUGGGACACUGGUACUGCAUCUAGCCAGCCAGCUGUCUUCCCCUGCGCAAAAGCGGGUCAUGAGGCUUGUUAGUGCGGCCAUUGUUCUUGGCUUUUCCUGGCCGAGGUGUCUGUCGAGCCAUUCGUCUCGGACGUUGUGCUUAAAGGCUGCUAAGGCUUCGGCGUCCGGACAGUCGACUAUUUGGUUCUUUUUGGUGAGGAACCUGUUCCAGAAUUUGUGUGGUGACUCUCCUGGCUGUUGAGUUAUGUGACUUAAAUCGUCUGCAUCCGGGGGGCAGACAUAAGUCCCCUGAAAAUUUGCUCGAAACGCAUCCUCGAGCUCUUCCCAACUUCCAAUGGUAUUUUCUGGGAGGCUUUUGAGCCAAUGCCGAGCUGACCCUUUGAGCUUGAGGGGUAGGUAUUUUAUGGCAUGGAGAUCGUUUCCUCUGGCCAUAUGUUUGUGUAGGAUAUAAUUUUCAAUCCAGACUCCAGGGUCUGUUGUUCCGUCAUAUGCCUCUAUGUUUAUGGGUUUGAAUCCCGCUGGAAAUUCAUGAUCCAGUACCUCGUCGGUGAAACAUAGUGGGUGUGCAGCGCCCCUGUAUUUGGGUGUGCCGUUGUCUUCAAACACUCGGCGGGUUGUGUUGCUUCCUGGAGUCUUAUUUUUUGGCCCGUAGAUAGACCUGACCGGGUCAUCCUUUUUCCGAGGAUCUUUAUGCUGAUCAUGUGCCGGCUUGUGUGCGGAGCCCCUUGCUGCUCUUAGCAUGUCAUCUGGUCGUCUAUCUGGCCAAGUGGCCUCUUUCUUUUUUGACUGCGGGGGCUCUAAGGCCUCCUCGUUGAAUUCGGGCAACAGCUUGCGCUUCGGGUAGCUCUUUGCCUGGCGACUAGCGUCAUAUUUAUCUGCGGUAUUGAGUACUUUGCUCCAUCUCAUUCUGAGUGCGUCCUCUGCUAUUUUGAGCUUCCGCUUUUGCUUCUUCAAACUUCUUGCAGUAGCGACGAGCCUUUUAUGAAGGUUCUUAUGCUCUAGUGAUGUGUUCGGUGUGAGAUCGUCUAGGCUCUUCUUUUCGUCGGGGAUGGGUUGCUUGGUGGCAUGUUCGCCGUCCACUCCUUCGCCCUGAUCUAGGGCCGAGUCCGUAUGGGUGCCGUUUUUAUCGAGGCGGGACUUCGGGCGGCGCUUGCGUCACCGUUUUGGUUGUUUGUUGGGGGAGUUGUCCUUCGCCACGUCCCGUUGUUUCUCAUUAUCGCUUCCUUUUGGUGUAUCCACCAUGUAUAUGUCGUGAGUUGGGGUGGCUUUCCAGUGCCCGAUAGGCACUGGUUCUUGGUCGUCUCCGGCAUCAUCGUCCAUACCGUCGAUGUCUUCGGAGUCGAAGUCUAGCAUGUCGGUUAGAUCGUCGACAGUGGCUACUAAGUGGGUGGUGGGUGGGCGUUAAAUUUCUUCGUCGUUCGCAUCCCAACCGUCCUGACCGUAGUCCGGCCAGGCCUCUCUUGAUAACGAGAGAUGCUUUAGCAAACUCAAGAUGUCGCCGAAAGGUGAGUGUUGAAAGAUGUCCGCGGCGGCGAACUCCAUGAUCGGCGCCCAACCGGAUUCAAUUGGAGGGGGCGCGGGAGGCUCGGAGUCCGGCGAGGAGUCCGGCACCUCGGAGUCAUGGGCUUCACGAGGGACAAGAUCAGUGUUCGGCUCUAUCGCUGUAGAGGUUGCAGCCCCCGAGGCGGUGUCUAGCCAUCCGUCCUCGAUCUGUGCCGCCGGCUCCCAAUUGAAGAUCGGAGCAGACUCGAGUGCGGCCUCCAGGAUACUGUCCGGCUGCAGAGCUAAAUCAUGCCCAUCGUGACAGUGCGGCACGCUCGGCUGUGGCUCAAAUCCAUCGAGGAUCAAGUCCCCGCGGAUGUCAGCCGUGAAGUUCAAACUUCCAAAUCUGACCUGACGGCCAGGGGCGUAGCUUUUGAUCUGCUCCAGAUGGCCAAGCGAAUUGGCCCGCAGUGCGAAGCCGCCGAAUACGAAGAUCUGUCCGGGGAGGAAGGUCUCACCCUGGACUGCAUCGUCGUUGAUGAUCAAAGAAGCCAUCGAGCCUAUCGGUGACGACACAGAGGAGCUCUCAAUGAAAGCACCAAUGUCGGUGUCAAAACCGGCGGAUCUCUGGUAGGGGGUCCCGAACUGUGCGUCUAGGCAGAUGGUAACAGGAGACAAGGGACAUGAUGUUUUACCCAGGUUCGGGCCCUCUUGAUGGAGGUAAAACCCUACGUCCUGCUUGAUUAAUGUUGAUGAUGUGUGUUACAAGAGUGGAUCUACCACGAGAUCAAGGAGGCUAAACCCUAGAAGCUAGCCUAUGGUAUGAUUGUUGUUCGUCCUACGGACUAAAGCCAUCCGGUUUAUAUAGACACUGGAGAGGGCUAGGGUUACACAGAGUCGGUUACAAUGGUAGGAGAUCUACAUAUCCAUAUCGCCAAGCUUGCCUUCCACGCCAAGGAAAGUCCCAUCCGGACACGGGACGAAGUCUUCAAUCUUGUAUCUUCAUAGUCUUGGAGUCCGGCCGAUGAUGAUAGUUCGGCUAUCCGGACACCCCCUAGUCCGGGACUCCCUCAAGGGCAUUCACAUUGGUUCUCUCCUUUAGUCGUCAUGCUUUCCGUUUGUUGGAUGAUUCUGUGGCGGCGGCAUUGGAAGCUGCAAUUGGUGGCUCUGUGAUUGAUCUUAGGGUGGGUUCACAUCAAAGAUAAGGUCUAUUCCUUUCAAUUUUCUUGCAAGCAAGUUGGUUUUCUUAUUAUGGAACUUUGAUAUUUUUCUUGCGAUCUGUUUAAGUGUUACUUUAAUCUCUGGGGCAAUGGGGGCCCUAACUGGGUUAGAGAGCUUAAGAUCUGGCGUAAAGAAUGUGAUGUAGAAUGGAUCUUGGUUAGUUCAACUAAGCGUUGAUCAUCCCUAGGUCUAUUGGCCAUGCAUAAACCUCCUAUUAGAUCUUCCAUAAAACCGGCAGACUCUGCUAAGAAGAAACUUUAUUUUGCCACUUUUGAGCAAUACUUAGCAUGCAAAGGUUAUAGAUAUCCUGCAAUGCAGAAAUAUAUUGAUACGAUCAAUGAUGGAGGAUAUGAGAUUUCUGCUCAUGAGUGUGUUGUCAUCCGGCAGUCUCCUCCCAUGGACUUGCAUUGGACGGUGGCUAGACCACCUAUUGUUUUUGGUGCGGUUGCUCCGUUGCCGGAAUUGGGCCAGCGGGCGACCUCCAUGCUAGAGAGCUCUUCGGAAUCUUUGGAACGGAAUUUUGUGCAUGGAGGUGAUAUAUCCGUGUGGAUCCUGGAGGCGGGAUUGACAUCUUUUAAAAAUGAUCAAUUAGUUAUGGACCUAAUGCAAUGUGAUAUCCAGACGGGCGGUGGCCCAUCGCUGAAGAAUAGCCCAAUUUUUGAUGGGCCUUCUAGCUCCUCUGGCCCAAGCACAAUGCCCAUUGCUUAGGAUAUUCCUACCUCUUAAGAGGUUUCUUGGCAAUUUCUAGAAAUGGUCAAUGACAUGGUGGACCGCAUUGUUACUUGUACUAUUUGUUCUCAGAGGUGCCACCUGUCAUCUGUGUGUGGAAUUCGAGCGGUCUGCACGGCUUGCUCUUGCUCGGGUCACUCUAGGAAGGACUGCCAUGAUUUCGUGCCCUCCAAUGGAUUGGUUUGGAAGCCAAUUCCUGAGGAACAAAAUACAAGUAUUUCGGAAUUAUCUGCCUGUCAUGGGAAGGGAGCCGGAGUUAUCGGGAUAGACUACCCGGUCGCAUCAUCAUCGUCCGCAUUGCUGCAAACCCCCUCUCCUCCUUCCAAAGAAAACCCUAGGUCAGCUUGUCCAUCUCCAUCCAUGGCGAACUACGAGCUCGAUCCUCAGUGCUUUGUGCCUGUUGGGCAUCACAUCAUUCAUGGUGGCGACCGACAUCUUCCUUGCACCUUCUUCACACUAGCAGUGCGCCCGCUUCGCCGCCAUGAGGAUUACAUGGUGGCUAAGGUGAUGCCCGCCCUGGAGGGGCCAUUCGAGCCAGUCCACAAGGAGAUUGUGCAGGUCCUGCAGAACAGAGGUAUCCUGGUUUGCUCUGUUCAACAGUGGUUUCAUGGGGUCAGUCUGUUCCAAUUUAGAGCCAAUUGUCAGAUAUUCUCUAGUUCAGCAUGCUCCUUUUCCGCUUGGCAAUGAUUGAUUUGUUAGAUUUAUGAAGCAUGAUGAGGGGGGCAGUUUUAAGGGAGUUCAUGGUUUCUGCAAUGGCUAGAUAAUGUUUAUUGGCAUUCCCCUAGAUCAUUGCACAACUGAGUUUAUGUUUCAAGCAGUAGGCACUUUUGGAAGUUUCGAUCUUGGGACAGUGAAGAUCCAUACUUGGUUCACACCUUGGUUGAGGCUAGUUUCCCUGACACUACUCUAGUUCCACGUGAUGUGGUUUUUGGUGAUUAUGCUAAGUGGGGUGGUGCGCGUGUCUCCUAGAUUGCAUCAUGCUAUGUUCUUGGUGCCGAUUUUACUGAUCAGAUGCCAAAUGAUGAGGAUCCAAUGCCACUUGAUGGUAAUCCCCAUUCACUACCUAGAAAUUUAGUUCCUAACAAUCUGUCAUUUGUGUUGCCUCCUUAUCCUAUGUUGGUACGGAAUGAUGCUCCUGGUGUUGCCCCUCCUCCGCCUGAGAAUAAUGCUGAUGCUGCUUGGGGCAAUGUUGUUUGGGGAGAGAAUGAUUUUGAGUUGGAACAGCCUCCACAACCUAUUGUGCCAGAGCAAGAUCAGGUUUCCAUUGUCAUUGAUCAGCCAGAAGGUUCAGUUUUUGUGGAACAACAAGUGCAUGAACAACAAGUGCAGGUCAACAUCAAGUGCAGGUGGAGUAGCAGGUUGUGCUUCUUGAGAAUCCACUGGCAAUUGUGCCCUAUCAACCUCCUGUGAUUCAACAUCAUGAGGUCUUCAUUGGCAUGGCUCGUAUUGUGGCUGGACCACCUCUUCCUCCUGAGAUGAUAUGGAAGAGGUCCUUUGAGAACUUGAUGUUUGACUUUACUGUCAAAGAGGUGCCAAGGUCGAUUUUCUUCAAACCUCUGGGCAUAGUUACUUAUUCCAAGCGCACCUGAUCUAUUGUGUUUGAUGAAUCCAGGAAGAUGACUUGUUGGUGGCUAAUCUGAGGAGGGCUAUUGUGGUUAAGCGCCCGGUUGCCAAAGUCUUAUUCGAGGAACUGCCUACUGCUCCUACUCCUAUCUCUGACGAUGCUAUGCCUGACGGACCUUGUGAGAUGUCCCAAUCCUCACCUGUGGUUUUCGCUACAUAGAAGAAAGUUAAGGAGAAGAGAGAGAGAGAGUUAGGAAGAAGACGCCUGCCCCUCUUUUGGACACUUCCUUGAGGCGUUGCACCAGAAGCGCAACAAAGCUGGAUGGUUUUAAACAUGUGGUUUUUGAGCAGCUCCCUCUACAGCCCACGAAGAAACGGCCUCGCUCCAAGCCCAUAGAUGUCAAGGCCCAGCCCAACUCUGAAGAUGAUCACAGCCAGGAUAAGCAAGAAGAUGUUCCUCCUCACACCCCCAAUCAAGGUCCUGCAGGAGGUGGGAGCCGAGCUGGAGAUUGAGUCAUCUCUCAUUUCUUCGGACAAGCUUACGGCUGAUCCCAAGGAGGACUCCUCUACCUCUGCUGUUUAAAUGUUUAUGUUAGCCACUAUAAAUAGGUGUAGCGAUCAUGUUAAGUCUGUUACUCUUAUUGUCAUGCUGGUUUAUGUUUCAAAUGGUGCAGACUGCUUUUGUCAUUUGUAAUGCUCUGGGAUGUAUGGCAUUGUAUGCCAUACUAUUUUUGGUUCGAACAUGUUUAGUUAUUAAUGAAUCAAGUGUCUACAUGUAGCUGGAAAAUCCUCUGCUGGAAUGUCAGAGGUCUGAAUUCUGAUGCACGACAAUGAUCUGUCAGAGAGAAAGUGCUUGAGAGUCAAUGUGUUGUUGUUUGUUUGCAAGAAACCAAGCUUUCUCUUUGCACUCUUGCACUUAUUAAAAGCAUUUGCCCAACUAGUUUUGAUCAGUUCAUUGAAUCUCCCUCAAGAGGAGCUUCUGGUGGUAUUUUAACGGUGUGGCGUUCAGAUGUUUUUCAUGGAAAUCUGGUGGAAGUAAAACCUUUUGGCAUUGUGAUCAGUUUCACCUCAGUGCAUAAUAAAGAACAAUGGUUUAUGGUGAAUGUUUAUGGGCCUUAUCAGGGUGAAAUGAGGGAUGAGUUUAUUGCAUGGUUAUAUAAUUUGGAGAUUUAACCAGAACAAAAGUUGAUUUUGAUGGGAGAUAUUAAUUUUAUUAGAUCGUUUGAUAAUAGAAAUCUUCCUGGAGGAUAUGUGAAUGACAUCUUCAUUUUUAAUGAGAUCAUAGGGCACUUGGGUCUUUUCGAACUUCCUUUAAAGGGGGGAAGAUUUACUUGGUCAAACAUGUAGGAUAUACUACUUAUGGAACAACUUGAUUGGGUUUUUACUUCUGCUAGUUGGAUCAAUCUAUAUCCUAUGACUCAAGUUACUCCUCUGGCAAAAACUACUUCUAAUCAUGUGCCUUGUCUCAUAUCUAUUAGCACUACUAUACCAAAAAAUCAUCCGUUCAGGUUUGAAAAUUAUUGGGUUCAUCAGCCAGGUUUCAUGGACUGUGUGCAGGAGGUUUGGGCUAGGAAUUCUCACAAAUCUCACAUUUCUGCAAUCAUUGUGGAUAAACUAAAAGCUCUGAGGUUUGCUUCGAAGAAAUGGCAGAAGGGGCUGUCCCACAUCAAAAGGUUGAUUGAAAAAUGCAACUGGGUGAUUCUUUGGUUGGAUAAUUUAGAGGAUUUGAGACCUUUAUCUAGGCGAGAGGCCAAUUUCAGAAAGAUUGCCAAAUUACACCAUGAACAUCUUUUGCAUUUUCAAUAUCUCUAUUGGAGAAAGAGGUGUACCAUUAGGUAUAUCAAAGUUGGAGAGGAAAAUUCCAAGUUUUUUCAGGCAAUGGCCACUGAAAGAUAUAGGAAGAAUGCUAUUGCAAGUUUGCAGUUAUCUGAUGGCAUUGUCACUUCAGAUCAUGAGGAAAUGGCCAAGGAAUUCUUACAUUCCAUCAAAAACUGAAUGGGUACUGUUAAGGCAAUAAAUUUAGGGAGGAACAUCCUCUCUUUAAUACCAAAGGUGCAGGGGCUUGAGGUCCCCACCAAGCCUUUUGAUGUCAAGGAAAUUGAAAAGGUGAUCAAGGAGCUGCCCAUUAAUAAGGCACCAAGGCCAGAUGGUUUUAAUGGCCUUUUCUUAAAGAAAUGUUGGCACAUCAUUUCUGGAGACUUUAUCAGAUUGGUACAUGAAUUUCAUGCUGGAACUGCUCAUUUGGAAAGUCUCAAUGAUGCCUUCAUUACCCUUAUUCCAAAAAAGCAGUCCCCUAAGUCAGUUGGUGAGUUUAGGCCAAUCUCCCUCACCAGUGUUGGUCUAAAGUUCCUCACUAAACUAGCUGCUAAUAGGUUUCAGGAGGAAAUCAUCAAGUGUGUGCAUAAGAACCAAUAUGGUUUCAUCAAGUCAAGCACAAUUCAGGACUGUCUUGCUUGGACUUUUGAGUAUAUUCAUCAGUGCAAUAAGUCAAAGAAACACAUUCUUUUGCUUAAGUUAGAUUUUGAAAAGGCCUUUGGUUCAAUCCAGCAUGACGCAAUUUUAAAACUUCUAGUUGCAAAGGGUUUUGACAAUUGAUGGAUCACAUGGAGUCAACAACUUCUAUCAUCUAAAACUUCUUCAGUUUUGUUAAAUGGAGUACCUGGAAAUCAUAUUAAAUGCAAGUGUGGUGUAAAACAAGGAGACUUGUUUCUCCUUUGCUCUUUGUUAUUGUUCCAGAUAUUUUGCAAACUAUGAUUACUAAUCUGUUGCACCAGGAUUUGUUAAGUCUACCUUUGCUAACACAUGACGAUGAUUACCCAGUGGUGCAAUAUGCUGAUUGUCGUGGAAUUGUCACAUCAGAUGUCCUAGUGUAAGGACUUAGUCGUGGAGCCAUCGCAAUGAGAUUAGCUUAAAGGGAUUAAAGCGAGCAAAGGACAUAGGGAGUUUAUACUGGUUCGCCCCUCGCGGUGAAGGUAAAAGCCUACGAUCCAGUUGUGGUGGAAUUGAUGGGGUUUCGAUGACCAGGGAGUGAAUCCGCUUUGCCUGGCUCUCAAGUUGUUGUUUGUUGUCCCUAAACCGCCGCCGGGUCGUCCCUUUAUAUACACAGGUUGACGCCCGUCGAUCUACAGAAUCCCGAGGCCUGUUCAUAAACGUGUCCGGCAUGGUAUCUACUCUUUCCUGCCUUACAUUACAAGUUACACGCCUAUGGCGGUUUACGUCUAUGGGCCCUAACCCGCCUUUGGGCUUUGGGCUCCCUUAUUAUGUUUCCUUCAUAAGUCAUCAUCUUCUAGAACUUCAUGGGUUUCAAUAUUGGUAGUCUCUCUAUGGAUAAACCAGCCCCUCCUGGGCGGUUUAUACCCACCAGUUAUAUCCCCAACAUUAGGCCCCAGAUUGAUUUGAACCUAUUCAUGUCAAUCUUCAACACUUAGAAAAAAUCCUUUUUCAACACUUAGCAUACGCCUUGUAAUCUGCCAUGACAUCAUCUUCUAAUAUUAUAAUAAACCACCAUGACAUCACAUGUUUAUUAAAAACCAUACGUACCUCCCCUUUAUUAAUGAGCCUCCAAAAAUCGAGGCGACAUCUCUGUCACUUAUCCAUUUUUUGGGCUCCUCGAUUCUCGUGCUUGUCGCUUAUCUCUUUGCCUUAUAAAUAACGUCGAGGGUCAUUUUUACUUUUCCUCUUCAGGCCUCUUCACCUCGUCAUCUUCCUCGCGCCGCCCCUAGCGUUUCGAGCUCAGCCACCACCGUCAAGCCUCGUCUUUGACCUCACCUCCGGUCGCUGCAUCACCCUGAACGCACCAGAAAAACACGGCGCAUCUCCACUGCUCCCUCAGCCUCGGUAAGCAUUCUCUCGUUCCACCCCAGAUCUACUACUAGGGUUUCUAUAUCCAUCGGUGUUCAUCAGUGUUCACCAAUCUUAUUUGCUUCCCCUAUCUUGUAGUUUGUUGAUGCAAGGCCUAGUGACCAUCGCGCGCGGUACUGAUCUUAGUACCCAUUUUUAAUAUUUGAAGGCCGCCCCUUUUGCAAGCGCUCUCAUCUGAAUCCAUGAACUGCUCUGCUGUCACAACUUAGGGUUUCAGACUUUUUCCCCUUUUUUUGAACUGUAUUUGAUCCAAAAUGAUAGCAUCAAUCUGUAAAACCUGUUUCUGCAACACUUAGUCACUUUUCACACAUAUAUCUAAAACUUGGCAACUGUGCGGGCGAUUUAACUUUUGAAUCAUAAUCCGCCAGGUACCAUUAGUCCCCUUUUAAACCGCCAACUGCUUAUCUCUGCAAACUGACAGUAUAUCUCCGGUUUACAACUCUUUUAUUCUUGAAUACUUCCUGCCCCUUUACUUUUCGCAAUUGAUCAUGACUUCUUAAACCGGCACCAAUCUUUUUCCAGCUUUUCCUUGAAAUGGCCAAGCAAUUUUAUGCCUGCAAUUGGGUUCCUUCUCGGGUUACCAAGAGCAGUUGAACAGGUGUGCUACAACUGGUGCUUUAGCGAGUAAGGAAAUCGUCCACUAGAGGGUCCCCAGUCCAGAAAAUCCUCCUGAACCCAAGGAUGGAGAGGUGACUGUAUUUGCUGAUCAUAUGGGUCGAGGGUUUAGCCCUCCUAGAUCAAAAUUCUUCCGUGAUGUGCUUGCUAGCUUCCAAAUCCGCCCUCAAGAUAUCGGACCGAACUCCGUGCCAAUAUUUGCGAUUUUCAAGUGUUUUGCGAGUCUUAUCUGCAAUAAGAACCUACCGUUGAGUUAUUCAGAGACUUUUUUUACUUAAACCGCCGUACUGAGUUUACGGACGGGCCCAAUACUGAACUUGGUGGAGUGUUAAUUCAAAAAAGGAAAGACGUCAGUUUUCCUCAUGCCAAGCAUCAUAGCCACCCCAAAGACUGGAAUCAGACUUGGUUUUACUGCCACAACACAGCUCCAGCUGACGAAAAUCCUCUGUCGGGUUAUCAUGCUCACCGGCUUACCAAUACACAUCCAUUCCCCCAAUGGCUCACUGCAGAGGAACAAACUAAGUAUGCCCCUCAACUGGCAAAGCUCAUAGUCUUUAUGGCAAAUGGUUUGACUGGCUUCGACUUUGUCCGUUGUUGGGUCUCUUGGAGCAUCUUGCCCUUAAGCCGUUGCCCCGGUUUAAUGUGCGAGUACACAGGGAUGUCAAAGACCCUCAGCAGCACAUUGAUAUUCAGCUGACUGACGACGAGAUUACCGAAUUUGUCAAGAAGAUGUUGGAUGAACCAGUAUCUGAGUGCAGCAAGACAGGGCUUAGUCCCUUUUGUGUCUCCAAUAAACCGCCAGCUGUAAGAAUUGCAUCAUUCUUGUCUUAAUUUGACCUGCUGUAAACAUGUCCUUGUAACUUGUUGUCCACCUCUUCAAGGUGAUGAUCCGUUCUGGAAGAGGAAGCCGCAGGAUAAACCGGUGAAACCACAAGAUAAACUGGUGAGAACGCCUCGUAUUAAGACCAAAGUUACAAAGAAACCUACCAAGAAGAAAACUGCCGAAUCCCCUGGCCCGAACAAUGAUGAAGAUCUUGAUGAUCCGGACUCAGAGGUAGAACUUGAUUCUCUUGGUUCUUUUUUCAUACACCUUAUUGACAACGAUCAUUACCAGGAUGAUGCGGAGGCUAGCCAUGCUGGUGAUGUAGAGGUAAUUACUCUUUCUUCUGACUCAAAUCCUCUGCCCACACCGAAAAUCCGUCGAGCAGUCCGGAAAGUAAAAUUUUCACACCCUCUAGCUUAUUCAGAUCCGCACUUUCUUUUGAGGGCACAACAGCAUGAAGCUCACCGCACAACCUGGCAUAGCAUCCAAGUGGUUACUUCCUCCGGUUUACCGAACACUCCGGUUCGUAAACACCGUCAAGAGGUCUCUUGUACUUGUGAUACACCUUGUCCUGGGGUAGGUUGUUUCUGAUAUCCUCUUAAUCCGUCUGACUCGAAUUACCAAGGAACCUCCCAUUCAUCUUCUGGCAAAUCAACCUCGACGAAGCUUCCACCCCUUAAAACGGUUCCUGGGUAAGCAGAUUUACUAAUCCAUCAUACCUUUAUAUUUUUAACCCUUGCAAUGUUCUGAUGCAUACUUAUUAUUUUCCAGGGCCAAAGCCAGAGCCAGAAAGAAAGCCAAAGUGAACCAACCGGCUGAAUACCCCAUUUGGGAUGAAUUAGAAAAGACUCCUGAAUCGUCAUGCCCAGAUGUUGACAACAUUCCAGAUGACCCGCCGUUGCCGGAUCAAGCAACUGAAGCUGAACACAUGGAUGUUGAUCCAAUGGCUCAUGCUGAUGACCCGCCAAGCCCAGCUAAAGGUACUGAUGACGAUGUUGUCGCUACUGGUAUGGGUUACGCCUCCCCUGGCAAUCCUAUCGCUUUGUCAAAGCAUGGUGCCAAAGAAGAAAUUCCUGCUCUAGACGAGGGUAAGUGGAAAACAGAUUUAUCAAGCUAUGCCCACCUCAACGCCCAAGACCUGCAUUCUGGAUUCUUAAACCGUCUGCACACAAGCCGCGACUAUAAAGACGAUUUAGUAGGCCUAAUGAAGGAGCGCUAUGAGGUAAAUCCUGUUUGAACUUUUCAUAUAUAUUCCUUCCUUCUGAUUUAUUGAUAGUAUCAACUCCAGUAGCCCCCAAGGGCCGGUUUAUCUCUUCAAGAUGAACCGGGACUUUAUAGAAUUCAACUUCACCUGUGUAGCCCCCAAGGGUCGGUUUAUCUCUUCAAGAUGAACUGGGACUUCAUGUUGUUAGGGUCAUACUUCUUGUUGACUACCUUUUGAAACCGGUUUACCAGGAAAAAAUCCUCAACUUUGUUUUUGACCAAAUAGGCAUUAGCCCCCAAGUGCCAAGAUUAAUACUUAUAUUGAGCCUUGGGACUUUACUAUAUUGGUGAUAAGAAGCAAUAGGCAUUAGCCCCCAAGUGCCAAGAUUAGUACUUGUAUUGAGCCUUGGGACUUUACCAUAUUGUUGAUAAGAAGCGAUAGGCAUUAGCCCCCAAGUGCCAAGUGUAUAACUUGUUAUGUGCUUGGGACUUCAAACAUGCACUAUCAACUCAUUAAGUGUCUCUUCCAGGCUGAUCUGAGCAAAAAAGAAUCUCAAAUCGCCGACCUUCAAGAAAAUAUCAAGUCCCAGCAAGCAGAAACUUCCAAGGCAAAAGACGAGCUGACCAGCGCCUUAACAGCCAUGGAACAAUUGAAGGAAAACUUUAAAAGUGAAUGGGCAGGAUGGGAUGCUGAAAAAGUAACUCUGGUAAAACGGGCGGAGGAUGCUGAGGUAGCCCUUAAUCCGGUUGUAGAAUAACUGGCCGGUUUGAAGCAGCAAAUCAAUGCUAUGACCACUGCUGUCUUCGGUAAAUAUCCUCUUCAUAAGCUUUAAAUAAAUAACCUCCAUGAUGUUGCCGGUUUACUAAUAUUUUGACCAUUGCAGGUAGCCGCAUUACACAUCUUGGCUUGGAUAUGCGCAAGAAACUGAAGGCUGCCUAUACACUGAUAGAGCAAUUAUAUGUCGGCGCUCAAUGGGUCAUCUACACAGCUUCUCAUAAUAAACCGCCCCCAACUUUAAUCAAGGAAACAUUGGAAAAAAUAUCCAUGAUGCCUGCCCGUAUUGAGGAAUUGAAAAAAUCAGCUGCUAGGGCCGGUGCUCUUACUACAUUGACUCGGGCCAAGGCAUGGAUAUCUUACCUUGAUCCAGAAGAUAUUGGAAAUGGCUAUCCAGGCCAAAAAGAGGAUGGGUCAGAUUUUGAUAAUGACGACCUCAGGGCCCUAACGAGGGAAAUGCAUCCAUUGGUGAGCAAACUAGCUGAAGACAUUGAUUUGUCAUUUUACCGGUCGAUUUAUGAUGCAGAUAACAAACGGCUUAAUGCGCCGACUUAUGAUGUGCAAGAUCUUAUCCCGCCAAUCCGUAAGCAUACCUACGCCCCUGAUGUUGAACUGUCCACCCUUAUAAAUGAUGAAGCUGUGUUCCGAGCCUUGACUGGGAUUGACUGGGCAACCAUUGACUUCCAGCCACUGGGUGGACAGGAGGAAGAUGAGCCGACGCAGAAGGAUCCACAACCUUCAAGUCAGGCUGGUGAAGAAUCAUGAUCCAAAAGCUGGUUUAGCUUCUGCAUACUGCAAUUUGUGGGAUAAACAAUUAUCCUUUUGGGCAUCAAAGCGCCUUGUAAUAGGCUAGUUGAAAACCUUCUUGGAUCUGAUGUUCCAUCAUGCACUUUGCAUAAUACUGUUAAUCUGUCAUGAUUAUGUUAUGUCUGCUUAUGUUCCUUAGGAGCUUUUAUUCAAUCAUGUUCCUGCAGACAACAGUUUGAAAGUGUCCUGGCGGUUUACCACCGUACGGGUCAUAAUGCCCAACAUGAAACCAUGGUUUAUAGCCAAGGAUGUACUUUUAAGAAUAACUCAAUAUGAAAUACAUCAUACUUGUGAUAAUGAAUCACAUUGUUGGUUUACCAACUUAUUGUAGUAAGGGUAAUAACCCAAAUCUUGAGUGUGAUAACUCCCCUCAUGUUUUGCCCGCUUAGCAUACAGCCAUGUCGGGUUAUAAUAAACACCGGAUUAUAAAUGAGUGUGCAUUGACAACUGAUAGUUGAAAGCCAAGCCGGGUCAUUGACACCGGUCAUCUUUGUAACUUUGUACUUGGCAACUCAAAAACCAGACCGGGUCAUAAGACACCGGUUUAAACAUAAACCUCAUCAAAAGAAAAGAUUUGUCAAAUAAAAUCAUGAGAAGAUGCGAGGCUUUUCAUGGGCUGCCAGGCCCAAAAUCUAGGCUUUUCAUGGGCUGCCAGGCCACUGAGUUAAACCAUUUUACAAAGCCUUUUAAGAUGGACCUCACAUUAACCAAUCAUCGUUUUAACUUUGACAAGUUCAGGGUCUGUAUAAGAUUGACUUGCCAAACGUUCGGCGGGUCAUACCAGGAUUACCUGGACGGAGUGACUUACUUAAAGAGGUAGGAUAACCCGGGGUUUUAGGUGAAUACACAUGGCUUCCAAGUCUGGCUUGAUAGCCUACUACAAGGGUCACUAAAACUCUUUGUUGUUGUGCAAAAAGAGCCCCCACGUAAAAUUUUGAGAUAUGCUCAGUGGGCGCCUAUGUUUGAGUUGUGCUUUGCAACAAACUCUCUUUGGCCCCUUGGGUAUGAAGCCCCCAAGCUUUAUUGUGGCUUUAUAAGCCGGAUUAAUGGACAAUCAGAACUCCGCUUUAUAAACAGAAGCCCCCAUGUAACCAAGAAACCUUUAAGGAAGAACGGCAAAGGCCCCGCUUUAGCAAGGAUGCUAGUUUAUUAUAUUGAUCAUAAUAUAUACAUUGUCAAAAUAAUGUACAUAAUAGGAGCCUAUGGCUCAGGUAUAGUAAGGCCGAAGAUGAGCGAUAUUCCACGCCCCGCGGGUCUCCUCCUCCGAUUUACGUGAGUCUUUGUGCUCUCGAACAUCAAUAAGGUAGUAUGACCCGUUGUUCAGAUUCUUGCUAACCACAAAAGGUCCUUCCCAAGGUGGGGAUAACUUGUGCAUAUCGGUCUGAUCUUGGAUAAGCCGGAGCACUAAGUCGCCUUCUUGAAAAGUUCUGGUUUUAACCCGGUGGCUGUGAUAACACCGCAGAUCUUGCUGAUAAAUCGCCGAACAAGCUGCCACUAUGUCCCGUUUUUCAUCUAACAGGUCCAAUGCUUCUUGACGUUCUUGUUCAUUGUCCGCUUCAACAUAAGCUGCCACCCGAGGCGAGUCAUGGCGAAUAUCACUGGGUAGAACUGCCUCUGCCCCAUAAACCAUGAAGAAAGGCGUAUAACCCGUAGAUCGAUUGGGGUGGUAUUGAUGCUCCACAAUACAGAAGGCAACUCUUCCACCCAACAACCCGGUAUCCUCUGCAAAGGAACCACAAGCCGUGGCUUGAUACCCUUCAGGAUUUCUUGAUUAGCUCUCUCAGCUUGACCAUUAGACUGGGGGUGAGCCACUGAUGAUACAUCAAGCCAGAUGUGUUCACAUUGGCAAAAGUCCUCCAUAGCACCCUUGGAGAGUUUCGUGCCAUUAUCUAUUAUGAUGCUAUGCGGAAAAUCACCUUCUUCAUGAAUUGAACCGUCGUGGCUGCAUCACACUUGCUAACUGGCUCCGCCUAAACCCACUUAGUGAACUUAUCAACAGCCACCAAAAGGUGGGUCUUCUUAUCCUUGGACCAUUUAAAAGGCCCUACCAUAUCAAGCCCCCAAGUUGCAAACGGCCAAGUGAUUGGAAUCAUUCUCAGUUCUUGAGCCGAAACAUGAGCUCGGCGUGAAAACUUCUGACAACCAUCGCACCUUUUCACCAAGUCCUUAGGAUCAGCAUGAGCCGUCAGCCAAUAGAAGCCGUGACGAAAAGCUUUAGCCACCAAGGAUUUUGAACCGGCGUGGUGACCACAGUCGCCUUCGUGGAUCUCACGCAAAAUCUCGUGGCCUUCUUCAGGAGAAACACAGCGCUGAAAAGCCCCCGAGACACUAUAGUGAUGUAACUCGCCAUUGUAAAUAGUCAUGGACUUGGACCACCGGAUUAUCUGUCUGGCCAAAACUUCAUCCUCCGGUAACUCACCCCAGUUCAUAUACGCCAAAUAUGGAACCGUCCAAUCUGGGAUAAUAUGAAGAGCCACCACCAAUUGAGCCUCCAGAUCAGGAACAGCUAGGUCCUCCUCUGUAGGUAGCUUGACCGGCGGAUUAUGCAAAACAUCCAGAAAGGUAUUGGGCGGCACCGGUUUACGCUGAGACCCCAGCCGGCUUAAAGUGUCUGCAGCUUCAUUUUUGCGUCGAUCAAUGUGCUCAACCUGGUAACCCUUGAAGUGACCAGCAAUAACAUCCACCUCACAUUGAUAAGCCGCCAUGAGUGGAUCCUUAGAAUCCCAAGUACCAGAGACUUGCUACGCCACCAAAUCAGAGUCCCCAAAGCAUUGUACUCUGCUUAAGUUCAUUUCCUUAGCCACCCGAAGACCGUGGAGCAAGGCCUCAUACUCGGCUGCGUUGCUAGUGCAAGGAAACAUUAAGCGGAGAACAUAACGAAAUUUGUCAGCUCGAGGGGAAGUAAGAACAGUUCCAUCCCCCGAGCCCUCCAAUUGCCUGGACCUGUCGAAGUGAAUAGUCCAGUACGUGUUAUUUGGUUUAUGUUCUGGUGCCUGCAACUCUGUCCAGUCAUUGAUGAAGUCCACGAGCGCCUGGGACUUGAUAGUCGUUCGAGGCAUAUACUUCACCCCCUGAGGUCCAAGCUCAAUAGCCCACUUAGCAACUCGGCCAGUUUCCUCCCUGUUUUGGAUGAUAUCUCCCAAAGGAGCGGAAUUGACCACAGUGAUGGGAUGGCCCUGAAAGUAUUGCUUAAGCUUCCGGCUCACCAUAAAAACUCCAUAGACAAGCUUCUGCCAAUGUGGAUAUCUUUGCUUUGACUCAAUGAGCACCUCACUGAUAUAAUAAACCGGCCGCUGAACCGGAUACUCCUUACCUGCCUCCUUGCGCUCCACCACAAUAGCCACACUGAUAGCCCGGGCAUUGGCAGCCACAUAUAACAACAGCGGCUCUUUAUCGACCAGAGCAGCGAGGACAGGUGGCUCGGCUAACUGCUUCUUCAAGUCCUCAAACGUCGCAUUAGCAGCAUCACUCCAGACAAAGUUGUCUGUCUUUUUCAUCAUCUGAUAUAGAGGGAUAGCCUUCUCUCCCAACCGGCUGAUAUACCAGCUCAGUGUUGCAAUACGACCCGCCAGACGUUGAACAUCGUUGAUACACGCCGGUUUAGCCAGAGACAUAAUAGCUUUGAUCUUUUCAGGAUUAGCUUCAAUGCCCCUGUUGGACACCAGAAAACCCAAAAGUUUUCCUAUCGGAACACCGAAGACGCACUUGGCCGGGUUAAGCAUCAUUUUAUAAACCCGGAGGUUAUCAAAGGUUUCCUUCAAAUCAUCUAUCAGUGUCUCCUUCUUCCUGGACUUCACCACAAUGUCGUCCACAUAAGCAUGAACAUUGUGCCCAAUUUGAUCAUGAAGACAAUUCUGCACAUAUUGCUGAUAAGUCGCCUGGGCACUCUUGAGCCCAAAAGGCAUAGAUAAAAAAAGAAGGCUCCAAAGGGAGUUAUAAAAUUUGUUUUCUCCUGGUCCUUAACUGCCAUCUUGAUAUGAUGAUAACCAGAAUAAGCAUCCCAAAAACUCAAGCACUCACAACCCGCUGUAGCAUCAAUGAUCUAAUCAAUACGAGGGAGAGCAAAAGGAUCGGUCGGACAAGCCUUGUUCAAAUCCGUGUAAUCCACACACAUGCGCCAAGGCCAUUCUUCUUAAGCACCAGCACCGGGUUAGCCAGCCACUCUGGAUGAAAAACUUCAAUGAUAAACCCAGUGUAGCUACCAGACCUCAAACAGUAUGAUCUCUAUGCAUCAGUGUCAUCCCUGGAUCAGUAAUGCUGACACUCACAGUACUUGAAGAAUUUAUAACAGAGUGGCAAUCACACACUUAUUACAUCGAAUGUCUCAAAAGAGAGCUUAAUACAAUAAAUAUGGCUUAAGGCCAUCUAAUAACGAUAACAGCAGAAGGCUUGGAAGAUAAGUGAGUCCAUCAACUCCAACGGCAUCAGUGAGUAUAGGACCACGAUCCUAAGGCAUCUUACUCGUCGUCUGAAAAGUCUGCAACAUGAACGUUGCAGCCUGAAAACGGGUCAGCACAUGGAAUAUGCUGGCAAUGUAACACAUAGAGAGUAAUGAAAUGACAUGGCUACUCUAUAUGCAUAUUUGGCUGGUGGAAAGCUCUAUGGUUACAAUUUUGCAUAAAGCCAAUUUUUCCCUACUGCAAAGGAAUAAAUUUAUUUAACUAUCAUGGUAGUUGUUAAACAUUGAGAAUGGUUGACAGCAUUCUCAAUCCCAAUUAAGCAUCAUCAUUAAAACCCAACAUCAUUAAUUAAAGUAACAUGAUGAGAUUCACAUGAUAAUCCAAGUACUAGAUACUCAAACGUCCAUAACCGGGGACAUGGCUAAUCAUGAUUAGUUUGUACACUCUGCAGAGGUUUGUGCACUUUUCCCCACAAGACUCGAUCGCCUCUGUUUGUUUUCUCGCACUACUUGGUGUUUGAGAAACGGAUGACCGAGACAUAGUCUUUCAGAAGAGCUAGCACCUUACGAUUGGGUAGACCGUACCACCUACAUCCCCUACAUCUGCUAGUCCACCACUGUAAGAGUUCGCGCGACUUAAUCAACUAUGCUAGAGCCCAUAAUAGCAUGUGGCUGCACACGGAAGUUUCUAGCAUGAACAAUCUUAUGAUCCCUUUGAGCCUGGGUGGCGGUCCAAAAACAAACAGGCAAUCCUGGAAUACCCAGGUACCUCAAUCCACCCAGAUGUGUAUUAAAGUUGCCACCUUAAAUAAACCAUUAAUUAACAAUCUCACAUCUGUCAUGGAUACACUCACCCAAUCCACGUCUACUAGCAUAGCAUGGCAUAAUAAGCAAACGCAGAAGUAACUCCCAAGGGUUUGAUAAUAAAACAGGUAAUAGGUACUACCUUAUCUACUUCCCAAAACCCAUAUAUUAAUCAGAUCCUAAUCAUGCAAUUGUUUGAGUAUUGAUCUAAUGCAAUAAAAACUGGGUAGUAAAGAGCUAUGAUCAAAGUGUUACUUGCCUUGCUGAUGAUCCGUGAAACCUAGGGAUUCGAAGUAGCACGCGGCGCAAUCCGGGUACUCUAUCGCAAGCAAACAAACAAACAAGCAUACAAUAAGUACUCAUCUAAUGCACAGGUAAAACUCAAAUAAGAGAUCUAACCAGAAAGUUCAACUUAAGAACUCCGGUUGGCAAAAAGAAUCAAAUCGAACAAAGCACCAAAGAUCAAACGGCGAAAGAAACAAACUUUGUUUACUAAUCUGGACCUAAGUCAAGUUCUACAGUAACAAAAAUUUGUUUGAGUAGAUUAAACGGAAAGAGGGUUUCGAGACAAAACUCUAGGCGCUUGAAUCGCCUGAUUCCAAUAAACGAGCGAAAAGUUAAACUAAAACGAAAAUCGGAUUAGAAAUCGCGAUCAAAAAAAUCGCGGAAUAAAUCCGAGAAAAACAAAAACAACGAACAGAUUAACGAACGAACAUUUGUUAUCUGGAUCUAAAUGAUGAACGUGUUCGUUAAAACCAACGAACGAGCGAACGCUCGCUAAUUAACCUAAACCGGAAAAAAACGAUAUAAUAAAAAAACGGAUCAAAAAAAACCAAUGAAAAACCGACGGAAAAACCGAACGGUUUUUCUCUAAAAAACGGGCGGCGGCGGGGUCAACCUCGAUGGGGGGGUCCGGCAAUGGCGGCUCCGGCGACGGCGGCUCCGGCGACGGCGGCAGGUGGCGGCGGCGGCAGGCAGUGGCAGCGGUGGCGGCGGCGGAUUAGGGUUAGGGUUUGGGCGCGGGUCGCGGCAGCUUGGGCUGGGGCGGCGCUAUUUAAAGACCCCUGCCAAGCGCGGUCCUGGCCGGUUAUGGCCCAAGGUCGGUUCGGAUUUUUUUUAAAAAAAAUAGCGCAGAAAAACAAACGUAAGAAAUACUAAACAGACUCCAAAAAUCCUGAAAUAAAUUUUCCCCGAGUUCUAAAAUCAAGCCGGACAAGAUGAACAUUUAUUUGGGGCCUAAAUGCAAUUUUGAAAAACGUGCAUUUUUCCUAAAUUCAAUAAAAUAGAAAUAAAAUCCAAAAUAAAAUCUUAUUUGAUUUUUUAUUAAAUCCUCAAUAUUUCUUCAUUUUGGGAAAGUCAUUUUAUUCCCUCUCAUAUUUUUAUAAUUGAAAUAAUUGAAGAUAAAAUAAAUAAAAUCAAAUGAUCCUAUUUCAAAAAUUUGAGAAAACUCAAAUAUGAAAUUUACGAAAUCCCCAACUCUCUCCGUGGGUCCUUGAGUUGCGUAGAAUUUCUAGGAUCGAGCCAAAAUGCAAUAAAAAAAUAUGAUAUGCAAUGAUGAUCUAUGUAUAACAUUCCAAAUUGAAAAUUUGGGAUGUUACACCCAGCCGCCAAAAGCCGGGCUACCUCCUCACCAAUGGCAUUGCGCCUUUCUUCAUUGAAGCGGCGAAGAAACUUCUUGACCGGUUUAAACUUGGGAUCAAUAUUGAGAGUUUGCUCAGCGAUUUCCCGCGGUACACCUGGCAUGUCAGAAGGCUUCCAUGCAAAGAUGUCCCGGUUCUCACGGAUGAACUCGAUGAGCACGCUUUCCUAUUUCGGAUCCAGAUUAGUACUGAUAAUGAACUGCUUGGAUGAAUCACGAGGAACAAAAUCAACCAGCUUAGUCCCAUCAGUUGAUUUAAACUUCAGAGUCAGGUCAUGCUCUGUAGUUGGCUUCUUCAGAGAAGUCAUAUCCGACGGAUCAACAUUGUCCUUGUAUAACUGUAACUCCUCUGCUGCGCAAACCAACUCAGCAUAGGCCGCAUCACCUUCUUCACACUCCAAAGCAAUCUUACGGCUCCCAUGAACCGUAAUGGUCCCCUUAUGACCCGGCAUCUUGAGCUGUAGAUAAACAUAACAGGGCCUUGCCAUGAACCUAGCAUAAGCCGGCCGUCCAAACAGGGCAUGAUAUGGGCUCUGAAUUUUCACCACCUCAAAGGUUAAGGUUUCUGAUCUGGACUCACGAUCAUCUCCAAACACGACCUCCAGAGCUAUCUUACCAACCGGGUAUGCCGAUUUACCAGGUACCACACCAUGAAAAACAGUGUUUGACGGUUUCAGAUUUUUAUCUGUCAGUCCCAUGCGACGGAAUGUUUCAUAAUACAGGAUGUUGAUACUGCUCCCUCCAUCCAUGAGCACCUUGGUGAACUUAUAACCUCUGACCUGAGGCGCCACCACCAACGCCAGAUGACCCGUUUAUCAACCCGGGGCGGAUGAUCCUCUUGACUCCACACAAUGGGUUGUUUAGACCAGCGCAAGUAGCGGGGCACCGCCGGUUCAACAGAGUUCACCGCCCUUUUAUGAAGCUUCUGAUCACGCUUGCACGGGCUAGUGGUGAAGACAUGAUACUGCCCACUGUUCAACUGCUUCAGGUGGCUUUGAUAACCCGACUGUUGCUGAUUCCCCUGAUUAUUCUGGUGGUUGUAACCACCCUGGUUGCCCUGACUGCCUUGACUACCAUGCCCGCUUUGAUUACCUUGAAAUCCUGAGCCAGAACUGCCUCCACCAUAACCCGCGGCAUGAGAUCCGGGUCCUGAACCGCCGGAUGGUCCUUGAUCAUAUUGGAAAAGAUCCGAGUUUUUGAACUCUCGCAUAAUAAAGCAAUCCUUCCAGAGGUGCGUAGCUGGAUUUUCUCGCGUCCUUUGCUUUGGGCACGGCUGGUUUAAUAGGCGCUCAAGAUUGACACCUGAUCCUCCACUCCGCGGGGGCGGUUUACCCUUAUUUCAUUGACCAUUAUCCUGCGCAUUGGUGUUAGCCACAAAAUCUAAAAUAUUCUCUACUUUACGCUUACAAUUGUUUCCAUGGCCCGCCGGGUUAUGCUGCUGCCCUUUGGUGUUGCCGCCCUUCUUUCCCUUCCCUGGCUUUUCCUCAUUAGACUCGGGAUCCUUGGUACUAUCGGAGUCGGCAUACUUAACCAAAGCCGCCAUAAGUGUUCCCAUGUCAUUGCAGUGAUGCUUAAGUCAUCCGAACUUCACCUUCAGAGGCUUGAACCGACAAUUACCCUCCAAUGUUAAGACUGUUGUAUCGGCAUUUAUGCGAUCUGAUGAAUGCAAGAUUUCUGAAACCCGGUGCACCCAAUGGGUUGUCGAUUCACCUUCUUCUUGGACACAGGAAGCUAAGUCCACAAUCGACAUAGGUUGCUUGCACGUGUCCUUGAAAUUCAGGAUAAACCGGCUCUUUAACUUGGCCCAUGACCCAAUGGAGUUAGCUGGCAAACCCUUUAACCAAGUGCAAGUUGUUCCUUCUAGAAUCAUGGUGAAGUAUUUAGCACAUGCCGCUUCAUCCACAUCCAGCAUGUCCAUCGCCAUCUCAUAGUUUUCGACCCAUGACUCGGGGUGUAAGUCAGCAGAGUAAUUGGACACCUUACAAGGACCCUUGAAAUCCUUGGGCAGCCGCACAUUGCGUAGAGCCGCGGUGAGACACGGUACCCCCAAAGAACUGAAAACAACCUCUGGUUCCACUGAAGUUGUUGCACGAACCGGAGUAGGCUGACGCGCCGCAUGCUAUGCAGCUAACUCGGCUUCUCGACAGGCCCUGCCAUGGUCCACUAUGUCUUGGGCAUCAGCUCCCCCCUGCCAGGUUAGGCCUACAAGGAGGAUUAUGGUUCCGUCCAUUGCUUGACACAGCCGGUUGUUCAACAUGCCUGUUGUAACUCCGGCUUCGGCGAGGGGUAGAAUUAAUCAUGUCCCGAUUAUACAAAUAAGCCUGCUGCUGAACCAUUGCUGUUUGGAGGAGAUCUCUUGCCCGACGUGUCUCAACUGCUGCCGGAGAAUCGCCUUCCAUUGGAAUAGCUGCAAAUCGCGACGCCGCGGCAAUCAUGUUAUCCAAAGGGGUAGGAAAAUGACCUAGUGGUGCUGGCACAUACUGAGGCAGGUCAUGGUUCUGUUGAGGUGGGUCCAUCGUCCGUGGCUAAUCCGGCGCUCCUGUCCCAGGUGCUUCAACCCGGUUUACCGCUGCCGGGUUACUGGUUCCUACUCUUGGCGUGUUAAAGAGAUUCCUUGCUUCAUAAACCGGCGGUAGACGAGACUGGUGCCUCCUCCUCAUCACGUCAUUUGAAGCGUUCUGAUCCAGCAUGAGCCGGUAAGAUUUUGCAUGAAUCCGCUGUGCCUGAGCAUCCAAAGCGGCCCGCUCCUCAGCCAUCCUGGUUUCCUCAGCAGCCAUGUCCUCCUUGGCCUGAGCUAUCUGAUCUCGCAAUUUUUUGACCUCUGCGUUAUGCUGAUCUCAAUUAUCCGGGUUAACCUCCAUGGUCAAUAAUGUCGCCAAGGCGUCCAAUAAACUAGACAGGACUUGAGUCGGCGAGCGCGCGGGGCUUCCUGCCCCGGCUGCCGAUCCGGAAAUUAUUGCCGCCGCAGCUAAGGAGUGCUGUGUGGGCUGUGUACCGGCCAUGAAGGUCGCAACCCGGUUUGGCGGUUCAAGAGAGUCUGGAAUACUAUAGUUGAUACAAUGACUCGGUUUCCCCAGUGGAUGACUCACCAUCUAAAUAGAUAACUGUCUCACCGUCGGAUACCGAUUCAGAUUCUGCACCAUGGAUGAAUCCUACGAAUGCACGCUUCAUGGCAGGAUGAACCCGGGAAGGGCUUGCACGCUGAGCCGUCUCGAUGAGGUCAGCGCAGAUGUCCGGCUCAGGGCCCGGUUCGCCGAUCUUGCCAAUGAAGACAUGAAUUCCUCCGAAGGGGAUCCGGUACCCGUACUCGAUUGAGCCAUCAUCAGGGCCCCAGCCUGUGUCGUCGAUGUAGUGCUUGCCACGACGACUCUUGGUCAUCCGGCCCACUGCACAUCCCUUGAGUCCUUCAAAAUUUCCCUCUAAGAACUUGAAACCAUCAUGCGAUAGCCCCACGGUGGGCGCCAACUGUCAUGGAAUUUUCACGUCAGAUGUCCUAGUGUAAGGACUUAGUCGUGGAGCCAUCGCAAUGAGAUUAGGUUAAAGGGGUUAAACCGGACAAAGGACACAGGGAGUUUAUACUGGUUCGGCCCCUUGCGGUGAAGGUAAAAGCCUACGAUCCAGUUGUGGUGGAAUUGAUGGGGUUUCGAUGACCAGGGAGCGAAUCCGCUUUGCCUGGCUCUCGAGUUGUUUUUUGUUGUCCCUAAACCGCCAUCGUGUCGUCCCUUUAUAUACACAGGUUGACGCCCGUCGGUCUACAGAAUCCCGAGGCCAGUUCAUAAAUGUGUCUCGCUCUGUAUCUACUCUUUCCUGCCUUACAUUACAAGUUACACGCCUAUGGCGGUUUACGUCUAUGGGCCCUAACCCGCCUUUGGGCUUUGGGCUCCCUUAUUAUGUUUCCUUCAUAAGUCGCCAUCUUUUAUAACUUCAUGGGCUUCAAUAUUGGUAGUCUCUUUGUGGAUAAACCGGCCCCUCCUGGGCGGUUUAUACCAACCAGUUAUAUCCCCAACAUUGAUGAUAAAUUGCUAUUCUUGACUGCUGAAAGCUCUCAAUUGGAGGCUCUUAAAAUAGUGCUAAAUUCUUUUUCCAUGGCAACUAGUCUGCAGAUAAAUUAUCACAAGUUCUCCAUGUAUCCUAUCAAUGUGAAUGUUGUUGUUGCUACUAGAUUAGCUGCCCAAUUUGGCUGUCAGUUGGGUUCAAUGCCCUUUACAUAUUUGGGUUUGCCGGUGGGCACUACUAGAUCCAGAAUCAAUGAUCUUUUGCCCCUUGUGGACUGCAUGGAGAGGAGACUCACUACUAGCUCUUGGUUUUUGCCCCAAGGAAGCAGGCUGCAACUAGUUAAUUCAGUCAUAUCUUCUCUGCCUAUUUUUUUUUCUUUGUGGCAUGUCAAUCUCUCAGGGUAUCUUGAAGCAGUUGAAAAGAAUUCAGGGACAGAGUGUUUAUGGAGAAAAUAUGGUCAGGAGAAUGGUCGUUCCUUGGCUGCCUGGCCAUUGGUUUGCAGGCCCAAACACAAGGGUGGUCUUGGAAUUCUUGACCUGGGUCUACAAAAUGAAGCUCUGCUCCUGAAACAUCACAAUAAAUUUUAUAACAGAGUGGAUGUGCCAUGGGUUCACUUGGUUUACGAUUCAUAUUAUUUUCAAUGAGUUCCUCAUGACACAAUCAUUUGUGGGUCUUUCUAGUGGAGAGAUAUUUGCAAGCUCAUGGAUAAAUUUAGGGCAGUCACAUCUGUUACUGUUAGCAAAGGUGACACUGUACUCUUUUGGUCUGAUCAUUGGCAGAUUGGCAACAAUUGCACUCCUCUUCAAGACAGAUUUCCAAGGCUAUUUUCUUUUUUCUUGCAUAAAACCCUCUCUGUCAUGGAAGUUUUUCAGAGUGUGAAUUUUCAACAGAUGUUCUCUUUGCCUAUGUCUGAAUUAGCUUUUCAAGAGCUUAAUCAGCUGACUUCCUUGAUGGCAAAUGUCAACCUGGAUGGAGAGAAUUCAGAUUAUUGGGUCUGGAGGCAUGGUAAGAGGUCAGAAUAUUGUACCAAGAAAUACUAUAACUUUGUGCAUCAACCAGUUUUGGCAAACCCCAUUCCAAGCUGGGUUUGGAGAAGUUGUUGUACCAUGUCAAUCAAAAUGUUUGCCUGACUUGUCAUAAUGGAUAGGGUUAACACUAAAGACAUGAUAUAGCGCAGGCAUUGGAGAAUUAAUGAUGGGCCUGAAUGUGUCCUUUGCCCGACUGGUGCACUUGGGGACAGGAACCACCUUUUCUUUCAGUGUAACUUUAGCAUGCACGUAUGGAAUUAUCUUCAGGUUGAUUAGAUGGAUAGCAAUGAGAUGGUUCAAAUUGCUUUGCAUGCCAGGAAGGAUUUCAAUGAGCCAUGUUUCACUGGAGUGGUUUUUCUUACAUGGUGGAAUAUUUGGAAAGUCAGGAAUGAUAGGGCUUUUAGACAUAUCAUACCAACUUUUAGGCAAUGGAGGAAUGAUUUCAUUCAUGAUAUUACUCUCCUCACCCACAGGAUCAAAAUAAGAUACAUAGAUGCACUUCUUAAGUGGGUUGACUUCCUGCCUCCUUGAUGAGGCUCCUGGUAUAGCCCUUUUUUCUUAUUAGCUUUGUAUAGUGUUUCUUUUCUUUUGUUCCUCAUCUUGAGGAACCUUUUGUACUUUGUUUUCUUAUGAUUAAUAAAAUGAUGUGGGGUGUAAGCCCUGCAGUCUUCAAGGUCAAAAAAAGUGAUAACUCUUCUCCAAGACCAGGACAGCUGAACCUGUUGCAAUGCUAUCAGAUAAAUGGAUAAUAGCUGAAACCCGACGGACCCAAUGGUGGGCCGACUCAUCCUCCCGCCGUACACAGUUGUCAAAAUAAAUAAUUGUUAAAGGCUUCUUACAUGUUCCCUUAAAGUUCUGAAUGAAGAGCGCUUUCAGCUCGGCCCACAUAUUGAUGAAAUUGGCAGGUAAACCUUUCAACCAGGUUCGAGCCGGUCCAUCAAGCAUCAUGGUGAAGUAAGUGGCACAUAAAACAUCAUUAACAUCUAACAUCUCCAUAGCCAGCUCAUAGUUGUCAAUCCAAGCCUCGGGUGGAUGAUUAGUUGUAUAAUUAGGCACCUUACAAGGGCCCUUAAAAUCCUUGGGUAGACAUUCAUUCCAUAGAGCCGGUACUAAACACGGCACACCAAUUGUCCUGGAAGUCAUUCUAGCCUCAAUAGACACCGAAGGUUUUACUGGAAACUAUUGAUGAUCGCCCGAUUGAGCCGCCAAUUCUGCCUCAAGACGGGUUCUAACCUGAUCCACAAGGGCCUAAGCAUUAUUAUCAUCACGGGGCAGGUUAUGUCCACGGGGCGGGUCAUCGUUACGAGGUGGGUUACGACACCGCUCGCUGUUGAAAACCGCUGGUGACUCAACACGCCGGUUGUAGCUUUGGCUCGGGUUGGGAGUUAAGUGAACACGCUCAUGGCUGUAUGAAUAAGCCGCCUACUGCGCCACGGCCGUCUGAAGAAGCUCCACCGUGUUCCGGGUCUCUAUCGCCGCUGGAGACUCACCUUCGAUCGGGAUAAUCACCAGCCUUGUAGCCACUUCUAUCAUCUUAUCCACUUGAUUAGAAUAAUGGCCAGAGUGUGUUGGAACCCGUUGAGGUGGGGAUGGAUCCCUACGAGGCGGGUCUGGCACAUGAGGCUGGGUUGUCGCUCCGGUCCCUGGCGCCUCAACAGCUCAGGUUACAACGGGCGGGUUACUCGUUCCUGCUACGGGCAUGUUAAAAAGGUUCUGCCCCUCAAACUGCGAAGGCAGGCGGCUUUGGUGCCUCCUCCGAAGAACAACAUUGGACGCAUUCUGAUCCUGACUUAGACGAAAAGCUUCUGCCCUUAUCCGCUGUGAUUCAGCAUCCAUCUUGGCUUGUUCCUCUGCCAUCCUGAUAUUCUUUGCAUUAAAGUCCUCCUGGGCUUUGGCCACCUCAUCUCGCAGCUUUGCAACAUCCGUGUUAUGUUGUGCUUGAUUCACCGUAGUAACCUUUGUGGCCAUCAGAGUCUCCAAAGUACCCAAGAGUUUAGAUAAAACUUGAGCCGGCGGCCGUGCUGAUCCGCUAGCCCGAGCUGUUGUAGUGGCAGUCGAUCUAGAUGUCAUCACUGCUGUUGCUGACGAAUUAAGAGCCGGCCCAGUGCCAGCCAUGAAGAUCACAGCCCUGGAGGGCGGCUCAUAGGGGUCCAGAAUACUGUUACCAUCGAAAUAGCCCCCAAGCCCGCCAUCCUGAAGCUGAUAGAUUGACUCGGUUUCUCCAGUCAAGGACUCGCCACCUGAAUAAAUGGUUGUCUCUCCACCAGAUGCAGAACCUUCCUCAAGAUCCGCCCCAUGAACAAAGCCAACAAAUACGUGCUUCUGGCCUGGUUGACCUCUGGCGGGUCGCGCGCGCCGAGCCGUCUCGAUGAUGUCGGUGGAGGUGUCCGCUCAGGCUAUGACUCGCCGAUCUUGUCGGUGAAGACGUGAAUUCCGCCAAAGUGGACCCAGUACCCGUACUCGAUUGAGUCAGCCCUAGCCAAUGUUGUCGAUGUAGAUCUUGUCAUCCCUGAGAAGAUGCCCUUGAAGAACUCAAAACUGCCACGCUCUGGCCCCAUAAUGGGUGCCAACUUUCGUGGAUUUAACACGGCAGAUGCCCUUGUGAAAGUACUUAGGUCUGGAGCCAUCGCAACAUAGGUUUGCUCGAAGGGGUUGAGCGGGACAAAGGACACAAGGUUUACCCAGGUUCGGCGCCUCACAACAAGGUAAAAGCUUACGUCCUGCUUCUAGUUGUAUUGCUUGAGUUUUGAUUACAAGGGAGCGAUUACCCUUGACCUAGCUAUCGAGAUUGUUUCUUAAGUUAACCCACCGCCGGGUCUCGCCUUUAUAUACAUAGUCGAGGCCCGGGGCUUUACAAGAAUCCAGGCUUGAUCACACAUAUGUGACCAACUUGGUUUCUAAGUCACCUUGCCUUACCAAGCAAGUCACCGCCUGGCAGCUUACUCCUCCGGGUCUUGGGCCAUCAAUAAGCCCACGCCUUAAGUCGCUUCUAGUCUUCAUAUCUUAGGCCAAUCUUAAACCUUUUAUUUCUUGAGUCGCCAACAGUAUAACCCAGCCCCUCCUGGGAGGGUCACACCGCGGGUUAUAUCCCCAACACUUGGGGGAGUUUAUAUGUCUCCAUCAUAUAUAUAUAUUCAAACACUUUUUGAUGCGGAGCAUCUACGGUCAUCCCCAUGGACCUAUCAUCGUCUCACCAAGUGCCAAGAGGACCUACGACACGAGCAGGAGCUAGAGCUCUCGAGACCGAGGUGACUUCUUUCCUUAAUGAUAUCUCAUAUGAUCCACUCAAGACAUGGCUACUACCUAACUCCGGAAUGUUGUGCAUGAUUAGGUACUGAGAGAACCCUCCCGAGGAUGCACAUGAAGAUGGUCAAGCUCCCAAGUCCACGGAUGAAGAGAACCUACAGAAGGAGACAAGAACAGCUCCCAGGACCCAGACAUCCGGCGAUGGCCCUGGACAUCCGGCCCUUGGAAGUGUCGACCGCGGCCAAGGCCCAGCGGCCAAGUCUACAGGGCCCGGACAUCCGGCAGCCAGCCCGGACAUCUGGUCCGUCACCCCGGAAAUCCGGCUCCCAGCCCAGACAUCCAAACAAGUCAUCCAGGGAGUACAUAAGCUUGCCCCGCCAGACUGGACAUCCGGACACAACCUCGGACAUUCGGCCACUUGCGAAGUCCUGGACAUCCGGCCGACUCCCGGAUGUCCGGACCAGCCCUAUCCAGAGAGCUCCAAGAUGGUGCCAGGCCAGCCCGGACAUCCGACCUGACAUCCCGGACAUCCGGCGCCUCUUGAGCGCCCGGACAGUGUAAAGGGCCGAGGCCGUGUACCUGUAUCGACCACGAUCCCAAUGGACCGAAGUCUCUGUGCUUAAGUGUCAUCCCUGGAUCGGUAUGCUGGCACACACACAGUACUCGAGGAAAUAUAACAGAGUUCAAUCACACACUUAUUACAUCGAGGUCCUCAAAAAGAGUAUCUGUUACACAAAUAAAAUGGCUGAAGGCCAUCUAAACUAAAUAACUGCGGAAGCUUUGAAGAUAAAUGAGUCCAUCAAUUCCAACGGCAUAGCUGAGUGCAGGACAACGACCUAUCGCACCUUAAUCUUCGUCGGUGAAGUCUACAACAUGAGACGUUGCAGCCGUGUAGGUCAGCACAUUGAAUAUGCUGGCAGAGUUAUACUGUAGAGCAAAUGGAUGCAAGAAAACUAUAUCUACAUGCAUAUGUGGCUGGUGGAGGCUCUAAGUUUAAUGUUUUGCAUAAAGCUAAUUUUUUCCCUACAACAAAGGAAUAAAUUUUAUUUACUACAAAGUUUGUACCACUAUUUGAGAAGGUUCCUCCAACUCAAAUCCCAACAUUAAUCAAGUAUCAUCAUUAAACCCAAUACAAUUAAUUAAGGAGUGAUGAGAUCAACAAUAAUAUCCACUUAUAGAUACUCAAGAUGUCCAUAACUGGUGACACGACUAACCAUGAUUAGUUUAUACACUUUGCAAUCGUUGCGCACUUUUCCCCACGAGACUCGACCGCAUCCAUGAUCGGAAGAUCGAGACAUAGUCUUUCUGAAGCAUUAACUCUCUACUCUGGGUAGACCGGUACACCUACUUUCCCAUACAUCUGCUAGUCCACCUCUUCAAGAGCUCACACAACUUACUCAACUAUGCCAGAGCCCAUAAUGGCUUGUGGCUGCACAAGGAAGUUUCUAGGCAUGAAAUAUCAUAUGAUCCUUUUCAGCCUGGUUGGCGAACCGAGGAAGAAUCACACGGGUACUCUAGGAUUUCCCAAAUGGGCAAGCACUAGUUUCUCCAGGUGCCCCAACCAAUCCACCCAGAUGUGUAUUAAAGUUGCCACCUUAAUGUUAUCCAAAGUUAUUAACUCUCACAACUUCCAUGUACACCACGAUCCAAUCCCCGUCUACGAGCAUGGCUAAGCAAUAAUUGAGCAUAACAUAUAUUCCCGGGGUGAUCAAAGGUUUUAGGUUUCUACCUCAAGUACUACAACCAAACCACAUGUUCCCAAUCCUACUCAUGCAAAUAUUUGAGGGGCAAACUAAUGCAUAGUAAUAAUUGGGUAUAGAAAAGUACGAUCAAAGUGUAACUUGUCUUGUUGACGAUCGGAAAACUCUAGUGAUUCAUAGUAACAAGCUUCGCACUCCGGAAAAUCUAGCGUAGACAAACAGUAGCAUACAUACGCAAUCAAUCAAACAAUGCAGAGAGAACUCGAGAAAAGAUCCAAAUAAAACUCGAAACAAGCAAAUAGCUAAACUAAAUAGAAACAAACUCUAAUAGCAUUAUUUUUAUGUGGGUUUGAUCUCAACAGGAGGUAUAUGUGAUUAACUAUGAUUUGCAAAAAGAAUUAACUCAAACGGGGCUACGAAACUCAAGAAACAUCAAAACAAGAUCGAAUACUAAACUGAACUAAAGUCAAAUUUGUGAGGAGAAGGGGCAGCUCGGGGCCGGCUUAUAAAGGCCCGGGGGUGGUGUCCGACUUGGGCAGGGGGCAACCGGCGGCGGCGGUGGCACAGACUCCUAGCUGGAUUCUGGCUCGGUUGUGGUGGCGUCAGGGAAGGCGGUCGGCGGCUGGGCCUUGGCCUGGCUUCAGCUGGGCUGGCCCAGUCGACACGCACACGGUUUUUUUUUCUUUUUUUUAAACAGCAAAAAAUCCUAAAAGAAUAAAAUAAAAAUCCUAAAAUUCCAGAAACAAUUUUCACCAUCCCCUCCUAAUAUUUGGGAUAACGUGAACAUUUUUCUGGACUAAAUGCAAUUUUAAAAAAAUGCAUCUUUUCCCUAGUUAAAUAAAAUUCAACCGAAUAAAAUUGCAAAUAAAAUAAUUUGACUUCAAAAUUUCUUUUCCAACAGUUCUCCCCUGUUUUUUUAAGAAGUCGUUUUAUCUUCUCUCUUUUAUUUUGAUUGUUUUGAAAUAAUUGGAAAGAAUUUGUUGAAAUCAAACUGAUCCACUUUUCAAAUUUGAAUAAAUUCAAAAAUGAAAUUUAUAUGAAACCUCCAACUCUCUCCUUGGGUCCUUGAGUUGCUUAAGAUUUCUUGGACCCCAACCAAAUAAAAUCCAAGAAUGCAAUAAAAUAUGAAUGCAUAUGAAUGAUCAAUGUAUAACAUCCAAAUUGAAAAUUGGGAUGUUACAAACCUACCCCCUUUAAGAUGAAUCUCUCCCUCGAGUUUCGGGUUGGUCAGCAAAAAGGUGUGGAUGGUCCUUGCAGAGAUCUUCUUCUCGCUCCCAGGUGGCUUCCUCCUCGGUAUGGUGGCUCCACUGAACUUUGCAGAAUUGAUGACUUUGGUGCGAGUAACUCGGUCGGAAAACUCGAGAAUCUUGACUGGCUUCUCUUCAUAGGUCAGAUCACUAUCCAACUAAAUUGCUUCCAGUAGCACUGUAUAUCUCAAAGCACUGUCGGCCAUCUCUGCCUGGCACUUCAAUUGGGAAACGUGAAACACAUCAUAACCUCUUGACAAUCCUUCGGGUAAUUCUAACUUGUAGGCACCUUUUCCCAUGUGUUCCAAAACUCUGUAGGGUAUCACAAAUCAUGGUGCUAGCUUCCCUUUGACUCCAAAACGCUUAACUCCUCGAAGUGGGGAUACACGAAUAUAUGCUCUCUCUCCUACUUCGUAGGCUACCUCCUUGCGUUUAGUAUCGGCAUAGCUCUUCUACCUAGACUGGGCUAUCUUGAGUCUGUCUCGAAUCAACUUAACCUUCUACUCAGAAUCUCUGAUUAAGUGUGGUCCAAACAAUUUUCUAUCUCCAACUUCAUCCCAUGAUAACGGUGUCCUGCACCUCCUUCCGUACAAAGCUUCGAAAGGGGCCAUCUUCAAACUGGCUUGAUAACUGUUGUUAUAGGAGAACUCUGCAUAAGGAAAAUUGUCAUCCCAACUAGACCCAUAAUCUAGCGCACAAGCUCUCAACAUGUCCUCCAGAAUCUGAUUGACUCGCUCGGUCUGUCCAUAUUUCUAUGGAUGAAAGGCUGUGCUGAACUCUAGCCUGGUACCCAAAGUUUCAUGCAACUGACUCCAAAACUUUGAAGUAAACUAUGUUCCUCUAUCUGAUACGAUAGUCAUCGGAACUCCAUGCAGACAUACGAUCAUGGUCAUGUAUAUCUUCGCCAACUUAGCACUCGUAUAAGUUGUCUCUAUAGGGAUUAAAUGGGCUACCUUCGUCAAGCGAUCAACUACAACCCAGAUAAAGUCAUAGCCUGAACGGGUUCUGGGUAAUCCAGUGAUAAAAUCCAUGCCAAGUUUAUCUCACUUCCAUUCAGGUAUCGACAAAGGCUGAAGCAAACCUGCUGGUUUCUGAUACUCUGCCUUCACUCUCUGACAUACAUCACAUACUGCUACAUACUAUGCAAUAUCCUUCUUUGUUCCUGUCCACCACAAACUUUCUUUCAAAUCCAGAUACAUCUUAGUGUUGCCUGGGUGAAUUGAAUAAGGCGAAUCAUGAGCCUCCUGAAGAAUCGACUUCCUGAUCUCAGGGUCAUUAGGCACGUAAAUACGAUCCUCAAACCAUAAAGUCUCGUUCUCAUCCUAACGAAAACCUUUAGCCUUUCCUUUACUCAUUCUUUCUUUUAUCUCUGCAAUCUCCUUGUCCGUCUUAUGGGCUUCUCUGAUCUUUCCCAAUAAAGUGGACUGAAUUUCCAAUGCUGCAACAUAACCUCUCGAAACUAUCUCCAAGCGUAGUUCUCAAAGAUCAUCUUCUAACUCCUGAGGUAACCCUCCGGUUAUGAGCGUGUUAACAUAACUCUUACGGCUCAACGCGUCUGCUACGACAUUGGCCUUUCCUAGAUGAUAAUGCAAUCUCAUGUCAUAAUCCUUUAUGAGCUUCAACCAUCUCCUUUGCCUGAGGUUCAACUCCUUCUAUGUGAAGAUGUACUUCAAACUCUUAUGAUCCGUGUAAACAUCGCAACGGUUACUGAUGAGAAAGUGUCUCCAUGUCUUGAGCGCAUGCACUACGGCUGCUAACUCCAAAUCAUGCGUAGCAUAAUUCAACUCAUGAGGUCGAAGCUGUCGUGAGGCAUAUGAAACAACUCUUCCGUCCUGCAUAAGAACACCUCCCUGUCCUUGACGUGAAGUGUCACAAUAUACUUGGAAAUCUUUGCGUAUGUCUGGGAGAAUCAGCACUGGGGUUGUAACCAAACAUUUCUUCAACUCCUAAAAACUGGCCUCACAAUCCUUAGUCCAUUUAAACUUGGUAUCCUUAUUCAAUAACUCCGUCAUUGGCCUCGCUAUCUUGGAAAAAUUCACAAUGAAUCUCCGAUAAUAAAAUGCGAGUCCAAGAAAACUCCUGAUCUCUCCAACUAAGGUGGGCGCCAACCACUCAGUGACAGAUGCAACCUUGCUAGGGUCUACUGCUAUUCCUUCUCUUGAUAUACCAUGUCCAAGAAAUCCAACUUCCAUCAACCAAAACUCACAUUUGCUGAACUUGGCAUACAACUGAUGUUCCCUGAGCUUCUCGAGAACCAAGCACAAAUGUUCCUUAUGCUCUUCUUCAUUCUUCGAGUAGACCAAUAUAUCAUCAAUGAACACCAUGACAAACUUGUACAAAAACUCCAUGAACACCUUGUUCAUCAUGAUCAUGAAAUAGGCAGGGGCAUUAGUCAAACCAAAUGACAUAACUGUAUACUCAUAUAGCUCAUGCCUCAUAGUAAAAGUUGUCUUUGGUAUAUCCUGCUCUCGGAUUUUCAGCUGGUGAUAACCUGACCAAAGAUCGAUCUUGGAGAAAACCUUUGCUCCCUGCAGCUGGUCAAACAAAUCAUUGAUCAUCGGCAGAGGGUAUUUGUUCUUGAUCGUCACCUCAUUUAGCACACGGUAAUCAACAACCAUCCUCGAAGAUCCAUCUUUUUCUCAACUAGAAGCACUGGGGCUCCCCAAGGUGAUGAGCUUGGUCGAAUAUAACCUUUUUCAAGUAACUCCUUAAUUUGCUUCUUAAUUUCCUCCAGAUCAUUUGUGGGCAUCCGAUACGGUCUCUUGGAUAUUGGUCUGGUGCCUGGCAAUAACUCAAUCAAAAACUCAAUAUCUCGAUCUGGUGGCAUGCCUGGUAACUCUUCUGGAAAUACAUCGGGUAAAUCCUUCACCACUGGUACUUCCUCCUGAACAACUCCUGAUAGGGAAUUCACCCCUAGACACAUACUUGAUCAUCUUUCCUUCCGGGGUGGUGAGAAGAAUUGAUUUACUGGCAUAAUCGAUGUUUCCCUCAAACUUGGAUAGCCAAUCUAUGCCUAGGAUCACGUCCAAUCCUUGUGACUCCAAGACAAUAAGGUCGGUGGGGAAAACAUGUCUACCUAUGGUUAUUGGCAACUGAUAACAUCCCUACUAGCGAUAUACUCUGCUCCUGGGGAACUUACUAACAUAGGUGACUUAAGGGCUACGGUUGGCAACUUAAACUUGUCCACAAAUCCCCUUGAUAUGAAUGAAUGAGAUGCACCAGUAUCAAAAAGAACAAGUGUUGUAAAUGCAUUAAUCAAAAACUUACCGACAACUGCGUCGGGCUGCUCCUCAAUCUCCUCCACACUAACGUGGUUCACCUGACCUCUAGUGAAGGGGUUGGGCUUCUUUGCAGAACUUUCGUUGCCAUUUCCAUUCUUUUCUUCAGAACAUUCAGUGGCGUAAUGUCCGGUCUUCCCACACUUGAAACAAGUAAUGUGACUCAGAUCCUUCUUGGCGGGUGUCGUGGGGUUGGAACGGUUCUGACUAUUGCUUCCUCCAUUCCCAUUGCCAUUUUUAGGGCCAAUGUGGUUGUGUGAACUUCCUCCAUUGUGCGUAUGUCCUCCAUGGUUAUGGCCUCCAUGGUUAUGAGUAUGUCCUCCCGAGUACGGGGGAUAGCGGGGCUUCUACUGAGCUCCAGAAGUGUACCUCCCUUGUCCAUACUUCCUCUUGCAAUUGUCAAUCUGUUGUUGCUUGCCUUCUAUCAUGAGGGCCCUGUCUACCAACUCCUGGUAGUUGUUGAAUGUUGCCACCAUCAACUACAUACUCAGCUCAUCAUUGAGUCCCUCAAGAAACUUCUCCUUCUUUGCGGCAUCUGUGGCCACAUCAUCUGGGGCAUAGCAUGCUAACUUGCUGAACUCAUCCACAUAUUGUCCCACUGUAUGACUCCCUUGGCGCAAGUUGUGAAACUCGUGCUUCUUCAAACUCAUAGAUCCAGCUGAAACAUGUGCGGUGCGGAAGGCCUGCUGAAACUGAUCCCAUGUAACUGUAGCUAUGGGGUAAGUGGUGGUGAAGUUCUCCCACCAAGAUGCUGCGGGUCCAUCAAGAUGUGCGGCAAAGCGCACUCUCUCCGCAUCUGUGCAUCCAACAGUGGCCAUCUCUCUUCCAAUCCUGCGGAGCCAAUCAUCUGCAACAAUCGGCUCGGUGCUGCUAGAGAACACCGGCGGAUUCAACCUCAGAAAACGGGCUAGGUUGUCAACAGAGGUUGGUGGAGGUGGGUUGUUGAUAACCCACAAGUAUAGGGGAUCAAUUGUAGCCUCUUUCGAUAAGUAAGAGUGUCGAACCCAACGAGGUGCUAAAGGUAGAACAAAUAUUCCCUCAAGUUCUAUCGACCACCGAUACAACUCUACGCACGCUUGACGUUCGCUUUACCUAGAACAAGUAUGAAACUAGAAGGACUUUGUAGGUGUUGUUGGAUAGAAUUGCAAUAUAAUAAAAGGCACGUAAAUAAAAAGUAGGGGCUAUUUAGAUAAAGAAGCAAUAAAGUAAAUAUAGAGAGUGUGGAAAAGUGGUGGUAGGGGUUGUGAAAUUGUCCCUAAGCAAUUGACUAUUUUACUAGACUGAUAGCAAGUUUUAUGUGGGAGAGGCAUAAGCUAACAUACUUUCUCUUCUUGGAUCAUAUGCACUUAUGAUUGGAACUCUAGAAAGCAUCCACAAAUACUAAAGAUCAUUAAGGUAAAACCCAACCAUAGCAUUAAAGCAUCAAGUUCCCUUUAUCACAUACGCCACAACCCCCUUACUCGGGUUUAUGCUUCUGUCACUCAAGCCACCCAUUAUAAGUAAAUCAUGAACGUAUUGCAACACCCUAUAGCGGGAAUCCCUCACGCUUGCGCGACACGGAGGGCACAAUAGGACAGCAACAUAACCACAAGCAAAUUAAACCAAUCAUAGCAAUUCAUCAAUCACCGAUAGGACAACGAAAAUCUACUCAGACAUCAUAGGAUGGCAACACAUCAUUGGAUAAUAAUAUGAAGCAUAAAGCACCAUGUUCAAGUAGAGCGUACAGCGGGUUGCGGGAGAGUGGACCGCUGAAUAUAGAUGGGGGAAGGUGAUGGAGGUGUUGGUGAAGAUGACGCGGUGUUGGUGUAAAUCGCGGUGAUGAUGAUGGCCCCCGACGGUGUUCCGGCGCCACCCCAAGUGAGGGGGAGAGAGCCCGCCUUCUUCUUCUUCUUCCUUGACCUUCUCCCUAGAUGGGAGAAGGGUUUCCCCUCUGGUCCUUGGCUCCCAUGGCAUGGGAGGGGCAAGAGCCCCUCCGAGAUUAGAUCUAUCUCUCUGUCUCUCUCUGUUUCUGCGCUCUGGAUUCUGCCCUUUCACCGUUUCUUAUAUAUCCAGAGAUCCGUAACUCCGAUUGGAUUAAAACCUUUGCCAAGAUUUUUUCUCCGAAAAUUAGCUUUCUUGCGGCAAAAGAAGAGCAUCAACCGCCAUAUAGGGUGCCCACUCCCAAAUAUCACAAAUAUUCCAAAAUUAUUCUCUGUCCAUUUUUAUCCCGUUUGGACUCCGUUUGAUAUGGGGUUUCUGCGAAACAUAAAACAUGCAACAAAUAGGAACUGGCACUGGGCACUGGAUCAAUAUGUUAGUCCCAAAAAUAGUAUGAAAAGUUGCCAAAAGUAUAUGAAAGUUGAUUAAUAUUGGCAUGGAACAAUCAAAAAUUAUAGAUACGAUGGAGACGUAUCAGUAUCCCCAAGCUUAAUUCCUGCUUGUCCUCGAGUAGGUAAAUGAUUAAAAAAUAAUUUUUGAUGUGGAAUGCUACCUAGCAUAAUCUUGAUCAUGUAAUCUAAUCAUGGCAUGAAUAUUAAGACACGAGUGAUUCAAAGCAAUAGUCUAUCAUUUGACAUAAAAACAAUAAUAGUUAUGCAUCCCAACAAACAAUCAUGCCUUUCAAAAUAUCAAUGCUUACAGAACGUUAUCCCUAAAAAAUCAUAUAGUCUUUUAUGUUCCCUUUUCUUAACACAAGGUACCCCUCAUGCCUAUCCCGGUGUCAGCCAAGCAAUUGGUUCAUACUUUUUAACGCGCUUCAGCUUUUUCAACCUUCACGCAAUACAUGAGCGCAAGCCAUGGAUAUAGCAAUAUAGGUGGAAUAGAGUAUGAUGGUGGAGGUUGUGUGGAGAAGACAAAAAGGGAGAAAGUCUCACAUCGACGCGGCUAAUCAACAGGCUAUGGAGAUUGCUACAUCUUGAGCUUGCGUUGGUUUUCCUUGAAGAGGAAAGGGUGAUGCAGCAUAGUAGCGUAAGUAUUUCCCUCAGUUUUUGAGAACCAAGGUAUUAAUCCAGUAGGAGGCUCCUCACAAGUCCCACGCACCUACACAAACAAACAAGAACUUGCCGCAAUAAAGGGGUUGUCAAUCCCUUCACGGCCACUUGUGAAAGUGAGAUCUGAUAGACAUAAUAUGAUAAGAUAAAUAUAUUUUUGGUAUUUUAUGAUAUAGGUUGGAAAAGUAAAGAUGCAAAUAAAAGUAGAUUGAAAGCUUAUAUGAUAAGAGAUAGACCCGGGGGCCAUAGAUUUCACUAGUGGCUUCUCUCGAGAUAGCAUAAUUAUUACGGUGGGUGAACAAAUUAUUGUCGAGCAAUUGAUAGAAAAGCCAAUAAUUAUGAGAUCAUCUAGGCAUGAUCAUGUAUAUAGGCAUCACGUCCGUGACAAGUAGACCGACUCCUGCCUGCAUCUACUACUAUUACUCCACACAUCGACGCUAUCCAGCAUGCAUCUAGAGUAUUAAGUUCAUGAAGAACAGAGUAACGCAUUAAGAAAGAUGACAUGAUGUAGAGGGAUAAACUCAUGCAAUAUGAUAUAAACCCCAUCUUUUUAUCCUCGAUGGCAACAAUACAAUAUGUGCCUUGCUGCCCCUGCUGUCACUGGGAAAGGACACCGCAAGAUUGAGCCCAAAGCUAAGCACUUCUCCCAUUGCAAGAAAGAUCAAUCUAGUAGGCCAAACCAAACUGAUAAUUCGAAGAGACUUGCAAAGAUAACUUAAUUACACAUAAAAGAAUUCAGAGAAGAUUCAAAUAUUUCUCACAGAUAAACUUGAUCAUUAACCCACAAUUCAUCGGAUCUCGACAAACACACCGCAAAAAGAGUUAGAUCGAAUAGAUCUCCAAGAAGAGGAAGGAGAACUUUGUAUUGAGAAUCAAAGAGAGAGAAGAAGCCAUCUAGCUAAUAACUAUGGACCCGAAGGUUUGUGGUAAACUACUCACAACUCAUCGGAGAGGCCUUGGAGAUGAUGUAGAGGCCCUCCGUGGUGGAUUCCCCCUCCGGCGGAGCGCCGGCGACGGGUCCAAGAUGGGAUCCCGUGGAUACAGAAGGUUACGGUGGUGGAAAUAGUUUUUCGUGGUCGCCUUUGAUGGUUUCGGGGUACAUGGGUAUAUGUAGGAGGAAGAAGUAGGUCGGUGGAUGCUCGAGGGGCCCACGAGGGUGGGGGGGCGCCCACAUAUAGGGGGCACGUUGGGUACCCUCGUGGCUGCCUCGCUUGUUUCUUGACUUCCACUCCAAGUCCUCUGGAUCAUGUUUGUUCCAAAAAGAUCGCUCCUGAAGGUUUCAUUCCGUUUGGACUCUGUUCGAUAUUCCUUUUCUACGAAACACUGAAAUAGGCAAAAAAAACAGCUACUCAGGCUGGGCCUCCGGUUAGUAGGUUAGUCCCAAAAAUGAUAUAAAAGUGUAAAGUAAAGCCCAUAAACAUCCAAAACAGGUAAUAUAAUAGCAUGGAACAAUUAAAAAUUAUAGAUACGUUGGAGACGUAUCAAGCAUCCCUAAGCUUCAUUCAUGCUUGUCCUCGAGUAGGUAAAUGAUAAAAACAUAAUUUUUGAUGUGGAAUGCUACCUAGCAUAUUUCUCAAUGUAUUACUCUUUAUUGUGGCAUGAAUGUUUAGAUCCAAAUGAUUCAAAAUAAAAGUUCAUAUUGACAUAAGAAAUAGUAAUACUUCAAGCAUACUAAUAGAGCAAUCAUGUCUUCUCAAAAUAACAUGUCUAAAGAAAGUUAUCCCUACAAAAUCAUAUAGUCUGGCUGUUGCUCUAUCUUCAUCACACAAAGUAUUUAAUCAUGCACAACCCCGAUGACAAGCCAAGCAGUUGUUUCAUACCUUAGUAAUCUCAAACUUUUUCAAUUUUCACGCAAUACAUGAGCGUAAGCCAUGGACAUAGCACUAUAUGUGGAAUAGAAUGGUGGUUAUGGAGAAGAUAAAAAAGAGAAGAUAGUCUCACAUCAACUAGGCGUAUCAACGGGCUAUGGAGAUGCCCAUUAAUAGAUAUCAAUGUGAGUGAGUAGGGAUUGCCAUGCAACGGAUGCACUAGAGCUAUAAAUGUAUGAAAGCUCAACAAAAGAAACUAAGCGGGUGUGCAUCCAACUUGCUUUCUCACGAAGACCUAGGGCAUUUUGAGGAAGCCCAUCAUUGGAAUAUACAAGCCAAGUUCUAUAAUGACAAAUUCCCACUAGUAUAUGAAAGUGACAACAUAAGAGACUCUCUAUCAUGAAGACCAUGGUGCUAUUUUGAAGCAAAAGUGUGGAAAAAGAGAUAGUAGCAUUGUCCCUUCUCUCUUUUUCUCUCAUUUUUUUUUAUUUUCUCCUUUUUUUUCUUCUUUUUUCUCUUUUCUUUUUGGUGGGCUUCUUUGGCCUGUUUUUUCAUGGGCUUCUUUGGCCUCUUUUAUUUUUAUAAAGUAUGAAGUCUCAUCCCGACUUGUGGGGGAGUCAUAGUCUUCAUCAUCCUUUCCUCACGGGGACAAUGCUCUAGUAAUGAAGAUCAUCACACUUUUAUUUAUUUACAACUCAAGAUUACAACUCGAUACUUAGAACAAGAUAUGACUCUAUAUAGAUGCCUCCGGCGGUGUACCGGGAUAUGCAAUGAAUCAAGAGUGACAUGUAUGAAAAAUUAUGAGGUGGCUUUGCCACAAAUACGAUGUCAACUACAUGAUCAUGCAAAGAGAAAUAUGACAAUGAUGAUGCGUGUCAUAAUAAACGGAACGGUGGAAAGUUGCAUGGCAAUAUAUCUCGGAAUAGCUAUGGAAAUGCCAUAAUAGGUAGGUAUGGUGGCUGUUUUGAGGAAGAAAUAUGGUGGGUGUAUGGUACCCGCGAAAGUUGCGCGGCACAAGAGAGGCUAGCAAUGGUGGAAGGGUGAGAGUGCAUAUAAUCCAUGGACUCAACAUUAGUCAUAAAGAACUCAUAUACUUAUUGCAAAAAUCUUCAAGCCAUUGAAAACAAAGUACUACGCGCAUGCUCCUAGGAGGAUAGAUUGGUAGGAAAAGAGCAUCGCUCGUCCCCGAUCGCCACUCAUAAGGAAGACAAUCAAUAAAUAAAAUUGUGCUCCAACUUCAUCACAAAGCGGUUCACCAUACGUGCAUGCUACGAGAAUCACAAACUUCAACACAAGUAUUCUUUAAACUCACAAUUACCCAACUAGCAUGACUCUAAUAUCACCACCUCUAUAUCUCAAAACAAUUAUCAAGUAUCAAAUUGAUCAUAGCAUCCAAUUCACUUUCUAUGAUAGUUUUUAUUAUACCCAACUUGGAUGCUCAUCAUUCUAGGACCAAUUUUAUAACCAUAGCAAAUACCAUGCUGUUCUAAAGGACUCUCAAAAUAAUGUAAGUGAAGCAUGAGAUAUUAACAAUUUCUACAAAAUUAAGCCACCGCCGUGCUCUAAAAGAUAUAAGUGAAGCACUAGAGCAAAAAUUAUCUAGCUCAAAAGAUAUAAGUGAAGCACAUAGAGUAUUCUAAUAAAUUUCAAAUCAAGUAUUUCUCUCCCAAAAGGUGUGUACAGCAAGAAUGAUUGUGGUAAACUAAAAAGCAAAGAUUAAUAUCAUACACGACGCUCCAAGCAAAACACAUAUCAUGUGGCGAAUAAAAAUAUAGCUCCAAGUAAAGUUACCGAUAGACGAAGACGAAAGAGGGGAUGUCUUCCGGGGCAUCCCCAAGCUUAGGCUUUUGGUUAUCCUUGAAUAUCUUGGGUUGCCAUGGGCAUCCCCAAGCUUAGGCUUUUGCCACCCUUUAUUCCAUAGUCCGUCAAAUCUUUACCCAAAACUUGAAAACUUCACAAUACAAAACUCAACAGGAAAUCUCAUAAGCUCCGUUAGUGCAAGAAAGAAAAACCACCACAUAUUACUGUAAUGAACUCAUUAUUUAUUUAUAUUGGUGCUAAACCUACUGUAUUCCAACUUCUCUAUGGUUCAUACCCCUACAUACUAGCCAUAGAUGCUUCAAAAUAAGCAAACAACACACUAAAAGUAGAAUCUGUCAAAAACAGAACAGUCUGUAGCAAUCUGUAACUUUCGAAUACUUAUCGAACUCCAAAAAUCCUAAAAAAAUAGGAAGUCCUAGGAAAUUUGUGUAUUGAUCUACAGAAAUAAGAAUCAACGCAAAAUCAUGUUCCUGUGAUUUAUUGAUUUUUUUUCUCGUGAGCACAAAGUUUCUGUUUUUCAGCAGAAUCAAAUUAACUCUUACCAUAGGUUAUCCUAUAGGUUCUACUUGGCACAAACACUAAUUAAAACAAGAAAACACAUCUAAACAGAGAGUAGAUGCAAAAUUUAUUACUAACAUAAGCAAAAACAAAGAAACUAAAAUAAAAAUUGGGUUGCCUCCCAACUAGCGCUAUUGUUUAACGCCCUAAGCUAGGCAUAAAAGCGAGGAUAGAUCUAAAUAGUGCCAUCUUUGGCAUUUGAUUCAUAAGUAGAUCGCAUGAUAGAUUCAUAAGGUAAUUUGACUUUCUUUCUUGGAAAGUGCUCCAUGCCUUUCCUUAAUGGAAAUUGGAAUCUAAUAUUCCCUUCAUAUCAAUAAUUGCACCAAUCGUUCUAAGGAAAGGUCUACCAAGAAUAAUAGGACAUGAAAGAUUGCAAUCAAUGUCAAGAACGAUAAAAUCUACGGGCACAUAUUUCCUAUUUGCAACAAUAAGAACAUCAUUGAUCCUUCCCAUAGGAUUUUUAAUGGUGGAAUCCGCAAGGUGCAAAUUUAAAGAGCAAUCAUCAAGAUCAUGGAAACCUAGAAUAUCAUAUAAAGUUUCCAGAAUUGUGGAAACACUAGCACCCAAAUCACACAAAGCAUAACACUCAUAAUCUUUAAUUUAAAUCUUUAUAGUAGGUUCCCACUCAUCAUUAAGUUUUCUAGGUAUAGAAACUUCCAAAUUAAGUUUUUCAUCAUAAGAUUGCAUCAAGGCAUCAACAAUAUGUUUGGUAAAGGCUUUAUUUUGACUAUAAGCAUGAGGAGAAAUCAACACGGAUUACAACAAGGAAAUACAAUAUAUUAAAGAGCAAUUAUCAUAAUUAAAUUCCUUGAAAUCCAAAGUAGUGGGUUCAUCACUAUGUAAAGUUUUGACUUCUCCAAUCCCACUUUUACCAAAUUUAGCAUCAAGAUCUAAAAACUUCGAAUCAUUGGGACGCCUUUUAACUAAAGUUGACUCAUAUCCAGUCCCAUCAUUAUUAAGAUUCAUAUUGCAAAACAAAUAUUUAAUAGGGUACACAUCAAUAACUUUUAGAUCUUCAUCAUUAUUUUCAUGGAAACUAGAACAACACGCCUUCACAAAGCAAUCUUUCUUGGCACGCAAUCUAGCGGUUCUUUCCUUGCACUCAUCAAUGGAAAUUCUCAUAGAUUUGAUAGACUCAUUGAUAUCAUGCUUAGGAGGAGUAGAUCUAAGUUUCAAAGAUUCAACGUCAAGCGAAAGUCUAUCAAUGUUCCUAGCCAAAUCAUCAACUUUAAGCAUUUUUUCUUCAAGCAAGGCAUUAAAAUUCUUUUGAGAGACCAUAAAUUCUUUCGCACUAUUUUCAAAAUCAGAGGGAAUCUUAUUAAAAUUACCAUAAGAAUUAUUGUACGAAUUUCCAUAAUUAUUAGAGGAAUUACUAGGGAACGGUCUAGAAUUAAAGUUUCCUCUAUAAGCAUUGUUACCAAAAUUAUUCCUACCAACAAAAUUCACAUCCAUAGAUUCAUUAUUAUUCUCAAUCAAAGUAGACAAAGGCAUAUCAUUGGGAUCAAUAUAAGCACUCUUAGUAGCAAACAAUUUCAUAACUUCAUCCAUCUUUCCACUCAAAACAUUAAUUUAUUCUAUAGCAUGCACUUUUUUACUAGUAGAUCUUUCGGUGUGCCAUUGAGAAUAAUUAGCCAUAAUAUUAUCAAGGAGUUUAGUAGCUUCUCCUAAGGUGACUUCCAUAAACGUGCCUCCUGCGGCCGAAUCUAAAAGAUUUCUAGAAGCAAAAUUCAAUCCGGCAUAAAAAUUUUGUAUGAUCAUCCAUAAAUUCAAACCAUGAGUAGGGCAAUUGCGAAUCAUCGAUUUCAUUCUUUCCCAAGAUUGGGCAACAUGCUCAUGAUAAAGUUGUUUAAAAUUCAUAAUAUCGUUCCUAAGAGAGAUGAUCUUAGCGGGAGGAAAAUACUUAGAGAUAAAGGCAUCCUUGCACUUAUUCCAUGAAUCAAUACUAUUUUUAGGCAAACACGGAAACCAAAUUUUAGCACGAUCACUAAGUGAAAACGGAAAUAACUUCAAUUUAACAAUAUCAUUAUCCGUAUCUUUCUUCUUUAGCAUCUCACACAAAUCAACAAAGUUGUUUAGAUGGGUAACGGCAUCUUCACUAGGAAGGCCGGAAAAUUGAUCUUUCAUAAUAAGAUUUAGCAAAGCGGCAUUGAUUUCACAAGGACUCAACAUCAUUAAUAGGAGCAAUCAGAGUACUAAGGAAAUCAUUAUUAUUAGUAUUGGAAAAAUCACACAAUUUGGUAUUAUCUUGCGCCAUCACGACAAGCAAUCCAACACACAAGCAAACAAAAAGGCAAGCGAGGGAGAGGAGAUUGGGAAAGAGAGGGUGAAUAAAACGGCAAGGGUGAAGUGGGGGAGAGGAAAACGAGAGGCAAAUGGCAAAUAAUGUAAUGCGAGGGCGUUGAGUUUGUGAUGGGUACUUGGUAUGUCUUGACUUGAGCGAAGACCUCCCCGGCAACGGCGCCAGAAAUCCUUCUUGCUACGUCUUGAGCUUGCGUUGGUUUUCCUUGAAGAGGAAAGGGUGAUGCAGCACAGUUGCGUAAGUAUUUCCCUCAGUUUUUGACAACCAAGGUAUCAAUCCAGUAGGAGGCUCCUCACAAGUCCCACGCACCUACACAAACAAACAAGAACUCGCAACCAACGCAAUAAAGGGGUUGUCAAUCCCUUCACGGCCACUUGCGAAAGUGAGAUCUGAUAGAGAUAAUAUGAUAAGAUAAAUAUAGUUUUGGUAUUUUAUGAUAUAGAUUGGAAAAGUAAAGAUGCAAAUAAAAGUAGAUUGAAAGCUUAUAUGAUAAGAGAUAAACCCGGGGGCCAUACGUUUCACUAGUGGAUUCUCUCGAGAUAGCAUAAUUAUUACGGUGGGUGAACAAAUUACUGUCGAGCAAUUGAUAGAAAAGCGAAUAAUUAUGAGAUUAUCUAGGGAUGAUCAUGUAUAUAGGCAUCACGUCCGUGACAAGUAGACCGACUCCUGCCUGCAUCUACUACUAUUACUCAACACAUCGAUCGCUAUCCAGCAUGCAUAUAGAGUAUUAAGUUCAUGAAGAAUAGAGUAACGCAUUAAGAAAGAUGACAUGAUGUAGAGGGAUAAACUCAUGCAAUAUGAUAUAAACCCCAUCAUUUUAUCCACGAUGGCAACAAUACAAUACGUGCCUUGCUGCCCCUGCUGUCACUGGGAAAGGACACCACAAGAUUGAACCCAAAGCUAAGCACUUCUCCCAUUGCAAGAAAGAUCAGUCUAGUAGGCCAAACCAAACUGAUAAUUCGAAGAGACUUGCAAAGAUAACUUAAUCACACAUAAAAGAAUUCAGAGGAUAUUCAAAUAUUUCUCAUAGAUAAACUUGAUGAUAAACGGAUCUCGACAAACACACAACAAAAAGAGUUACAUCGAAUAGAUCUCCAAGAACAGGAAGGAGAACUUUCUAUUGAUAAUCAAAGAGAGAGAAGAAGCCAUCUAGCUAAUGACAAUGGACCUGAAGGUCUAUGGUAAACUACUCACAACUCAUCGGAGAGGCCUUGGAUAUGAUGUAGAGGCCCUCCAUGGUGGAUUCCCCCUCUGGCGGAGCGCCGGCGACGGGUCCAAGAUGGGAUCCCGUGGAUACAGAAGGUUACGGUGGUGGAAAUAGUUUUUCGUGGUCGCCUUUGAUGGUUUCGGGGUACAUGGGUAUAUGUAGGAGGAAGAAGUAGGUCGAUGGAUGCUCGAGGGGCCCACGAGGGUGGGGGCGCGCCCACCUAUAGGGGGCACGUUGGGUACCCUCGUGGCUGCCUUGCUUGUUUCUUGACUUCCACUCCAAGUCCUCUGGAUCAUGUUUAUUCCAAAAAGAUCGCUCCCGAAGAUUUCAUUCCGUUUGGACUCUGUUCGAUAUUCCUUUUCUACGAAACACUAAAAUAGGCAAAAAAACAGCUACUCAGGCUGGGCCUCCGAUUAGUAGGUUAGUCCCAAAAAUGAUAUAAAAGUGUAAAGUAAAGCCCAUAAACAUCCAAAACAAGUAAUAUAAUAGCAUGGAACAAUCAAAAUUUAUAGAUACGUUGGAGACGUAUCAGAGCUGCCCAUCAAUUGAUGUCAAUGUGAGGAGUAGGUAUUGCCAUGCAACGGAUGCACUAGGGCUAUCGGUGUAUGAAAGCUCAGACUGAAAACUAAGUGGAUGUGCAUCCAACUUGCUUGCUCAUGAAGACCUCGGGCAUUUGAGGAAGCCCAUCAUCGGAAUAUACAAUCCAAGUUCUAUAAUGAAAAUUCCCACUAGUAUAUGAAAGUGAUAUCUCAAGAGACUCUCUAUAUGAAGAACAUGGUGCUAUUUGAAGCACAAGUGUGGUGAAAGGAUAGUAACAUUGCCCCUUCUCUCUUUUUCUCUCUUGUUUUUUAUUUUCUCUUUUUUUAUUUUUUUUUAUUUUUUUGUGGGCUUCUUUGGCCUCUUUUUUUUAUUUGGGCUUGUUUGGCCUCUUUUAUUUUUCAUAAAGUCCGGAGACUCAUCCCGACUUUUGGGGGAAUCAUAGUCUCCAUCAUCCUUUCCUCACUGGGCCAAUGCUCUAAUAAUGAUGAUCAUCACACUUUUAUGUACUUACAACUCAAUAUUACAACUCGAUAUCUAGAACAAAGAUAUGACUCUAUAUGAAUGGCUCCAGCGGUGUACCGGGAUGUGCAAUGAUCUAGCAUAGCAAAUAUAUCAAAAAAUGGACAAGCCAUGAAAACAUCAUUGUCGGUGUCAAAACCGGCGGAUCGCGGGUAGGGGGUCCCGAACUGUGCGUCUAGGCGGAUGGUAACAGGAGACAAGGGACACGAUGUUUUUACCCAGGUUCGGGCCCUCUCGAUGGAGGUAAAACCCUACUCCUGCUUGAUUAAUAUUGAUGAUAUGGGUAGUACAAGAGUAGAUCUACCAUGAGAUCAGAGAGGCUAAACCCUAGAAGCUAGCCUAUGGUAUGAUUGUUGUUUGUCCUAUGGACUAAAACCUCUCCGAUUUAUAUAGACACCGGAGAGGGCUAGGGUUACACAGAGUCGGUUACAAUGGGAGGAGAUCUACAUAUCCGUAUUGCCAAGCUUGCCUUCCACGCAAGGAAAGUCCCAUCCGGACACGAGAUGAAGUCUUCAAUCUUGUAUCUUCAUAGUCCGGGAGUCCGGCCAAAGGUCAUAGUCUGGCCAUCCGGACACCCCCUAAUCCGGGACUCCCUCAGUAGCCCCUGAACCAGGCUUCAAUGACGACGAGUCCGGCGCGCAGAUUGUCUUCAGCAUUGCAAGGCGGGUUCCUCCUCCGAAUACUUCAUAAAAGAUUUUGAACACAAGGAUAGUGUCCGGCUCUGCAAAAUAAGUUCCACAUACCACCGUAGAGAGAAUAAUAUUUACACAAAUCUAAUCUACUGACGUAUUCCGUAGCGUGUCAUGCUACGGCCAAGCCUUUAUUCGAAUCGUUUUACUGUCCCACCUCAGCGCGUUUAGCGAGGCGGUUUCCUUGGCACUUCUUGUCAAAGCAGAGAUCGUGUCCCCUUAUUCCGGGAUUCUCAUCAAUACGGGCGUGGGUAACCCAACCGUGCCAUUAAUCACGGCGCUUGGGAGAUAAGCGAGUUUUACCAGGCUGGCGGGGGCACAUAGUUUCGGCCGCCCAUAUAAGGGGAUAAGAAUCCACCCUUUCCAUCUACGCCUUCCUCCUCCUUUGCUUAUCCAUUCUUGCGCACUCGAGCUCCAGCACCCAAGUCCACACUUACCACCUCAACCUUCUCCAACCAUGUCCGGAGCGGGAGGCAGGUGGAUGGCCUCCACCGUCACGGAGGGGCACAUCAAAAAGUUGAGGAAAGCCAGAUACUUGUCCAACGACAUUGCGCACCGGCUCCCGGAUGAGGGGCAGCUCAUCCCCACCCCCAGGCCCCAUGAGAGGGUGGUGUUCCUCACCCAUUUCCUUCGCGGACUGGGCUUCCCACUCCACCCAUUUGUCCGGGGGCUCAUGUUCUAUUACGGCCUGGAUUUCUAUGAUGUGGCCCCGAACUUCAUCCUCAACAUCUCGGCGUUUAUCAUCGUGUGCGAGGUAUUCCUCCGCAUCAAGCCCCACUUCGGCUUAUGGCUGAAGACCUUCAGUGUCAAGCCGAAGGUUGUGGGCGGUCGACAAGCGGAGUGCGGAGGCGCCAUGGUGGGCAAGAUGCCCAACGUCACAUGGCUCGAGGGCUCCUUUGUGGAAACCAUCAAAGGGUGGCAAUCGGGGUGGUUCUACAUCACCGAGCCGCGUGACCCUGAAUGGGCAGCGGCCCCCGAAUUCCAAUCUGGCAUCCCCACACGGCUCACCUCCUGGAAAGAGACGAGCCUAUUGUGGGGUAAUUCAUAAGAGGUGACCGGACUCCAAACCUGCGUCCAAAACCUGGUGGACAAGAAGGUUAAACUUGUCAACGUAGUCCAGGUCAUGCUCUUCCAUCGGAUCCUCCCAUGUCAACGACGGGCUUUCAAUUUGUGGGAGUUCGACCCGGCCCGGCACCAAACUUUGUCCAGGCUCUUCGACACAACGCACGAGGACGCCUGGAAGGUGCUAUUCAAGAGCUCCGAGGUUCCCCCUCCCAUCACAGAGGAUCGCGGAUUCUGCGCAAAGCGCCAAGCCAGCGAAGUAAGCUUGUUUUACCCUUUACAGGAUACUUGUUAUUCAUAGUGUGACUCUAUGCGGGAUCUAAGCUCCCGCUCCUUUGACAAGACUGGAAGAAGACGUCUGGACAGUUUGACUGUCCGGCUCCUUUGCCCGAAGGCCCAGCGGAUGCACACUUAACGAAGCUGCUGGUUCCGGCACCUCACGUGGUGCCGGAGAAGAAGGCCAAGAAGAAGGCCAUGGGAACUUGAAAGAGUUCCCGGCGCCUGGUGGUGUCGGAUUCGCCUGACGACCCCAAAGCGCACUCCUCCUCCGAAGAUGAGGAGGAGGAAGAAAAAGCCUCUCCCCCUCCAACGGGGGGAGGAAAGAAAAGGAAGGCCGCCCCAACUGGGGAGGCCGGAGGGUCCAAGAAGGGGAAGACCCUUCUUCCGGACUACGCCUCUGACGCCGACGACGGCGGAGAGGAGUGGCCAUCCAGGGCCAAGCCCCUGGCCAAAUCAUAAGUAUCCGGAUACCAGAAUAACUCAUGGCGUUCCUUUAUUGCAUAGCACCUUCUGACACCGAAUAUAAUCGUGCAGUCCGCCCAAGGCUCAGCUCGACGAUUCGUCGAGCGGCUCCCUGGAUUCGUCGGAUGUGAAUAGUCUUUCACUCCCGACUGCUACCUCCCCCCGCCCUACGGAAAAUGCCGAGGUGGAGUCCCAAAAGGGGCUAAGCCAGGAGGAGGUGGUCCUGGAGGCGCCGCAAGGUGACCUCCCGGACUCCAGGCCCAAAGGGGAUAAAACCCCAGAGGGAUCUAAGUCCGGCCCUGGGCCGGACACCGCACCGGAACCUUUAGUGGUUCCGGAGUCCGGCAGGCGCCCCCCUCGCAAGAAGGGCAAGCCUAUGACGCCGGUGGCCUCCGUCCAACCGGAGGUACCGGACAAUUUGCUGGAGGUGCUUAACGGCGCCUCCAUCGACGAGGAGCACCGCACUAUUAUGAGUGCGGUGAUCCAGAAGGUUCAGUCUGCCAAGGGCGGGCUGAUAGAAGCAUGUGCCAACCUUCUAACAGGCUUUGAGGUAUGUAUUUAAAACAUGUAAAAAUAUUACCGCAUAGACAGUAGCCCCUGAUGCUCAGUUUGGUGUUCGGAAAGAAAAGCCGGACUGAGGAUCUAAAAAGAUAUACUCAGGAGUCUAACAUAAAUAUGUCAAUAUGGAAUGCAGGUUGUGCUGCUGACCUCUGUCGCACUGACUGCGGAGGUCGAUGCAUUGAAGUAGAGCCUCGAACCGUUCGAGAACAAGCUCGGACUUGCCAAGAAGCAGCUCGAGGACAAGGAAGGUAGGUAGUACCUUAUGUAAGUAUAUAUAAAAAUACCUAGUUGCAAAUAGUGGCAGGACCAACAUGAAUGUUACAGGGGCCACAACCGAGGUGGCGACCCUGAAGGAAGUGUUGUCCAAGGCCGAAGAUAAUGCGGCCGUGGAGUGCACCGAGCGAGAAAAGCAGGAGGCGCGGGCGGAGGAGGUGCGGCAAGAGCUCCAUGCUCUUGUGAAGAAACACGAGAGAUUGGAGCUUGACUCAAAAACUCGAGAGUCCGAGCUUGCCUCGGCCCUUGAGAGCGCCAAAUCGGCCAAGGCCGAAGCCCAAAAAGCCCUCCAGGAAAUGGAGGCGAUGAAGGAGAUAGCGGCGGGUAAGGCAUUCUUUAUGCAAAGCAAGCACGUGAAAGUGAAUUACUUGUUACUUACCCGAGUCCGGAGCUCUCCAGGAGCAUUCGCAGAUCUACCCCGCAGUGUAUCUGACGCCGCCGCAUUCUACCGAGCCAAGGAAGGGAGCUCGACGGAGAAGGUGUUCUGGUCCCAGUAUGUUGAGGCCGGACACCCGGUGCCCUUGAGCGACCAGCUGAAGCAGCUGCUCGAGCUCCAUAAGGUAGCCGAACAGGCCAUGAAGGGCCUAAUAGUCCGGCUCUGGCCUGGGGAGGUUAUGCCUGGGAGCUACUUUGGGCUGGUGAGGCAGCUGGUGGAUGCAUGUCCACAGCUUGAAGUUAUCAAGCACUCUGUAUGCAUCGAAGGCGCCCGUAGGGCCCUUGCCCGUGCUAAAGUGCACUGGGGCAAGCUAGAUGCUGAGAAGCUGGUGACAGAUGGGCCACCUGAGGGGAAGGAGCAUCGCAGGCCCGAGAUGUAUUAUGAGGGCGUCCUGAAGGGUGCCCGCCUUGUGGCGAACGAAUGUUCCAAGGAUUUAAUUUUUGAGUAAACUCGCUCGUGUUUAUCCUGUGCGCUGAAAACUUGUUCAUAUGCGUUAAGCAACGCUUUUUGAAUUUAAAAUAUUACCUUCUGUGCGGCCGUUUAUUAAAUCUGAGAGAUGCAAGUCGUCGGCUUCUACCCCCAUGCCACGAGUGCUGCGGUGUUCGGGAUAAACCUGAGCGCUCUUGUUCCCAUUCUUGGGUCCUUCGAGGGAGGCGCUCAGCACAACGAACAAGGCAAUCGAACUAUAAUGCUUUAUCACUCUCACUUAGCCAUAGAAUUCUAUAAUUUUAAAUUUCGGCGAAGCCCCUAGUAUUCGGAAGACAGAGUUCGGGGCGCUAUCCAUGCCUAGGACGGACAAAGCCAGCUCCUCGCUCUAAGUGGCAUAAGUCUUUAGGGACUCGAAAAACCUCUCGAACAGCGACCGGCUCUUGCCCUAUCAUGACGGUCAGUUUUAGCUUUCUCUACUGAGGUGCUCAAUCCAGCUCAACUGGGGCACAAAUGCAGUAGUCCUCCCAGCGCUACCUUAGCCGAUAUAGCGGAACGUAAGGUACCAAAACAUGGGAGCCGGGAAAACCCAACUAUUAACCCAAGACAUGAUUCGGAGCCGAUGCAUAUAAUGCUAUAAGUUCGUGGUGCCGCACUCGUCAGAGUGUUCGGACUUCUCACACCAUAUUCUGGGGUACUUGAGCCCCUGGUGUAUUGGCCGUACCAAAGUGUACGGUUGCAUAAUGUCAUAACUGAACAUAUUUACAUAAAAAAUGAAUGCAAUAAUAGACAAGAGCUAUGUAUUGUUUUAUUAAAAGGCUGCCUUAAAAGUAGAAUGAUACAAAUAGUGCGAUAAGCAAGGGGUGGGAUUAUUUGACAUGUCCCCCUCCAGGGGCAAGCUGUGAGACUUUAAGUAAGACAGGUAUUUAGCUCGUUAUAGAGACCACCUGGACAUUCGACGUGGCUUGCUGUCUCCCUGGCUGUUGCAUCGUGUGUUCGGCGAUUGUACUGCCGGACAGGCCUUCCUGAGAGUGGAGUCUUGAAAGUAAGAAAAGAUAAAUGACAAAACCAGGAGCCCCUAGUGCGGUUGAGCCGCAUUCUGGGCGUGCCAUGGUUGUGCCCCUCCCCUUAUGCCCAUGGUAUUUCCAUAGCGUAAUUAUGUACGCGUGGUACUGGUUUCGCAAUCUCGCGAGGGCUGGGGUUGGGGCCGCACUGCUAUGCUUGCUCGGAACGUGCCAGACGGUCUUGUUGUAGGUUACUCCGGGCACGCUUGACGGUGUCCAGACGUUUAACAGCCGGACUGGAGAAUUGCCUUGAGAGGCUACUUUGUACUUCCGCCGCGAGGGCCGCCGUGUGCUCCUCUGUUCGGAGAGAGCGUUCGGUGUUUCCAUUGACCGUAAUGACUCCUCGAGGGCCUGGCAUCUUGAGCUUGAGGUAUGCGUAGUGCGGCACCGCAUUGAACUUUGCAAAUGCGGUUCGCCCUAGCAGGGCAUGAUAGCCACUGCGGAACAGGACUAUGUCGAAGAUUAACUCCUCGCUUCGGAAAUUAUCCGGGGAUCCGAAGACCACUUCGAGUGUAACUGAGCCUGUACAGCUGGCCUCUACACCUGGUAUGACGCCUUUAAAGGUCGUCUUUGUGGGUUUAAUCCUUGAGGGGUCUAUGCCCAUCUUUCGCACUGUAUCCUGAUAAAGCAGGUUCAGGCUGCUGCCGCCGUCCAUGAGGACUCUAGUGAGGUGAAAUCCGUCAAUGAUUGGGUCUAGAACCAAUGCGGCGAAUACGCCGUGACGGAUGCUAGUGGGGUGGUCCCUUCGAUCAAAAGUGAUCGGGCAGGAAGACCAUGGGUUGAAUUUUGGGGCGACUGGCUCCAACGCAUAUACAUCCCUGAGUGCACGCUUCUGCUCCCUUUUGGAGAUGUGGGUUGCGUAUAUCAUGUUUACCGUCCGCACUUGUGGGGGGAAACCCUUCUGUCCCCUGUUGUUCGGCGGCCGGGGCUCCUCCUCGUCAUCGCUAAGCAGCCCCUUGUCUCUGUUUUCGGCACUUAACUUGCCUGCCUGCUUGAACACCCAACAAUCCCUGUUGGUGUGAUUGGCUGGUUGUUCGAGGGUGUUGUGUAUCUGGCACGAGCGAUCGAGUAUCCGGUCCAAACUGGUUAGGAACCGUGUCCAGAAUUGUCUGGUCGAUUCCUCUGGCUGCUGAAUUAUGUGGCUUAGGUCGUCGUCGUCUGGUGGUCGCACAUAGGUGCCCUGGAAAUUGUCGAGGAAUGCGGAUUCCAGGUCCUCCCAGCAACCAAUUGACUCUGUUGGCAAGCUGUUAAGCCAAUGUCGAGCUGGUCCUUUAAGCUUGAGUGGGAGGUAUUUGAUAGCGUGUAGAUCAUCGCCGCGGGCCAUGUGGAUAUGAAGGAGAUAAUCCUCGAUCCAUACCGCGAGAUCUGUUGUGCCAUCAUAUGAUUCGAUAUUUACGGGUUUAAAACCCUCGAGGAUUUGAUGAUCCAUUACUUCGUCUGUGAAGCAUAGUGGGUGUGCGGCACCUCUGUACUGGGCUAUAUCACGACGUAGCUCAUAUGAGCUUUGCCUGCCGUGUUCGGCCUGGCCGUAUUUGCCAUAUCCGGCGCGAUGGUUAUCGUCACGUGUCGUGGGGCGCCCACGCGAUCCGUAGAUCGAUCUUGUUUGCCUUGCCUUGUCCUCCAAUAUGUCACGCAGGUCUGGUGCAUUUCCCCGUGCCUUGGUAUUUUUUGAGAGACGCCGGGGUGCGGCUUGAAUGGAUGGCCGAGAGGCCUCUCUGUCGCGGCCAUGAGGUGGCCGGUCGGCCGCGUCCUGCGUUGGUGAUGUAGGUUUAGGUGCUUCCUCCUCUAAUUGGGGUAGCAUCCUGCGCUUUGGGUAGCUCUUGGAGGGGCGUUCGAGUUUGUACUCUUUGGCCGCCAGGACUUCAGUCCAUCUGUCGGCUAGCAAAUCUUGGUCAGCUCUAAGCUGUUGUUGUUUUUUCUUGAGGCUACUUGCCGUGGCCAUAAGCCUGCAUUGGAAACGCUCUUGUUCGACGGGAUCCUCGGGCAUGACAAAUUCGUCGUCGGCGACGCUUGCCUCGUCUUCGGAGGCAGGCAUGUAAUUAUCGUCCUCUACCUCUCUGUCUGCCGCUCUCUUAUGAGGGCUGGCUUCUCCAUCCUCCUGCGCUGAAUCCUGCUGGAGGGGGUUGUCUUCGGCACUGUUCGGGGUAUUAUUGUCUCUGGUGCCGGAAUCGCCGUUUUUGCUUUGGCGGGAUUUAGAGCGGCGCCGCUGACGCCGGCGCUUAGGCUGUUUCUUGGAGGGGUCAUCCUCCGUUGUUCCAUCGCCACUCCCUUCUUUCGGGGUGUCCACCAUGUAGAUGUCAUAUGACGAGGUGGCUUUCCAGUGCCCUAUAGGCGCUGGUUCUUGGUCGUCUCCUGCAUCGUCGUCCAUACCGUCGAUGUCUUCGGAGUCGAAGUCGAGCAUGUCGGUUAAAUCAUCGACAGUGGCUACGAAGUGGGUGGUGGGUGGGCUUCGAAUUUCUUCGUCGUCCGCAUCCCAACCUUGCUGACCGUAGUCCGGCCAGGGCUCUCUGGAUAAAGAGAGAGACUUUAGUGAAUUCAGGAUGUUGCCAAAGGGCGAGUGCUGAAAGAUGUCCGUGGCGGUGAACUCCAUGAUCGGCGCCCAAUUGGGUUCAAUCGGAAGGGGUGCGGAAGGUUCGGAGUCCGGAAAGGAGUCCGGCACCUUGGAGUCACGAGCCUCACAAAGGAUGGGGCUGGUAUUCGGCUCGAUCAUCGUAGAGAUUGUAGCCCCCGAGGCGGUGUCCAACCAUCCGUCCUCGAUUGGUGCAGUCGGCUCCGAGCUAAAGGUCAGAGCGGACACUAGGGCGGCCUCCGGGGCACUGUUCGGCGGCAGAGCUAGAUCAUGCCCGUCGUGACAGUGCAGCGCACUAGGUUGUGGCUCGAAUCCAUCGAAGAUCAAGUCCCCGCGGAUGUCGGCAGUGUAGUUCAAACUCCCAAAUCUGACCUGAUGGCCAGGGGCGUAGCUUUCGAUCUGCUCCAGAUGGCCAAGCGAAUUGGCCCGCAGUGCAAAGCCGCCGAAUAUGAAGAUCUGUCCAGGGAGAAAAGUCUCACCCUGGACCGCAUCGUUGUUGAUGAUCGUAGAAGCCAUCGAGCCUAAAGGUGACGAAACAGAGGAACUCUCAAUGAAAGCACCAAUGUCAGUGUCAAAACCGGCGGAUCUCGAGUAGGGGGUCUCGAACUGUGCGUCUAGGCGGAUGGUAACAGGAGACAAGGGACAUGAUGUUUUUACCCAGGUUUGGGCCCUCUCGAUGGAGGUAAAACCCUACUCCUGCCUGAUUAAUAUUGAUGAUAUGGGUAGUACAAGAGUAGAUCUACCACGAGAUCAGAGAGGCUAAACCCUAGAAGCUAGCCUAUGGUAUGAUUGUUGUUCGUCCUAUGGACUAAAACCUCUCUGGUUUAUAUAGACACCGGAGAGGGCUAGGGUUACACAGAGUCGGUUACAGUGGGAGGAGAUCUACAUAUCCAUAUUGCCAAGCUUGCCUUCCACGCCAAGGAAAGUCCCAUCCGGACACGGGACGAAGUCUUCAAUCUUGUAUCUUCAUAGUCCGGGGGUCUGGCCAAAGGUCAUAGUCCGGCCAUCCGGACACCCCCUAAUCCGGGACUCCCUCAAUCAUGCUAGCUAUCUUACGAUCAUGCAAAGCAAUAUGACAAUGAAUUCUCAAGUCAUGUAUAUGAUGAUGAUGGAAGUUGCAUGGCAAUAUAUCUCGGAAUGGCUAUGGAAAUGCCAUGAUAGGUAGGUAUGGUGGCUCUUUUGAGGAAGAUAUAAGGAGGCUUAUGUGCGAUAGAGCGUAUCGUAUCACGGGGUUUGGAUGCACCAGCGAAGUUCGCACCAACUCUCGAGGUGAGAAAGGGCAAUGCACGGUACCAAAGAGGCUAGCAAUGAUGGAAGGGUGAGAGUGUGUAUAAUCCGUGGACUCACAUUAGUCAUAAAGAACUCAUAUACUUAUUGCAAAAUUUUAUUAGCCCUCGAAGCAAAGUACUACUACGCAUGCUCCUAUGGGGGAGGUUGGUAGGAGUUAACCAUCGCGCGCCCCCGACCUUCACGCAAAGAUAAACAAUCAAAAUACAAUGCGCGCCAAUUUGGUUACAUAUUUAGGAUUAGGAGACCAUACGUGCAUGCUUCGAGAAUCAAAAACCUUAACACCAAUAUCCUUACUAAACACAACCAUUUACUAAAACCUCCCACAUAUUGUCAUCUCUAUAUCGCAAAACUAUUGCAAUGAAUCAAACAUAUCAUAUUCAGUGAUCUACAAGUUUUAUGCAGGAUUUUAUGACUAACCAUGUGAAUGACCAAUUUAUGUCAUCUCUCUAAAUAGAUAUAAGUGAAGCAAGAGAGUUUACUUAUUUCUACAAAAGAUAUGCCCAUGCUCUAACAAAUAUAAGUGAAGCAAAAGAGCAUUCUACAAAUGGCGGUUUUCUAUGUGAAGAGAAACAGGCAAUCCAAACUUCAAAUGAUAUAAGUGAAGCACAUGAAGCAUUCUAUAAAGCCAUACUCAAAAGAUUUAAGUGAAGUGAAAUGAGCAUUCUAUAAAUCAACCAAAGACUAUCUCAUACCAGCAUGGUGCAUAAAAGAAAAGUGAAAACUAAAUGCAAAAGACGCUCCAGGAUUUGCACAUAUCACAUGAAUGAAACGAAUCCGAAAACAUACCGAUAGUUGUUAAAGAAAGAGGGGAUGCCUUCCGGGGCAUCCCCAAGCUUAAAUGCUUGAGUCUCCUUGAAUAUUUACUUGGGGUGCCUUGGGCAUCCCCAAGCUUGAGCUCUUUCCUCUCCUUCUUUUCCUCAUACCGAGACUUCCUCGAUCUUCCAACACUUCAUCCACACAAAACUUCAACAGCAAACUCGGUAAGAUCCGUUAGUAUAAUAAAGCAAAUAACUACUCUAAGUAAUGUUGCAAACCAAUUCAUAUUUUAUUUUUUAAUUGUGUCUACUGUAAUAUAACGUUUCCAUGGCUUAAUCCACUGAUAGAAAUUGAUAUUUUCAUCAAAACAAGCAAACUAUGCAUCAAAAACAGAAUCUGUCAAAAACAGAACAGUCUGUAGCAAUCUGAACAUUCCUCAUACUUAUGUUACCCGAAAAGUUCUGCAAAAAUUAGGAAAAAUAAAAAAUUUGUAUAGAAAGACAGUGCAAAAAGAAUCAGAACCGUUUGGCAUUCCAGUAAAAAAUGUAAAAUCGCGCACUACAACCGAAGUUUCUGUCCUGCAUCUCACAAACCAACAAGCAUUGUAAACAACCUAAAGGCAAACCUUAGCACAUUAUUUUUAUAAUACAAUGGAAUUGUACAAGGGGAUAAUUAUUUUUGUUGAAAAGUUUCUGUAAUCAAGAUUCACAAAGUUUCCGUGAGCAUGAACAAAGUUCAAGGAGCUCUCCCACUUCAAUAAUGCUUGUCUCUCUCACUUUCACUUUUCUUUUUGAAAAGUUUUGGGUUCCCCUAUUUAUUUUUUGUUUUUUAAACUUUAUGAAAGCACUCAACAGAAACAAAUGACUCUCUAAAACUUCCGGCUUAUCUCCCUGGCAGCGCUUUCUUUCAAGCCAUUAAGCUAGGCAUAUACUGCUCAAGUAAUGGAUCCACCCAGAUCCCAAGGUAUAUCAAAGCCAAUUUUAAUUAACAAUGAUUUGUAAUUUAGUAGUGAGCACAAAGUAACAUAUAUCACGCAACAACGAAGUCUAACUCUCUUCCUAUGCAUCGGCAUGUCAUAAAAGAACAAUUCACGCACACCAAGUAAAGGCCAAUGCAUAGUAUAAGCAGUUUCUUGCAAUUUUAUCAUAUUGGAAACAUAGAGAGGUGGAGAUAUAGUUCCUCUCUCAUAAUAAUUGCAAGUAGGAGCAACAAGCACAUGCAUAUCACAUUCAUCAAAAUUAUCAUGUGCAAUGGUAAAAGGCAACCCAUCAAUAUAAUCCUUAAUAAGCACAAACUUCUCCGAUAUAGUGUAGUUGGGAGAAUUUAAAAAGAUAAAGGACUAUCAUGCGUGGGUGCAAUAGCAACAAUUUCAUGUUUAACAUAAGGAACUAUAGCAAGUUCAUCUCCAUAAGCAUAGGCAUCUUGGCCACAAGCAUAGCAAGCAUCAUCAAAAAUGGAUAUUUCAAGAGAAUCAACGGAAUCAUAACAAUCAUCAUAGCAAUCGUCCUUCGGUAAGCACGAAGGGAAAUUAAAGAAUGUAUGAGUUGAAGAGUUACUCUCAUUAGAAGGUGGGCACAGGUAGCUAAUCCGCUCUUCCUCCUUUUGUUCUUCGCUCUCCUCAUCAUCCUUUUCAUCCAAUGAGCUCACAGUUUCAUCAAUUUCUUCUUCCUUAUACUCAUGCAAAAUAUUAGUCUCUUCUUGGACAGCAGAGACUUUCUCAAUAAAUGCAUCAAUAUCGAAAUUGUAUUCAUAAUUCUCAUAGCAAUAUUUAAGUAUAGCAAAAUUUUCAGGUUUGUAAACAGCAUCAUCAAGAUUUUCACACUCUUUAAACAAAGAUUCAAUUCCAUAAGCACCCAUAAAAGCAACGAAUUCUUCUAUUUGUUCCACAUCAUAGUAAUCAUAUAUACCAUUAGCAUAAGAAGCUAAGGUUUUAUCAUCAUUGAAUUUGCAUGAAAAGGGAAGGUGUGGAGCCUUCAUCCUAGAGCAACAAGUAUAAUCAUAACUCAAGCAUAGUUGCCUAGCAUACCAAUGCAACAUAUGAAUUUGAUCCCAUAAUAGUUUCCCUUUUUGGGUCAAGCGAUAAUCCCUAAAGUAUUCAUGUUGAUCCAACGUGUCUCCCAUAACAUAAUGAAUGGGGUUUUCUCAGGAUUAUCAAAGUAGUACAUAAUAAUUUUUCACAUAACCAGCAUCGAGGGUUUUAGGAGGUUCCCCAUCUCCAUGAGUAGCAAGUACACCUAAUUUUUUUGGUAUUUCAUGUUCCAUAUCCAUCACUAAAGAUAGAGAACAACUUAGAACAGCAAAUAAAAAUUACUUAGUGAUAAAGCAAACAAGCACACACGAGAAUAUUCACCCCAUGCUAUGACUCCCCGGCAACGGCGCCAGAAAAAGGUCUUGAUAACCCACAAGUAUAGCGGAUCAAUUGUAGCCUAUUUCGAUAAGUAAGAGUGUCGAACCCAACGAGGAGCUAAAGGUAGAACAAAUAUUCCCUCAAGUUCUAUCGACCACAAAUACAACUCUACGCGCGCUUGACAUUCGCUUUACCUAGAACAAGUAUGAAACUAGAAGGACUUUGUAGGUGUUGUUGGAUAGAAUUGCAAGAUAAUAAAAGGCACGUAAAUAAAAAUUAGGGGUUGUUUAGAUAAAGAAGCAAUAAAGUAAAUAUAGCGAGUGUGGAAAAGUGGUGGUAGGAGUUGUGAAAUUUUCCCUAAGUAAUUGACUAUUUUACUAGACCGAUAGCAAGUUUUAUGUGGGAGAGGCAUAAGCUAACAUACUUUCUCUUCUUGGAUCAUAUGCACUUAUGAUUGGAACUCUAGCAAGCAUCCGCAAGUACUAAAGAUCAUUAAGGUAAAACCCAACCAUAGCAUUAAAGCAUCAAGUCCCCUUUAUCCCAUACGCCACAACCCCCUUACUCAGUUUUAUGCUUCUGUCACUCAAGCCACCCAUUAUAAGUAAAUCAUGAACGUAUUGCAACACCCUACAGCGGGAAUCCCUCACGCUUGCGCGACACGGAGGGCAUAAUAGGAUAGCAACAUAACCACCAGAAAAUUAAACCAGUCAUAGCAAUUCAUCAAUCACCGAUAGGACAAUGAAAAUCUACUCAGACAUCAUAGGAUGGCAACACAUCAUUGGAUAAUAAUAUGAAGCAUAAAGCACCAUGUUCAAGUAGAGGGUACAGCGGGUUGCGGGAGAGUGGACCGCUGAAUAUAGAUGGGGGAAGGUGAUGGAGGUGUUGGUGAAGAUGACGGCGGUGUUGGUGUAGAUCGCGGUGAUGAUGAUGGUCCCUGGCGGCGUUCCGGUGCCACCAGAAGCGAGGGGGAGAGAGCCCCCUUCUUCUUCUUCUUCAUUGACUUUCUCCCUAGAUGGGAGAAGGGAUUCCCCUCUGGUCCUUGGCUCCCAUGGCAUGGGAGGGGCGAGAGCGCCUCCGAGAUUGAAUCUAUCUCUCUGUAUCUCUCUGUUUCUGCGCUCUGGAUUCUGCCCUUUCACCGUUUCUUAUAUAUCCGGAGAUCCGUAACUCCGAUUGGAUUGAAACCUUAGCCAAGAUUUUUCUUCGAAAAUUAGCUUUCUUGCGGCAAAAGAAGAGCAUCAACCUCCUUACGGGGUGCCCACAAGGGUCAGGGGGCGCCCCCCUGCCUCGUGGCCCCCUCGGGCACCGUCUCGCAUUGAUUCGUCUUCCCAAAUAUCACAAAUAUUCCAAAAAUAUUCUCCAUCCGUUUUUAUCCCGUUUGGACUCCGUUUGAUAUGGGGUUUCUGCGAAACAUAAAACAUGCAACAAACAAGAACUAGCACUGGGCAUUGGAUCAAUAUGUUAGUCCCAAAAAUAGUAUAAAAAGUUGCCAAAAGUAUAUGAAAGUUGAAUAAUAUUGGCAUGGAACAAUCAAAAAUUAUAGAUACGACACAGACAUAUCAGUUGUUUUUGUUGUUGUUGCCUUGAUUCUGGUUCUGGUUCUGGACUAACAUCUGCAUCAAGGCAUUCUGCUGCUGGAUCAACUGGGUGAGCUCCGGCGGGAAAAUGAAUCCGGUGUCACGUCUCGGAGACAUCUGAUGGGUUAGAAGGGGUGAGAAAACAGAAUAGAUUAAGGUCUAAGAGAGAUUCACUACCCAUAUGCAUAUGAGGCAAAUACAAUCAAUUCACUUCAUUCAAUAUCAAACAAGGUUCACACAAAUGAUCUAAACUACGAUUACAAAUCGAUCGACACUGACUACUUAGAAGAAUACUACUAGUAACAUGGUGGUCGUCUAGAAAUUUUGAUUGGUGGAAGACUCCAUAAUAUGAGCUCCGGCUUCGUUUAUGUAGUCGUCAUCACUGUCAUCAUUUGCAUCACUAUCCAUGUCGAUGUCGCCCAAGAUGAUGUAGUCCUCCGAACGGAUCUCCACUUCAGGUUCUUGCUUCUGGUUCUCCACGGGUAUUCCUAUCUUCCUCUUCAGGUCUUCAUGCUUCUCCAGUAGUACAGCAAUUUCUUCCUCAUAUCCAUCGCGUGUUGACUUGAGUUCCUCUUCUAGCUCGAUAUUCCCCUUCAUCAGCUUCUUGGUCUUCUUCAUGAUAGCACACAUCUGGUUCUCAUAUUGACGAAUGUGUUGAUCCAUCUCCUAAAUGUAUGUUGCAAUUGAUCCAUCCUUCUUGGUAUGAAUCAUCUCCCAUUCCUCGUCUCGGCGUCCACAUAUCUGAUAGACAGUGUCUUCAAGCUCCUUGUGGUACACCUUGCAAAUGCGUCCAAAAGUGAUGUGGGUUGCCAUACUCUUUCCUAGGUUCCAACUUGGAGCAUCCAAGGUAAAAUCAAUGGGCUCCGUUGUUGGCGCAAACGUCCUCCCAGGUACACGAACUUUGAUCCUCCAGCGCUCCUCUUCCGGUAAAGUUGCAACAAAAGUUCCAGUGAAGCUUGGUAGUCCAAUUUUCAGGUACUUCUGACAUCCUUCAAGUGUCGUCCGAAAGGGGUGUCAUCAUCCGACUGAGUGAACUUGUUCCUAGGGUCCGCCAUCUAUAGAGUAGAAAUAGAGGUGAAUUAGAAAUGAGCAAAGAAGAGUAAUCAUGUGGCUUUUCCUAGUGGUCACGUCCUACAGUCAACAUUUGCUCUAAUACCAUCUUGUAGCGACCACGAUCCCAAUGGACCGAAGUCUCUGUGCUUAAGUGUCAUCCCUGGAUCGGUAUGCUGACACACACAGUACUCGAAGAAUUAUAACCGAGUUCAAUCAGACACUUAUUACAUCGAGGUCCUCAAAAAGAGUAUCUGUUGCACAAAUAAAAUGGCUGAAGGUCAUUUGAACUAAAUAACUAUGGAAGCUUCGAAGAUAAAUGAGGCCAUCAACUCCAACGACAUAGCUGAGUGCAUGACAACGACCUAUCGCACCUUAAUCUUUGUCGGUAAAGUUUGCAACAUGAGACAUUGCAGCCGUGUAGGUCAGCACAUUGAAUAUGCUGGCAGAGUUACACUAUAGAUCAAAUGAAUACAAGAAAACUAUAUCUACAUGCAUAUUUGGCUGGUGGAGGUUCUAAGUUUAAUGUUUUGCAUAAAGCCAAUUUUUUCCUACAACAAAGGAAUAAAUUUUGUUUACUACAAAGUUUUAAAAAUAUUUUGAGAACGUUCCUCCAACUCAAAUCCCAACAUUAAUCAAGUAUCAUCAUUAAACCCAAUACAAUUAAUUAAGGAGUGAUGAGAUCAACAAUAAUAUCCACUUCUAGAUACUCAAGAUGUCCAUAACCGGGGACACGGCUAACCAUGAUUAGUUUAUACACUCUGCAGAGGUUGCGCACUUUUCCCCACAAGACUCGACCAUAUCCAUGAUUGGAAGAUCGAGACAUAGUAUUUCUAAAGCAUUAACUCUCUACUCUGGGUAGACCGGUACACCUACUUUCCCCUACAUAUGCUAGUCCACCUCUUCAAGAGCUCACACAACUUACUCAACUAUGCCAGAGCCCAUAAUGGCUUGUGGCUGCACACGGAAGUUUCUAGGCAUGAAAUAUCAUAUGAUCCCUUUGAGCCUGGGUGGUGCACCAAGGAAAAAUCACAGGGGUACUCCGGGAUUUCCCAAAUGGGCAAGCACUGGUUUUUCCAGGUGCCCCAACCAAUCCACCCAGAUAUGUAUUAAAGUUGCCACCUUAAUGUUAUCCAGAAUUAUUAACUCUCACAACUUCCAUGUACAUCAUGAUCCAAUCCCCGUCUACGAGCAUGACUAAGCAAUAAUUGAGCAUAACAUAUAUUCCUAGGGUGAUCAAAGGUUUUAGGUUCCUACCUCAAGUACUACAACCAAACCACAUGUUCCCAAUCCUACUCAUGCAAAUAUUUGAAGGGCAAAACUAAUGCAUAGUAAAAACUGGGUAUAGAAAAGUAUGAUCAAAGUGUAACUUGCCUUGCUGACGGUCAGAAAACUCUAGAGAUUCAUAGUAACAAGCUUCGCACUCCAGAAAAUCUAGCGUAGACAAAUAGUAGCAUACAUAAGCAAUCAAUCAAACGAUGACAAGAGAACUCUAGAAAAGAUCCAAAUAAAACUCGAAACAAGCAAAUAGCUAAACUAAAUAGAAACAAACUCUAACAGCAUUAUUUUUAUGUGGAUUUGAUCUUAACAGUAGGUAUCUGUGAUUAGCUAUGAUUUGCAAAAAGAAUCAACUCAAACGGAGCUACGAAACUCAAGAAACACGAAACAAGAUCGAAUACUAAACUGAACUAAACUCAAAUUUUAAAUUAUUAAAAUCAUGUUCAAGUUGGUUUACUGGAAAGAGGGAAUUGUUAUGAAGAAUUAGGCGUUGGUCUCAUCUAAUUUGGACAAACGAGCUAAAAGUUACGCUAGUUUGACAAUCAGGGGCUAAAUUGCGAUAAAACUAUUCGUGGAUAAGUCCCUGGCCGAAAAUAAACAGAAAAAGAAAAAUCUGUCGGACGAACGUCCGCUAACAGAGACUAACGAAUGUACUCGUUCGUUAAUAGAACUAAUACGGUGAAUGUUUGAUAUUUAAACGAUCUAAUAAAAAUAAACCGGUCUAUCCUAACUAAACCGAAUUUUUUAAAAAACCGAAGAAUAACCGGCGAACUGGGACAGUUUUUUUAUACCCGUUCGGUUGAGGCGGUCAACGGCGAGGCGGGGCGGUCGGCGGCGGGGCUCCAGCGUCGGGCGGCGAGGCGAGGCGAGGCANNNNNNNNNNNNNNNNNNNNNNNNNNNNNNNNNNNNNNNNNNNNNNNNNNNNNNNNNNNNNNNNNNNNNNNNNNNNNNNNNNNNNNNNNNNNNNNNNNNNNNNNNNNNNNNNNNNNNNNNNNNNNNNNNNNNNNNNNNNNNNNNNNNNNNNNNNNNNNNNNNNNNNNNNNNNNNNNNNNNNNNNNNNNNNNNNNNNNNNNNNNNNNNNNNNNNNNNNNNNNNNNNNNNNNNNNNNNNNNNNNNNNNNNNNNNNNNNNNNNNNNNNNNNNNNNNNNNNNNNNNNNNNNNNNNNNNNNNNNNNNNNNNNNNNNNNNNNNNNNNNNNNNNNNNNNNNNNNNNNNNNNNNNNNNNNNNNNNNNNNNNNNNNNNNNNNNNNNNNNNNNNNNNNNNNNNNNNNNNNNNNNNNNNNNNNNNNNNNNNNNNNNNNNNNNNNNNNNNNNNNNNNNNNNNNNNNNNNNNNNNNNNNNNNNNNNNNNNNNNNNNNNNNNNNNNNNNNNNNNNNNNNNNNNNNNNNNNNNNNNNNNNNNNNNNNNNNNNNNNNNNNNNNNNNNNNNNNNNNNNNNNNNNNNNNNNNNNNNNNNNNNNNNGUCGGCGACGGCGAGCAGCGGCGGCGGCUAGCGGCAGCGGCGUGGGUGGCAGUGGCAGCGUCAGCGGCACAGCGCAGCAGCAACAACAAGCGGCGGCGGUGGGGUGCGGGUGUGGCGGUGGCACGAGCGGGCGGCGGUGGCGGCUUGGGCGGCGGCGACGAUUUGUGAGAAGGAGGGGCGGCUCAGGGCCGGCUUAUAAAGGCCCGAGGGAUGGUGUCCGACUUGGGCAGGGGGCAACCGGCGGCGGUGGUGGCACGGACUCCUAGCCGGAGUCUGGCUUGGUUGAGGCGGGGCGCGGGGAAGGCGGUCGGCGGCUGGGCCUUGGCCUGGCUUCAGCUAGGCCGGCCCAGUCAGCAUGCGUGCGGGUUUUUUUUAAACAGCGCCGCGAAGAAAAAUCCUAAAAAAAUAAAAUGAAAAUCCUAAAAUUCCGGAAACAAUUUUCACCAUCCCCUCCUAAUAUUUGAAAAAUGUGAACAUUUUUCUGGACUAAAUGCAAUUUUUAAAAAAUGCAUCUUUUUCCCUAGUUAAAUAAAAUGCAAUCGAAUAAAAUUGGACAUAAAAUUCAAAUAAAAUAAUUUGACUUCCAAAUUUCUUUUCCAACAUUUCUCCUCUGUUUUUUUAAGAAGUCCUUUUAUCUUCUCUCUUUUAUUUUUAUUGUUUUGAAAUAAUUGGAAAGGAUUUGGUGAAAUCAAAUUGAUCCACUUCUCAAAUUUGAAUAAAUUCAAAAAUGAAAUUUAUAUGAAACCUCCAACUCAAUCCUUGGGUCCUUGAGUUGCUUAGGAUUUCUUGGAUCCCAACCAAAUAAAAUCCAAGAAUGCAAUAAAAUAUGAAUGCAUAUGAAUUAUCUAUGUAUAACAUCCAAAUUGAAAAUUGGGAUGUUACAGUACCCCUUCACCCUCCUAGACUAUGUAUACUCCUCCUCUGCCCUCUUUCUAGGGUUUGCAUUGUGAUAGCUCAUAUUUGAGAUAGAGCUUUGCUCAUCCACUUGGUUACUUCUCCUUGGAGCUCACAACCUCGUCAGAGAAGAUCCCCCAAGCGGAUUUAAGACCCCAUCACGGGAAGACCCUUCAAGACCUCCUCAUAGAGAAGACCUUUUGUAUCGUCCUUUGUUGACUUUAAUCGUGUAUCACUCUUUAUGUUUCGAGGAUCUAGCACAUGUGUAAUCGAAUCUUGUUGGUUUGAGUGAUUCUCUCGUGUUUUCCCUCAUGUUUCCCCUCAUGUUCUUCGUGUCGUUGGGAUCCGCUCCUUUCAUGAAGGUCGGGCAUCUAGGGUUCCACCCUACAUCAUCUUGGUAUCAUGAGCCACGUUGAUCACGUAUUUGGAGCCCCUACCCUUUGUUUUCUAGCUUGAUUUUGUUGUUUUUCGACCUAAUCCGAAAAUCCCCACCAAAAAUAGCCCCAAUUUUUUUUGUGAUUUGUUGGUGUGAUGAAGUUUUGUUGGAUUUGAUCCAUGGAUUUGCUUUGCCACGUGUGUAUCUAGCUUUCCCCCAUCUUCUCUGCCUUUUCCAUCCACAAAAUCACCCGAAUUUUUCCCGCACUUUCCACUUCCCCAUGGAGUUCAUCGAGUUCAUCCACGGACCCCGAGCCCGGACAUCCGGCCUGUGACCCCCGGACAUCCGGCCGACCCCAGACAUCCGGCCUCUUGGCCCGGACAUCCGGCCCCUGUCAGCAAAAUUUCCAUCCACCGCCUUGUUUUCCCGCCUAACUUUCUCCAAAUUUUGUUCAGGUGCCACAUACACUUCCGCAUACCACCAUUACUUUCGCAUACCACCACCGCUUUCCGUAAGCACCACCUUUGCUCACGCGCUAUCAACUCCGACAAUUUUGACCCAUUUUGGUAUUUGGGAAUUUGAGUUGUGGUUCCCGUGUCCUAUUGUGUUUCGGCUAUAUAGGUACGGUGCGACAUCAACGUCACCGCCGCUCAUCUUCACCAAGGACUCAUCAUCUCCGACAUCGACCGCUACACAAUUUUGACACCUCGACCGUAAGCAAGAAUGAUAACCUCUAUAUCACCUUGGUAUCGUGGUAUCUUUUCAUGGUACAUUCCUUGACAUUGCAUUGAUAACCACCAUAGCCUUAUUUUUGCGUUGCUUCCCCAUCAAGACUAGCCUUUGAGUAUUGCCGGCAACAUGACUUGUGCACAUUAGUGAUCAUACUUCCCAUAUCAUAUAUACCAUAUCAUAGUGGUGCAUAUCUUGGUAUCAUAUUUUGUGUCACAAAGUUGUCAUCGCAUACACAAUUGCUAUCUUGGUUCGUGAAGUUGCAUGCGAAAAGAGCUCAAAAGUGAAAGAGACAAACAAGCUUUUAAGCAAAAGGAAAAGAUAAGCAAAGAGCUUAUAAGUAAGAACCUAGCAUCAUACUACAUUAAGAUUGUCAUACUCGAUCAUCUUGGAUCAUAUCACCGAAAUACCAUACAUAUAGCAUAUUGGGAUAGAAGUCGUUGCAUUUUUUCUUAGUAGGUUGUGCACAAGUUCCGUAUCCGCCUAUUGUGCAAUCGUGCUAGCGUCUCUCUAGUGUUGUGCAACAAGAGCAUUUUCGUGGAUUCCACAUUUUUGGCUCAUUCAUUGGUUGCACAACCCCACUUCUCUAUUUGCGUGUGUGUUUCCAUGUACCAUACCUUGCUAUUGGUCAACUUGUUGCAUUUGCAAAUUUGUGAAUCUUUUCCAACAGUAUUAAAGCUCACUAACAAUUGCAUCAAAUUUUGUGCCACCAUCCUAACCGAGCUCCACCAUAAGCUUUUACUUGUGUAGGUGUGAGAACCAACAAGAAUUGGUACCAAUUGUGCUAUUUCCUUGUUCCACAUUUGAGUGAUCAUUGAUCCAUCUUCAACAUCGGUCAAGGUACAUUUGGUAUAAUUUCUUCUCAUUCUCCCACUCACAUAUUUAUUUGGAAUGAUGGAUAGGCCAAGUUCUUCUACCAACCCACUCUUCAUCGAGCAAGACGACGACAUGUCAUCCUAUGUCACCAAGAGCCACCACUUCGGUGCACAACGAGCUUUGCAUCAAGAACAACAAGCAAUGAGCGACCGCAUGGACAAUCUCGCCACCGACUUGCGACUCCCCGAGCAACGAACAAGAGAGUACUUCGACAACAAGCUCGACGCUCACAAACAAGAGAACGAUGCAAGAAUGGACGAGAUUCGUGCCUUGUUGGUGAACCGCCAUUCUAACACUUCGUCCUACUCAAGACGGAGCCGCUUGAGUCGACACUCCGACGUCACCCUCUCCGGCUCAAGUACACCGACAUCAAACACUAUGUCGAGCCGCGCGCCAAGACUGUCAAGCAACUCGCAAUCCUCUACACGACAAUCAUCCGCAAGAGCAAUUCGACGAGCAAGCACAUCGCCAUCGUCAAAACCAAGCUCCUCUUGUACAAGCACAAGAAAGGCAACGUCAACGUCUACAAGAGGAAGAGAGAGCGCGACAACAUCAAGACAAACAAGAUGUCGAGGCUCAACAUCUUCAACAACAACAUGAAGCACAAGCUCUUGAGGCGCAACAUGCACUUCAAGAAUCAAGUCGAGCCAUUGCCAACCGCAACCACGAUAGGCGCAAUAAAGAGGAAGCACUUCGCAAAGAAAUUCAAGAGCGAAACUACAAAGCAAGAGUGCAUUGUCAAGUUCCUCAAGCUCCUCCACAAGCUUGACAAGCUCCUCCACAACCUCAAGUUCAUCAAGAGCAAGAUGACUUUGGAAAUCCUCCAUGUCAAGAGUAAUAUGAGUUUGACAAUCCUCCGCGUCUAGGGCAUCAUCAUCACCCUCGACCCCAACACAAUGAAGAGCAACGCUAUGGCAAGCUCAAGUUCACCAUGCCCAAGUUCAAUGGAAGCAAUGAUCCCGAAGAGUACCAUUCAUGGGCAUUGAAGGGUGACAAGAUCUUUCGUUAGCACAACUAUGAUGAAGAGAAUAAGAUCACUAUGGCAUCCCUUUGAGUUCCAAGACUAUGUGCUCAUAUGGUGGGAACAAGUCCUUGAGCGCCGAGAAGCAAGAGGUGAACCAGCAAUCACCACAUGGGAGGAAAUGAAAGAUGUCAUGCAUGCACGCUUUGUGCCAACCUACUACAACCGUGAUAUAUUCAAGAAACUCCAACUCCUCAAGCAAGGAACAAAGAGCGUUGAAGAAUACUACAAGGAAAUGGAGAUUGCCAUGAUAAGAGCCAAUGUCACGGAAGAUGAUGAGAAAACUAUGGCUCGUUUCUUGAAUGGCCUCAAUCAUCCCAUCAAGAAGAUUUUUGACUUCCAACCCUACUCCAACCUCAUUGAGCUCGUGCAUCAAGCUACCAAAGGAGAACGUCAAGUGCAAGAUGACUUAAAAUACGCCAAGUACUUUUUGAAGAGCUACGGCUUCUCCAACACCCAAGCUUCAACGACUCCAACAACUCCUACCUCAACCAAACCAUCUACAAGCAACAGCGACAAGUCGAAUUACAAGAAAACUUUGACCACCUCAAGUCGUCCUCCUACUACAAGAAACUUCAAGCCACGAGCUUCAUCAUCUACUCCGACCGAUGAUACCGUCAAGACAAGCUCCAUCAAGUGUUUCACAUGCGGUGGCCGAGUGUACCAACAAGUGCACCAUGAUCCUCAACGACGAUGGAACCUAUAACUCCAUGAGUGAAGAGGAGAUGGAAGCCCUUGAGAAAGUGGCCAUGCACCGGCGCGUGAACAAAGAUGAAGAUGAUCAAAUCUUUUGUGAUGAGGAUUCGAGCCCCGCUCUCGUUGUCUCCAAAGUCUUGACUCUUCAACAUCAACAAGACGAAGACCAAAGUGAAGGAAAUAUUCCCUAGAGGCAAUAAUAAAGUUAUUAUUUAUUUCUUUAUAUCAUGAUAAAUGUUUAUUAUUCAUGCUAGAAUUGUAUUAACCGGAAACAUAAUACAUGUGUGAAUACAUAGACAAACAGAUUGUCACUAGUAUGCCUCUACUUGACUAGCUCGUUGAUCAAAGAUGGUUAUGUUUCCUAGCCAUAGGCAUGAGUUGUCAUUUGAUUAACAAGAUCACAUCAUUAGGAGAAUGAUGUGAUUGACUUGAACCAUUCCGUUAGCUUAGCACACGAUCAUUUAGUAUGUUGCUAUUGCUUUCUUCAUGACUUAUACAUGUUCCUAUGACUAUGAGAUUAUGCAACUCUCGUUUACCGGAGGAACACUUUGUGUGCUACCAAACGUCACAACGUAACUGGGUGAUUAUAAAGGUGCUCUACAGGUGUCUCGGAAGGUACAUGUUGGGUUGGCGUAUUUCGAGAUUAGGAUUUGUCAUUUCGAUUGUUGGAGAGGUAUCUCUGGGCCCUCUCGGUAAUGCACAUCACUAUAAGCCUUGCAAGCAAUGUGACUAAUGAGUUAGUUGCAAGAUGAUGUAUUACGGAACGAGUAAAGAGACUUGCCGAUAACGAGAUUGAACUAGGUAUUGAGAUACCAUGAUCGAAUCUUGGGCAAGUAACAUACCGAUGACAAAGGGAACAAUGUAUGUUGUUAUGCGGUCUGACCGAUAAAGAUCUUCGUAGAAUAUGUGGGAAUCAAUAUGAGCAUCCAGGUUCCGCUAUUGGUUAUUGACCAGAGACGUGUCUCGGUCAUUUCUACAUUGUUCUUGAACCCGUAGGGUCCGCACGCUUAAGGUUUCGAUGACAGUUAUAUUAUGAGUUUAUGAGCUUUGAUGUACCGAAGGAGUUCGGAGUCCCAGAUGAAAUCGGGGACAUGACGUAAAGAUCGAUAUAUUGGACGACUAUAUUCAGACUUCGGAAAGGUUCCGAGUGAUUCGGGUAUUUUUCGGAAAUGGUCGAGACGUAAAGAUCGAUAUAUUGGACGACUAUAUUCAGACUUCGGAAAGGUUCCGAGUGAUUCGGGUAUUUUUCGGAGUACCGAGAGUUACGGGAAUUCGCCGGAGAGUAUAUGGGCCUUAUUGGGCCAUACGGGAAUAGAGGAGAGAGGCCGAAAGGAAGGAGGCGCGCAGCCCCCCUCUGGUCCGAUUUGGACAAGGGGUGCAGCCCCCUUUUCCUUCCUCCUCUCCCCCUCUUUCCUUCUCUCCUACUCCAACAAGGGAAGGAGGAGUCCUACUCCCGGUGGGAGUAGGACUCCCCCCUUGGCGCGCCUCCUCCUGGCCGUCCGGCCCCUCCCCCUUGAUCCUUUAUAUACGGGGGCAGGGGGGCACCUCUAGGAACAACAAUUGAUCCCUUGGAUCUCUUAGCCGUGUGCGGUGCCCCCCUCCACCAUAGUCCAUCUCGAUAAUAUCGUAGUGGUGCUUAGGCGAAGCCCUGCGAUGGUAGAACAUCAAGAUCGUCACCACGCCGUCGUGCUGACGGAACUCUCCCUCGACACUCGGCUGAAUCGGAGUUCGAGGGACGUCAUCGAGCUGAACGUGUGCAAGAACUCGGAGGUGUCGUAGUUUCGGUGCUUGAUCGGUCGGGCCGUGAAGACGUACGACUACAUCAACCGCGUUAUUCCAACGCUUCCGCUUUCGGUCUACGAGGUUACAUGGACACACUCUCCCCUCUCGUUGCUAUGCAUCACCAUGAUCUUGCGUGUGCGUAAGAUUUUUUUUGAAAUUACUACGUUCCCCAACAGUGGCAUCCGAGCCUAGGUUUUAUGCGUAGAUGUUAUAUGCACGAGUAGAACACAAGUAAGUUGUUGGCGAUACAAGUCAUACUGCUUACCAGCAUGUCAUACUUUGGUUCAGCGGUAUUGUUGGAUGAAGCGGCCCGGACUGACAUUACGCGUACGCUUACGCGAGACUGGUUUUACCGCCGUGCUUCGCACAUAGGUGACUAGCAGGUGUCUGUUUCUCUAACUUUAGUUGAACCGAGUGCGGCUACGCCCGGUCCUUGCGAAGGUUAAAACAGCACUAACUUGACGAACUAUCGUUGUGGUUUUGAUGCGUAGGUAAGAACGGUUCUUGCUCAGCCCGUAGCAGCCACGUAAAAUUUGCAACAACAAAGUAGAGGACGUCUAACUUGUUUUUGCAGGGCAUGUUGUGAUGUGAUAUGGUCAAGACGUGAUGCGAUAUUUUAUUGUAUGAGAUGAUCAUGUUUUGUAACCGAAGUUAUUGGCAACUGGCAGGAGCCAUAUGGUUGUCGCUUUAUUGUAUAAAAUGCAAACGCCCUGUAAUUGCUUUACUUUAUCACUAAGCGGUACGAUAGUCGUAGAAGCAAUAGAUGGCGUAACGACAACGAUGCUACGAUGGAGAUCAAGGUGUCGUGCCGGUGACGAUGGUGAUCACGAUGGUGCUUCGGAGAUGGAGAUCACAAGCACAAGAUGAUGAUGGCCAUAUCAUAUCACUUAUAUUGAUUGCAUGUGAUGUUUAUCUUUUAUACAUCUUAUUUUGCUUAGUUUGACGGUAGCAUUUUAAGAUGAUCUCUCACUAAAUUAUCAAGAAGUGUUCUCCCUGAGUAUGCACCGUUGCGAAAGUUCUUCGUGCUGAGACACCACGUGAUGAUCGGGUGUGAUAGGCUCUACGUUCAAAUACAACGGGUGCAAAACAGUUGCACACGCGGAAUACUCAGGUUAAACUUGACGAGCCUAGCAUAUACAGAUAUGGCCUCGGAACACGGAGACCAAAAGGUCGAACGUGAAUCAUAUAGCAGAUAUGAUCAACAUAGUGAUGUUCACCAUUGAAAACUACUCCAUCUCACGUGAUGAUCGGACAUGGUUUAGUUGAUUUGGAUCACGUGAUCGCUUAGAUGACUAGAGGGAUGUCUGUCUAAGUGGGAGUUCUUAAGUAAUAUGAUUAAUUGAACUUUAAUUUAUCAUGAACUUAGUCCUGGUAGUAUUUUGCAAAUUAUGUUGUAGAUCAAUAGCUCGCGUUGUUGCUUCCCUAUGUUUUUGAAUCCCUAUGUUUUUAUAUGUGUUCCUAGAGAAAACUAAGUUGAAAAAUGUUAGUAGCAAUGAUGCGGACUUGGUCCGUGAUCUGAGGUUUAUCCUCAUUGCUGCACAGAAGAAUUAUGUCCUUGAUGCACCGCUAGGUGACAGACCUAUUGCAGGAGCAGAUGCAGAUGUUAUGAACAUUUGGCUAGCUCAAUAUGAUGACUACUUGAUAGUUUUGUGCACCAUGCUUUAUGGCUUUGAACCGGGACUACAAAAACAUUUUUGAAACAUCAUGGAACAUAUAAGAUGUUUCAAGAGAUGAAAUUGGUAUUUCAGACUCAUGCCCGUGUCAAGAGGUAUGAGACCUCUGACAAAUACUUCACCUAAAAGAUGGAGGAGAAUUGCUCAACUAGUGAGCAAGUACUUAGAUUGUCUGAGUACUACAAUCACUUGAAUCAAGUGGGAGUUAAUCUUCCAGAUAAGAUAGCAAUUGGCAGAGUUCUCUAGUCACCGUCACCAAGUUACUGGAACUUCGUGAUGAACUAUAAUGCAAGGGAUGACAAAAACGAUUCCCGAGCUCUUCGUGAUGCUGAAAUCGACGAAGGUAGAAAUCAAGAAAAGAGCAUCAAGUGUUGAUGAUUGACAAGACCACUAGUUUCAAGAAAAGGGAAAGGAAAAGAAAGGGAACUUCAAGUAGAAUGGCAAGCAAGUUGUCACUCCCGUGAAGAAGCCCAAAGCUGGACCAAAGCCUGAAACUGAGUGAUUAUACUGCAAAGGAAAUGGUCACUAGAAGCGGAAAUGCCCUAAAUAUUUGGUGGAUAAGAAGGAUGGCAAAGUGAACAAGGGUAUAUUUGAUAUACAUGUUAUUGAUGUGUACUUUACUAGUGUUUAUAGUAGCCCCUGAGUAUUUGAUACUUUUUCGGUUGCUAAAUAUUGGUAACUUGAAACAGGAGUUACAGAAUAAACAGAGACUAGUUGAGGGUGAAGUAACGAUGUGUGUUGGAAGUAGUUCCAAGAUUGAUAUGAUCAUCAUCACACUCUCCCUACACUUUCGAGAUUAGUGUAGAACCUAAAUAAAUGUUAUUUGGCAUUUGCGUUGAGCAUGAAUAUGAUUUGAUCAUGUUUAUUGCAAUACGGUUAUUCAUUUAAAGUCAGAGAAUAAUUGUUGUUCUAUUUACAUGAAUAAAACCUUCGAUGGUCAUACACCCAAUGAAAAUAGUUUAUUGGAUCUCGAUCGUAGUGAUACACAUAAUCAUAAUAUUGAUGCCAAAAGAUGCAAAGUUGAUAAUGAUAGUGCAACUUAUUUGUGGCACUGUCGUUUGGGUCAUAUUGGUGUAAAGCGCGUGAAGAAACUCCAUGCUGAUGGGUUUUUGGAAUCACUUGAUUAUGAAUCAUUUGAUGCUUGCGAACCGUGCCUUUUGGGCAAGAUGACUGAAACUCCGUUCUCCAAAACAAUGGAACGAGGUACUGACUUACUAAAAAUAAUACAUACCGAUGUAUGUGAUCCAAUAAGUGUUGAUGCUCGUGGCAAGUAUCGUUAUUUUCUGACCUUCACAGAUGAUUUGAGCAGAUAUGGGUAUAUCUACUUAAUGAAACACAAGUCUGAAACAUUUGAAAUGUUCAAAGAAAUUCAGAGUGAAGUGAAGAAUCAUCAUAACAAGAAAAUAAAGUUUCUACGAUCUGAUCGUGGAGAAGAAUAUUUGAGUUACGAGUUUGGCCUUCAUAUAAAACAAUGUGGAAUAGUUUCACAGUUCACACCACCUGGAACACUAUAGCGUUAUGGUGUGUCCGAACGUCGUAACCGCACUUUAUUGGAUAUUGUGCAAUCUAUGAUCUCUCUUAUCGGUUUAACACUAUCGUUUUGGGGUUAUGCAUUAGAGACAGCUGCAUUCACGUUAAAUAGGGCAACAUCAAAAUCCGUUGAGAUGACGCCUUAUGAACUGUGGUUUGGCAAGAAACCAAAGUUGUCGUUUCUUAAAGUUUGGGACUGCGAUGCUUAUGUGGAAAAGUUUCAACCUGAUAAGCUCAAACCCAAAUCGGAGAAGUGCGUCUUCAUAGAAUAUCCAAAGGAAACUAUUGGGUACACCUUCUAUCACAGAUCCGAAAGCAAGAUAUUUGUUGCUAAGAUGGAUCCUUUCUAGAGAAGGAUUUUCUCUCGAAAGAAGUGAGUAGGAGAAAGUAGAACUUGAUAAGGUAAUAGUACCUUCUCCUGAAUUGGAAAAUAGUUCAUCACUGAAAUCAGUUCCAGUGAUUCCUACACCAAUUAGUGAGGAAGCUAAUGAUGAUGAUCAUGAAACUUCAGAACAAGUUACUACAGAACCUCGUAGGUCUUCCAGAUUAAGAUCCGCACCAGAGUGGUAUGGUAAUCCUAUUCUGAAGUCAUGUUACUAGACCAUGAUGAACCUACGAACUAUGAGGAAGCGAUGAUGAGCCCAGAUUCCGUGAAAUGGCUUGAGGCCAUGAAAUCUGAGAUGGGAUCCAUGUAUGAGAACAAAGUGUGGACUUUGGUGGACUUGCCCUAUGAUCGGCAAGCCAUAGAAAAUAAAUAGAUCUUCAAGAGGAAGACAGACACUGAUAGUAGUGUUACUAUCUACAAAGCUCGACUUGUCGCAAAAGGUUUUUCGACAAGUUCAAGGUGUUGAAUACAAUGAGAUUUUCUCACUCGUAUUGAUGCUUAAAGUUUGUCCGAAUCAUGUUAGCAAUUGCCACAUUUUAUGAAAUCUGGCAAAUGGAUGUCAAAACUGCAUUCCUUAAUGGAUUAUUUAAAGAAGAGUUGUAUAUGAUGCAACUAGAAGGUUUUGUUAAUCCUAAAGGUGCUAACAAAAUGUGCAAGCUCCAGCAAUCCAUCAAUGGACUGGUGCAAGCAUCUCGGAGUUGGAAUAUACGCUUUGAUGAGUUGAUCAAAGCAUAUGGUUUUAUACAGACUUUUGGAAAGGCCUGUAUUUACAAGAAAGUGAGUGGGAGCACUACAGCCUUUCUGAUAACUAUAUGUGAAUGACAUAUUGUUGAUCGGAAAUGAUGUAGAAUUUUCUAGAAAGCAUAAAGGAGUAUUUGAAAGGAGUUUUUCAAAGAAAGGCCUCAGUAAAGCUACUUACAUAUUGAGCAUCAAGAUCUAUUGAGAUAGAUCAAGACGCUUGAUAAGAUUUUCAAUUAAUACAUACCUUGACAAGAUUUUGAAGUAGUUCAAAAUGGAACAGUCAAAGAAAGAGUUCUUGCCUAUAAUGCAAAGGUGUGAAGUUGAGUAAGACUCAAAACCCGACCAUGGCAGAAAAUAGAAAGAGAAUGAAAAUGUCAUUCCCUAUGCCUCAGUCAUAGGUUCUAUAAAGUAUGCUAUGCUGUGUACCGGACCUAUUGUAUACCUUGCUCUGAGUUUGGCAAAUGAGUACAAUUUUGAUCUAAGAGUAGAUCACUGGACAGCGGUCAAGAAUAUCCUUAGUGGGGACUAAGGAGAUGUUUCUCGAUUAUGGAGGUGAUAAAAGAGUUCGUCGUAAAGAGUUACAUCGAUGCAAGCUUUUACACCGAUCCAGAUGACUCUAAGUCUCAAUCUGGAUACAUAUUGAAAGUGGGAGCAAUUAGCUAGAGUAGCUCCAUGCAAAGCAUUGUAGACAUAGAAUAUUUGCAAAAUACAUACGGCUCUGAAUAUGACAGACCCGUUGACUAAAUUUCUCUCACGAGCAAAACAUGAUCAUACCUUAGUACUCUUUGGGUGUUAAUCACAUAGCGAUGUGAACUAGGUUAUUGACUGUAGUAAACCCUUUUGGUGUUGAUCACAUGACGAUGUGAACUAUGGGUAUUAAUCACAUACAGAUGUGUAUUGGUGUUAAAUCACAUGGCGAUGUGAACUAGAUUAUUGACUCUAGUGCAAAUGGGAGACUGAAGGAAAUAUGCCCUAGAGGCAAUAAUAAAGUUAUUAUUUAUUUCCUUAUAUCAUGAUAAAAGUUUAUUAUUCAUGCUAGAAUUGUAUUAACCGGAAACAUGAUAUAUGUGUGAAUACAUAGACAAAUAGAUUGUCACUAGUAUGCCUCUACUUGACUAGCUCGUUGAUCAAAGAUGGUUAUGUUUCCUAGCCAUAGACAUGAGUUGUCAUUUGAUUAACGGGAUCACAUCAUUAGGAGAAUGAUGUGAUUGACUUGACCCAUUCCGUUAGCUUAGCACACGAACGUUUAGUAUGUUGCUAUUGCUUUCUUCAUGACUUAUACAUGUUCCUAUGACUAUGAGAUUAUGCAACUCCCGUUUAUCGGAGGAACACUUUGUGUGCUACCAAAUGUCACAACAUAACUGGGUGAUUAUAAAGGUGCUCUACAGGUGUCUCAAAAGGUACAUGUUGGGUUGGCGUAUUUUGAGAUUAGGAUUUGUCACUUCGAUUGUCGGAGAGGUAUCUCUGGGCCCUCUCGGUAAUGCACAUCACUAUAAGCCUUGCAAGCAAUGUGACUAAUGAGUUAGUUGCGAGAUGAUGUAUUACGGAACGAGUAAAGAGACUUGCUGGUAAUGAGAUUGAACUAGGUAUUGAGAUACCACGAUCAAAUCUCGGGCAAGUAACAUACCGAUGACAAAGGGAACAACGUAUGUUGUUAUGCGGUAUGACCGAUAAAGAUCUUUGUAGAAUAUGUGGGAACCAAUAUGAGCAUCCAGGUUCCGCUAUUGGUUAUUGACUGGAGACGUGUCUCGGUCAUGUCUACAUUGUGCUCGAACCCGUAGGGUCCGCACGCUUAAGGUUUCGAUGACAGUUAUAUUAUGAGUUUAUGAGUUUUGAUGUGCCGAAGGAGUUCGGAGUCCCGGAUGAGAUCGGGGACAUGACGAGGAGUCUUGAAAUGGUCGAGACGUAAAGAUCGAUAUAUUGGACGACUAUAUUCGGACUUCGGAAAGGUUCCGAGUGAUUCGGUUAUUUUUCGGAGUACCGGAGAGUUACGGGAAUUCGCCGGGGGGUAUAUGGGCCUUAUUGGGCCAUACGGGAAUAGAGGAGAGAGGCCGAAAGGAAGGAGGCGCGCAGCCCCCCUCUGGUCCGAUUUGGACAAGGGGUGCAGCCCCCUUUUCCUUCCUCCUCUCCCCCUCUUUCCUUCUCUCCUACUCCAACAAGGGAAGGAGGAGUCCUACUCCCGGUGGGAGUAGGACUCCCCCCUUGGCACGCCUCCUCCUGGCCGCCCCUCCCCCUUGAUCCUUUAUAUACGGGGACGGGGGGACACCUCUAGGAACAACAAUUGAUCCCUUGGAUCUCUUAGCCGUGUGCGGUGCCCCCCUCCACCAUAGUCCACCUCGAUAAUAUCGUAGCAUUGCUUAGGCGAAGCCCUGCGACGGUAGAACAUCAAGAUCGUCACCACGCCAUCGUGCUGACGGAACUCUCCCUCGACACUCGGCUGGAUCGGAGUUCGAGGGACGUCAUCGAGCUGAACGUGUGCAAGAACUCGGAGGUGCCGUAGUUUCGGUGCUUGAUCGGUCGGGCCGUGAAGACGUACGACUACAUCAACCGCGUUGUUCCAACGCUUCCGCUUUCGGUCUACGAGGGUACGUGGACACACUCUCCCCUCUCGUUGCUAUGCAUCACCAUGAUCUUGCGUGUGCGUAGGAAAUUUUUUGAAAUUACUACGUUCCCCAACACAAAGAUGCCACAUCUUCCACACCAAGGUCGGCAUCAAUGGAAGGUCUGUCAAGGUCAUCAUCGAUGGAAGGAGUUGUCACAACUUUGCAAGUGAAGAACUAUGCUCCAAGAUCCAAUUGGUCAGGAUGAAGCACCCGUACCCCUACAAGGUCCAAUGUCUAAGCGAUUCUGGCACCAUUCAAAUUGAGCAUACGGUCAAAGUCUCCUUCAAAAUCAGACCAUAUGAAGACACUUUGGAGUGUGAUGUCAUCCCGGUGUCUGUUUGCCACCUCCUUCUUGGUCGACCAUGGCAAUUUCACUGAGGCGACAUCCACUAGGGCGUACCAAUCACUAUAGAUUCAAGAUGAAAGGGAAGGAGUAUGUGCUACGACCUAUGUCUCCAAGUCAAGUGAUCGUCGAUAAGCAAGCCACCCAUCAUGGAGAAAAGAGUGAGAGAGUGACCCACCCAAAAGAGAGAGAGCGCCACAAGCCAAAAUCGAGUGCCUCCAUGAUGAGCGACAAGAAAAACUUAGUCAUAUUUGCCACCAAAAGUGAGAUUAGAGAAGUGUGUGAGAACCCAUCAAGUGUUAUGCACUAUGUCCUUGUUCCAUACCUCUAACAAGGCUCCCUACCGCGACAACCCCGAGGAAACUAAGGAGAUCCAACGGCAUGUACAAUAACACAUCGACAACGGUCAAGUACGUGAAAGCUUGAGCCCUUGUGUCGUUCCGGUCAUUCUUGUCCCAAAGAAAGAUGGUACUUAUCGCAUGGUUUCCGAUUGUAGUCCCAUCAAUGCUAUCAUAUUAGAUAUCGAUACCCUAUUCCACGCCUAGAUGAUAUGCUUGAUGAGCUUAGCAGAGCAGCCAUUUUCUCUAAGAUUGAUCUUAAGAGUGGCUACUAUCAAAUACGCAUCCAAGAAGGUGAUGAAUGGAAACCACAUUUGAAACCAAAUUUGGCUUAUAUGACUGGCUAGUUAUGCCAAUGGGUUUAUCGCAAGCACCCGAUACUUUCAUGAGAGUCAUGCACUUUCUUCUUCGUCCCUAUAUUGGUGUAUUUAUUAUGGUCUAUUUUGAUGAUAUUCUUGUCUUUAGCAAAUCCCUCAAAGAUCAUGUCACCCAUCUUAGAACCAUGUUGCAAACCCUUAGGAAAGAGCGCCCUUAUGCUAAUAUGGAAAAAUGCCUUUUUGGUGUCGAUAAGCUUGUUUACUUGGGUUUCGUUGUGUCUUCUAAGGGUGUUCAUGUAGAUGAAUCUAAGAUCAAUGCUACUAAAACUUCGCCCCAGCUAACCAACUUGCAAUAAGUGUGUAGUUUUCUUGGUUUAGCUGGUUUCUAUCGUCACUUUGUGAAGGAUUUUAGCACCAUUGCUUCAACUUUACAUUCUUUGAGUAAGAAAAAUGCGCCAUUUGUUUGGGACCAUCCCAAGAUACCACAUUUAAUGAGCUUAAGAAUUUUCUUACUCAUGCCCCCGUGCUUGCAUUACCCAACUUUGAAACCUUUUGAGAUUCAUUGUGAUGCUAGUGGUAAUGGCAUAGGAGGUGUGUUAACGCAAGAAAAGUGCCCCAUAGCAUACUGUAGUGAGAAAUUUUCCGGAGCGCACCUCAAUUAUCCCAUCUAUGACAAAGAGCUAUAUGCUUUAGUGCGAGUUUUGGGCGAAUGUGAACAUUAUCUUCGCCCCCAUGAAUUUAUCAUUCAUACCGAUCAUGAAACGCUUAAGUACUUAAAGGGUCAAACUGAGUUGAACAAACGUCAUGCCAAACGGAGUGAAUUCAUAGAGUCAUUUCCUUAUGUCAUCAAGUACAUCAAAGGUAAGGAAAAUGUAGUGGCGGAUGCUCUUUCCCGCAUAUGCAUGCUUGUCACUAAACUUGAAUUUAAUGUCAUUGGCUUCGAGCACAUCAAAAACUUGUAUGCGCAUGAUCCUACUUUUGCAAUUUCGUAUGCCAAGUGUUUGACGCAUACAUCUUGGGAACGCUAUUACAUCAAGGAUGAUUAUCUUAUGAGAGCUAAAAAACUUUGCAUUCUCGCGUCUUCUCUUUGUUUGUUCCUUUUGCAAGAGGCUCAUGGAGGCGGACUCAUGGGACACUUUGGACACAACAAGACAUUCGCUACGCUCUCCAAGAACUAUUUUUAGCCCAAGAUGUUCCACGACGUCUCACGCUUCACCAACCGAUGCUCUACAUGUCGCAAAGCUAAGUCAAAAGCUCAAUCCCAUGGUAUUUACAUGCCCCUUCCUAUUCCUUAUCAACCUUGGGAAGACAUUUGCAUGGACUUUGUACUUGGUUUGCCUAGAAUCAAAAUGGAAAGGAUUCCGUGUUUGUUGUUGUGGACCGAUUCUCUAAGAUGGCUCAUUUUAUCCCAUGCAACAAGAUGGAUGAUGCUUCACAUAUUGCAAAUAUCUUUUGUAGGGAAAUCUUGCGCCUACAUGGAGUGCCAAAGACGAUUGUCUAGGACCGCGACGUCAAGUUCUUGAGUUACUUUUGGAAGACUCUAUGAGCCAAGCUCGGAAUCAAGCUCUUGUUCUCUUUGGCAUACCAUCCUAACCGACGGCCAAAUGGAGGUGACGGACCGAACACUCUCCACUCUACUACGCGUGUUGAUCUAGAGGAACAUCAAGGAGUGGGAGGAGAGCCUACCCAUCGCCGAGUAUGCCUACAACCAUGCAAGACAUUCGACUACCAGCAAGUCCCCCUUCAAGGUCGUCUAUGGUUUCAACCCGUUGACCCCAUUGGACAUUAUUCCUCUACCACUACAAGAGCGCAUCAACAUGGACGCGAGUGCAUGCGUGCAAUACCUCAAGAAGAUGCAUGAAGAUACAACGCACACCAUCGAGCGCCAAGUACAACGACUCGCGACCAAGCUCAACAUCAACAAGCAACCCAUGAUAUUCAACAUUGGAGAUCUUGUGUGGCUACACCUUCACAAGGAGCGCUUCCCCAACGAAUGCAAGUCCAAAGUUCUACCACGAGCCGAUGGACCCUUCAAGGUGCUUGAACGCUACAACAAAAACGCCUACAAGAUCGACAUCCCACGCGACAAGUACUCCAUGAGAGACAUCUUCAACAUCAAAGAUCUCUCCCCGUACCAUGGUGAUGAGGAUUUCCGAGGUCGGAUGUUUCCCAAGGGAGAGGAGAUGAUGCAGAGCAUCCUACAGUCAUCCCCAUGGACCUAUCAUCGUAUCACCAAGUGCCAACAGGACCUAUGACACGAGCACGAGCUAGAGCUCUCGAGACCGAGGUGACUUCCUUCCUUAGUGAUAUCUCAUAUGAUACACUUGAGACAUGGCUACUACCUAAGUCCGGAAUGUUGUGCAUGGUUAGGUACCGAGAGAACCCUCCCGAGGAUGCACAUGAAGAUGGUCAAGCUCCCAAGUCCACGGAUGAAGAGAACCUACGGAAGGAGACAAGAACAGCUCCCAGGACCCGGACAUCUGGCCAUGGCCCCGGACAUCCGGCCCCUGGAAGUUUCGCCCGCAGCCAAGGCCCAGCAACCAAGUCUACAGGGCCCGGACAUCCGGCAGCCAGCCCAGACAUCCAGCCCGUCGCCCCGGAAAUCCGGCCCCCAGCCCAGACAUCUGAACAAGUCAUCUAGGGAGUACAGAAGCUUGCCCCACUAGACCGGACAAACGGCCACGACCCCGGACACCCGGCCACUCACGACGUCCCGGACAUCCGGCCGACGCCCGGACGUCUGGACCAUUCUAUCCAGAGAGCUCCAAGAUGGCGCCAGGCCAGCUCGGAUAUCCGGCCCGACAGCCCGGACAUCCGGCACCUCGUGAGAGCCCGGACAUCCGGCCCGACGCCCGGACGUAAGGCCUUCCCUGUCUGCGCACAGUGUAAAGGGACGAGGCUCGUGUAGCCCUUCGCCCUCCUAGACUAUAUAUACUCCUCCUCCGCCCUCGUUCUAGGGUUAGCAUUGUGAUAGCUCAUAUUUGAGAUAGAGCUUUGCUCAUCCACUUGGUUACUUCUCCUCGGAGCUCACAACCUCUUCGGAGAAGAUCCCCCAAGCGGAUUCAAGACCCCAUCACGGGAAGACCCUUCAAGACCUCCUCACGGAGAAGACCUUUUGUAUCGUCCUUUGUUGACUUUGAAUCAUGUAUCACUCUUUGUGUUUCGAGGAUCUAGCACAUGUGUAAUCGAAUCUUAUUAGUUUCAGUGAUUCUCUCGUGUUUUCUCAUUGGGAUCCGCUCCUUUCGUGAAAGAUCGGGCAUCUAGGUUUCCACCCUACAUCACUUUUUCUCUUGUUUUGGACUCUAAUUUGCAUGAUUUGAAUGAAACUAAUCCAAACUGAUGAUGUUUUCAGCAGAAUUGCCAUGGUGUUGUUUUUUAGCAGAAAUCAAAGUUCUUGGAUUGAUCUGAAAAUUUAUGGAGAAUUUUUGUGGAAUAUAUAAAAAAUACUGGUGGGAAAAUAUACCCAAGGGGUCCACCCAGGAGCCACAAGCUCAGAGGGCACACCCACCCCUAUGGCGUGCCUAGCGAGCUUGUGGGCCCCCUGGACCUUAGGCAACCCUAACUCCGACUCCAUAUAUACCUAUUCGCCAAGAAAUAAAUCAAAGAGAAUGAUUCAUCACAUUUUACGAUACGAAGCCGCCGCCGCCUCCUGUUCUUCAACCUCAGAACAUAGUGGAUACUAGGGAUCAAGCCCUAACAAAAUUAACUCAAUUACAUGAUAAAUCUCAUCCAUGUCAUCACCGUCCAGCAAGCCUAUGAAGGAAUUACUCACUCCCGGCGGUGAGCAUCAUCAAAUUGGUGAUGGAGGAAGGUUGAUGAUGACGAUGGCGACAGAUUCCACCCUCCAAAGCCCCGAACGGACUCUAGAAUAUAUUUGAACCUAUUAUGUUUUCAUGAACAUAUUUGUGUUCUUGAUCAUAUCUUGCAAAUUAUACGCACCUAUUACGAGUUAUGAUCCGCAUACCCCAAGGUGACAAUAAUUGGGAUUCUUUCCGGUGAUUACCGUAGUUUGAGGAGUUCAUGUAUUCACUAAGGGUUAAUGAUUUGUUCUGGUUCUCUAUUAAAAUGAGGUCUUAAUAUUCCUUAGUUUUGUUAUGGACCCCGCUGCCACGGGAGGGUAGGACAAAAGAUGGCAUGCAAGUUCUUUUACAUAAGCACGUCUGACUACAUACGGAAUACAUGCCUACAUUACAUUGAUGAAUUGGAGCCAGUUCCGUGUCGCCCUAGGUUAUAACUGCUACAUGAUGAAUAUUGUCCAACAAAAUUAUCCAUCAUUGAUCCAAUGUCUACGAGCUUUUCACAUAUUGAUCUUUGCUAAGUUACUUUUGUCGUUGCUAUUGUUAUAAUAACUAUAGAACUAUUGUUGUUACUAUUGUUAUUGUUACCAUUACUAUCAUACUACUUUGUUACUAAAUAUUUUGAUGCAGAUAUUAAGUCUUUCAGGUGUGGUUGAAUUGACAAGUCAACUACUAAUACUUGCGAAUAUUCUUUGGCCUCCCUUGUGUCGAAUCAAUAAAUUUGGGUUGAAUACUCUACCCUAAAAAACUGUUGCGAUCCCCUAUACUUGUGGGUUAUCACUCGGUCAGCUGACGCCGCGGAUGCGGACUCCGGAGUUGGAGGCACGAGCUGCCCACCGCGAGAGGCAGAGGGCAAUGGAGAUGGCAGGUGGGUCCGAUGGGUCUACACAGUCCGCCCACCGGCGUCGGGUGCCCGACGAGGAGGACCGUCUCUUCGAGUAGGCGUGAUGUUGGUCACAGACUGAGGCGGAGACGGAGGCCCGACGGCUCCGGACGCUCAACGCCAAGCAGCUCCGGCUCGGCAUUGAGCAAUCCGAGCGGGAGGCGAGGGUGUACAAGCUCAAGCGCAAGCAACACCGCGUCAUCCAGCGCUUGCAAGGCUUCAUCGCCAUCUCCAAUUUCUCCUCCUCUGAUGGGUCCGACGGCUCCGACAUUGACCCACCUCCUGCCGCAGACUCCUAUAGUUGCGCCGGCGAUUGGAAAGGCAAAGGGCCGGCGAGGAAGUGGUGAAGAUCUGUCUUUGUUUCAAGUUUUUAGUUGUAGUUUGAACUUAUCCGCCAUAUUAUGUGUAUUAUGUGAACUUUGGCUAUCUUUCAAUGAUCCGGCUGUGAUCUUUUGAUGAAUCGAUUGUGCAUUUGUAUGUCCGCUCAUGGCCUACGUAGUUUUUAUCAACAUUGCAUGGUUUAGUAUGAAUAUAGAAGACGAAAUAUGAGAUAAGUGGGUGUGGAGAUGCAGAUAUAUGGAGUGCCCGGUCAGUGCCGGGCGCGUCCGCGGGCGUUCGAGGGGCCGGAUUUGCUGAGUCCGACUGUAGAUGCUCUAAGUGUAUAUGUUUUCUUUCCACUCACGCGUAGGCGGCUAGGUAAAGUCCUCGACUUCUCGUCCUCCGGAGUUCCACUAGGCAGGCCCUGGAUUCAUCCCCAGCGCCCUCGGCAUGUUGUUUUGACGGCUGAUGGUUGGGAGGAGAAUCUAGAUGUCUCUACUCCGGAUUGUAAUUUAUGUUUGGUCUUUGCCGCAAUUCCAUGAAGACGGUGAAGUUGGGGUCUCUCUCGUACAUGUGCGACCAUGAGAUCUUGUGGCAAACACUUCAGAUUGAUUAAAGUUCAUAAUGAUGACUACGGCUAUAUGAUGCUGGUCCUUAUAGGCACAUGCAUGAAGACUUUCUGAUUAUUAUUCAUAAGGUUUGGUCGGCUUUAGUAUGAGAGCAGCACAACAGCGCAUUGGCGGCUCUUUCUGGCGGCAACAUUGAUCGUUCGCUGAUCAAGAUACCUCGACGUAAUUUUUAUUACGCUUUGGAGUGCAUACUUCCUAUCAAUUUUAAAAAUUAUAAUGAAUGUGUGUCCUUUUGGAAUAAAAAGAGAGCGCAUUGAAUUGGGUGCAUUGCAUAUAAUUCCAUCUAGGUGUUCGAAGAGGUUCUAGCUAAACCGUCGGCAAAAGAAUAACUGGACUAAUUAAUUUGAUUUGGGACAGCAUUGCGUGAUUGAAUUUGAAAAACAGCAUGAUUCGGACUGGGUCGGAAUUGGAUCGUAGCUUCACGUAGCAGGUGUUGAGGUGCCAAAUCGUUCUCGCCGAAACGUAUUUUGCACCUAUUUUCUGGUCAACAUCGCCCAUCUUCCCUAAUUCAUUAUCUGAUAAGACCUCACCCCACCUAUUUCAUUUCCUGUCUAUUCUCAAUAAACGAAACAAGAAUGUUUUGCGUGUGUGGAUAUUUGGCCCCUUUCCAACCCAGUUCUUACAUUAUUAAAAGAAGAUGCAGUACCAAAAUACAGUGACGUGACAACGUCCAAGCAAACAUGGUAAGCCUGUCAAAAUGGCGCCGUCAAGUCUCCAAUGCAGCUUCGAUGUUUAAGCACACACCUUUUCUUUUCCAACUUGAACUAUUAGGGCAUGUACAAUCAUAGCCUCAAGGUAAUGCCUCGCAUGCCAUGUAGGAUCGGAUAUGACGUAAAGUAGGUUCGGAUAGAGAAGUAGGAUCCUCUCCAGGAGGCGGGUGCUUGAAGAGAAAAAGCGUGGUCCGAUGACAAAAGCUGAAAAGGUUGGAGUGAAAAGUAGAGAUGCAUGUGUACUAAAGUCUUUAUUUUUUAUUUCUUAAUAAGGCCCACUAGUGAUAGCUUGCAUUGGAAAGGAAAAAUUAAUGUAGAUGCUUCAAAUUAUUUUUUGUCAUGGGGCAUAUGUAUCCAUGUGCCACCAUUGUACAUUGCCUUUAGAGAUGUCCGAAGAAAAGAUGCCAGUGACUUUACGGAUUACGAUCCAGUCGAGAUCGAGCAUUGUAAGAUGGCCGCAUUUCGCCGUGUCGUAGGAUGGCGUAGCCAACACAUGCAAAGUGUCAUUGCCAAUUAACCCUAACCCUAGUGCUAAGUGCUAACGAACAGACACGAUUCUCGGAGAAUACUACUCACUGCUAGCAUGACAAAUGUGUUGCAAGAGCUACCAUUAUUCUCGUGCGUGUUGCGAUGUCUAGAUCAAUCAUCAUUUGGUAGGGGGAUGCUGUAGCUCCAAAGUAGUUGUCAUUUCCCGCGUAUUCUUCCCAUAUUUUUUGUUUCCCGCCAGGCCCACGGGGUUUUUCGACGAUGCUGCUCUCUCUAGUCUCUAGCUACAAAGUAGGCAUCAUGAAGUCGCCGGCUCUAUUUUUGAUGAUUAGCUGAUUAGUUUAAGCAACACAUGCGCCCCUCCAAACCACUAGUCUAAUCCCCCGCCUGCUCUGUACGGCAAACUGUUAGCAAUAUGGUUCUUUUUAUCAGCCAUGUGGCCUACUACUCGGUCCCUGUAAAAUUACUGCGUCACAACUCGCGUGGUGCCCGUGGCCUGGAAGCUCUCCAGGACGUCGACAUGACAUACACCCACACAACUGGGAAUAAAAGAAAAUGAUCUGGGAGCAGCUAGUAUUGCACUGUGCCCGGGCACUGACAGCACACCAUACUAAAAACAUUUCCAAGCAGACUCGCUAAACAAUUCUUGUGCUUGCAGAACCCCAUUACAAAAUCCCUUUGUGCAGAACCGAGAGAAGAUUCAUCGGCGACCGGGCGAUGGUGAUGCAGGCCGACAUGUCACCCACGCAGUUUUCCCCCGGGCUUGGCAGCAGCGGUAGUUCGUUUUUUCUGGUGGAAGCAACAAAAAUCCACCAGCCAGAACCAGGUCCAGCGGGCAGGAGUAAUUAACAAACAAACAGAUGCAGAUUACAGAUUACAGAUUACAGAUCGAUCGGCCCAAGAGGCGGUCACAUGGCGGCUCAUGUGCGCAUCUGCCGAGCACACAUGGUGUUCACUUCACCCUGGCUGGCUGCUCCUGAAUUGACACUGUGGUGUGGGACUGUGAGAUUUGGAGGAGCCGCUCGCUGCUCUCCCAUUGGCCGAUGUGUGCGUUUUCAUUAGCUGUGAUUCUCAAGAUAAGUUUAAGCAACCAGAGGGUGUAGAGAUUGGCUGACCGGAAGGGGGCAGCGGCUUAGGGACAAGAUUUACUAUGGGUUGCGGAUAAAGAUAGAAUUGAUCGUCACAUGCUCAGCUCCUGGAUCUCGAUGCGCGGAGGCUACGUCAGCCGCGUCAUGUACAUGGGGUUUAACACUAGUACUACUAUCGAAGAACACUGCUCGAUGGGCGGUGAAAUAUUUUAUUUAACUGUACUAUUGUAGCGUUUUUUGACCACUACUACUCCCAAGCUGUUAGUACUGACAGCUUAGCUAGUGAUUAACAGACUGUUUGACAGGUGGUCGGAUGGAUAUUAGGGUGCCGAGGAAUCGUGGUCGGUGAUGAGAUAGACGUACUAGCAACGUAACUUUCUCUUUUCUUACUUAAAUGGUAAUUUCUUACUGUUACAUAACUAAGACGUCUUAUGACAGUUUACUGUUUACAGAGAGAGUAGGAAAAGUUAUCACGUACUUACUAGCAGUAAAAAAAACUAAAAUCGUGUAUUGGCUACCUCAUGUCAUUGCGUCAAUUUGCCGAUAUGUUCUACCAUUACUCCCAAGUGGUAUUCCUCGGCUCACUGGUUUUAUUUAACAAAAUGUAAAACAUUUUAGGUCAUUGUUUCAUAAACAAAUGUAAGACGUUAAGUAUGUGUGUGUGUUUUUUUUCAAGAACGUCUUGAAACGAAAUAAGUGGUCUCCUACAUGAGCUGAGCUCACAGACCUGGCAACACCACUACACCAGACACCAACCAAACCUUGGCUACUCCAUCCAGAGCCGAGAAAAUACAAAAACCCAUCGCCAUUUUUUCAAAUCAAAAAAUAAAAGAAAGGAAAAAAAGCCCAAAGAAGACAUAAAUGAAUGCGCAGUCCACACCAAGAUCUCUCCACCCUCUCGUCCUCCCUUUUUCUCACCCGCCACCUCCGCGCUAUUAGUACCCGCGACGCCAUCUCUCCCCUCCCAACCCCUCGCCGCCACCACCCUCCGCCCCCCCGUCUCCGUCGAGUCCACCGGCUCGGCUCCCACCCACCCGCCGCUCAUCCUCCCAUCUCCUCCUCGCGAGGCGCGGACGCGAGGCUCGGCUACAGUAGGCGGGCGAGGCCGCGAGUCAUGGGGCCGGCGCCGAGGGCCGGGGGCGAGCCAAUGAAGCAGCGGGUGAACCGCUGCCUGCACCGCCUGUCCGACCGGGACACGGAGGCCAUGGCCGCCAACGAGCUCGACGCGAUCGCGCGCGGGCUCGACGCCGACGAGCUCCCGCUCUUCCUCGCCGCCGUCUCCGACACGCGGGCCACCGACAAGGCGCCGCUGCGGCGCCACUCGCUGCGCCUGCUCGCGCUCCUCGUCGCCGCGCACCCGCGCGACGCCGUCGCGCCGCUCGUGCCCAGGCUCGUCGCCGCCGCGCUGCGCCGGGUGCGCGACCCGGACUCCUCCGUGCGCGCCGCGCUCGUCGACGCCGCGCGCGCCAUCGCCGGGGCUGCCGCGCCCCCCGCGGCGCUCGUCCCGCUCGCCGACGCCGUGCUCCACGAGCAGGACCAGUGCGCGCAGCUCGCCGCCGCGCUCGCGGCGGCGGCCGCCGUCGAGGCCUCCGCCCCCAACGCCGACCUCGCCGACUACCUCCUCGCGCUCCUCCCGCGCCUCCUCAAGCUCCUCCGCAGCACCGCCUUCAAGGCCAAGCCCGCGCUCAUCUCCCUCAUCGGCGCCGCCUCGGCGGCCACCGACGGCGAGGGCGCCGCCACCGCGGUGCCCUGCCUUCGCGACGCGCUCGCCGGGGACGACUGGGCCGCCAGGAAGGCCGCCGCCGAGGCGCUGGCGCUGCUGGCCCUGGAGCACGGCGACGACCUUGCCGCCCACAAACCCUCCUGCAUUGCCGUCUUCGAGGCCAAGAGAUUCGACAAGGUCGGCCCCUUGUCCACCAUCGUCGAGAUCUUCUGCUCGUGGAUCUGCUUCUUCCUUGCUGACAUUUCUAGGCUUUUCUUGGCAAUGCAGGUGAAGAUUGUGCGGGAGUCCAUGAACCGGAUGAUCGAGGCGUGGAGGGAGAUCCCGGACGCGGAGGAGGAUGUGUGCUCCUCCGCCGCGUCGCCGGCCCAGACCAGAUCUCCUUCUCUCGCAGGUGAUGUGCCGUUUCUUGGCCUGCAGUGUAGCCACCAGUGUCCUUUUCAAAAUUUUGAGUAAAUUGUUCUCUAUUGUUUGGAUUUUGGACUAGUAGUAUAUCAAUAUGAACUUGUCUGGUAAUAAGACACAAGUGGAGUGGGUUCUGGUGAGACACUAGGCAGGAGAACAGUUCUUUCCUGGUACUAUAUGACAAAAGGAAAUUCAAAAAUGUUCCAUUUAAAUAUAUAUACGUAUUGUAGUACUAUUACAUAUGCAUACUCCAAUUGGGUUUUCCUGGCAUAUGAGUUCUGACACUGUUUUGUUUUGUAAUCAAACAGAUAGUGCAAGUGAUGGUCGAUACCCUGCUGAUUCCUUAGGCUCCAAUUCCGUCCAGUCAGUUACAAAGAGGAACAUGCUGCCGGCAAGCAGGUCACCGCCGUCAGUCAGUAACCGAAGGACCAGUCCUUCCAUCAGAAGCAAGAAGAGCUCGCCGCCUUCACACGGCGGCGAUGUGGACCAAGCCAAGAAAUAUGACUACAAGGUCGACGUUACCGGUGCAGCAGAUGCCACCCCGAUCAAGACGGUGACUGGGGAGAAGCUUCUGAAAGAGGGCAAUGUUAGAGCAAGGCUUGAAGCACGGAAGAUGCUGUUCCAGAAGAGUGGUGAAAAAGGGUACAAUAAGUUAGUCGGGCGCAAGUCAGGGUCUAGAGUUGUUCCAUACAACAACGAGGAUGGUGACUCGGAAGAGAGCACCGAGGUUGAGGAUGAUGGGCCGGAGGAGGUUCAGUCGGACCACUCCUCCGAGGAGCUUCAGUUGGUUCACAAAGAUGAAGACCUGUCCAAGAUCAGGAUGCAGCUGGUUCAGAUAGAGAAUCAGCAGACAAACUUGCUCGACCUUCUCCAGGUAAAUUUCUCUUGUUAUAUUCUGUGUCAUCUCUUUAGAACCCGAUGAAACUCUUAUUCAUUUGGAUCUUUGCAAGUGCUUCCCUACUGGGGUAGGUUGAUACAUCUCCAGUGUCUGACACGGGAUAAACUCGAAAAUAAGGCCCAACUUAAUAAAGAAAAUAAAAGAAAUAAAUGUAAAUGUAGUUACAUGUACUAUCUCAGCCCACCGAAUUUCAUCAAUAGUUGUGCAAGGGCAUCACAGUUAAUAGAGAAUUGGAUGGAGGUUUGAAUUUGAAGCUCACAUCAAACUCAAGACACAUUUGACGGUAACGGUAAACACUGGGGCGACCUCAUGCAUUCCCCCAAGUCUUCAGAAAACAUUGUGGAUGUUGAGCGGGACCGACAUUUGGUCUCAGUAUGUAGCAUUGACCAAUGAUUAUUGGUACGAAUCAUGCAUCCAUUCAAUGUGUCUUGAUGGCACUAAUCCAGUGGUACAUCAAGAUGAGCAGUAGCAUGGUAUGGGGACAACCUGGACAGACUGGUACAUGUCAUUUAGUGGCUAUAUGACAAUGUCUUAAUCGGCAGCCGUUGAAACUUACGGUCUUAUGUUAUUUUUCAUAUAACCCACCAAUAGUUUUUUUGUACUUUGUUCCUGCAUUUCCAAUCACCAACUAUAUUCACAGGUCACAUGGUAUAGAGGUAGCAUGUCUUCGGAUAUUGUAGCUUUUGCUGCUGAUUUAUAUCCAUCAUUUUGCAACUGUGUUCUGAAAUACUUCCAUAACUCUAUGCUUCCUGAAAACUCAUCCAGUAUUUCUCUCUUGUUGCUCAUCAGAGACUAGGAACACAUCUUUUUUCUUUUCCUUUUUUUUGAAAAGGAGGAUUUCCCCCGGCCUCUGCAUCAAAAUUAUGCAUGCAGCCAUUUUAUUGAUCUGAAGUUCCAAAACAAAGUCUCAAGUUCAAACUAGGAACACAUCUGACACUUUAAUUUGUCUUUGUUCAUCAGAAAUUCAUGGGGAGCUCCCAGAAUGGGAUACGUUCGUUGGAGACAAGGGUGAACGGUCUGGAAAUGGCACUGGACGAGAUCUCGCGUGAUCUGGCCGCCUCUUCUGGAAGGAUGCCAAGCAGCGAACCUGACAUGAACUGCUGCAUCCCGAGCCCAAAAUUCUGGAGAAAAAAUGAAGGCGGUAGAUACACUUCAAGGUACCCCGUCUCCGACCUAGCAAACCACCCCGAGGAGAGCAGAGCUUCUUCUAAGUGGGAGAGGCAGAAGUUUGGAGUUCAGGGUGGGUUCGUCACCAACCCAUUAGCAGAGCCAAACACCUCAUACGUAAGGAGCACGUUGGUUGCUCAGGAAGGCAGGAGGCAGAAUUCAGCCCAAUACAAGUCGAGGUAGGUAAGUCGAUCGACGCGAAUUCACCUCGCUCUUUGUAAGAAGUCCACAUGAUUAGAUAUGGUUGGUAGGCCAACCAGAUGUGUGCCGAUGACACCUUGAAACCUGACUAUAGCAUAUCAGAGUAGUCAAAUUCAUGGUACCAUACCCACACCAUGCAAUGCAUCUUCACAGAAUUUCCAAAUUCAUGGUACCAUACCCACACCAUGCAAUGCAUCUUCACAGAAUUUCCCUUUCAAUUAUGACGACGCUUCCUUUUCGUGCCGGCCCCACAUUUAUUAUCGAAUUUCCCGUUAUAACGCUAUCCUUUCUUAUCCAGCCACCUGGCAAUUGAUGUAUUUCCAUCGUGUCCAUUUUAUGCAGGACGCGUUAGGCGCAACAAAGAUGCUCCAUCUGAAGCCUGAAGCACCUGCAUCUACGAGGCGGGCGGGAGCAUCUGAAACAUGUCACUUCAUCACAUUCUAGGAGGCCUUUUCUUGUUUUCUCCAGAAUUCAAAGCUGAGUUUGUACAUGAAUUUAUGGAGUUCUUUUGCGAGUUGGUUCGACGAUUAAGAUUUCUGCGGAACAGAGCCUGGACUCUAAAGCAUGAAGACCCCCACCAGCCCCACUGCGAGGUGGGGACCGUUUGUAUUAUACCUCCGGCCCUGAGACGGCCCCUGCAGGUCUUGAGCUAUGCAUGUAUCUUGCACUGUUUAUGUACAUAGUUUGGAUACAGCAGCUCCUAUCUUCGCGAGAUGCAUUGAACAAAUGUUCUUGAGUAUGCUCUCGCUGAGAUCAUGAAAGCAAAAGAUCCAACAGUGCCUGUCCUUCGCCUGUGCUUCUGCCUUUUUUUCCUUUAUCUGUUACGUGGCAAAAAAUUGCAAGAAACUCUGUACUCUCUCCAUAAAGAAAGUAUAAGAGUAGUGAUCUAAAUACUCUUAUAUUUCUUUUAUGGAGGGAGUACGUCGUGUUGCCGGACGAACCAAGCCUACAUUUUGCAUCGCGCUUACUUGUAAUUUUGGAUGCAACAAUCAGGUGAAUCAGGUCCUUUUAGAUAAACACGUAUGUAUUAUAUAUUGCUCCUAAAUAUAAGUCUUUUUAGAGAUUCCAAUGCAGACUACAUACGAAGCAAAAUGAGUAAAUCUACACUCUAAAAUACAUCUAUAACAAGUACAGAGCUGACCAACAGCGUACAGCAAUAAAAACCAUGAAAGCCCCCGUCCACGUCCCAGUAUCAGUAUUCAGUACCAAACGCGAAAUUCAAAGCCCCCUGGCGUGCGUUUCAGCCAUCUCAGAAAAUGUGCACAGGCAGAAUUUGCAUAAAGCAGUCAUAUAGCAAGAAUCAUGUACCUAAACUGUCUCAGAUCUUGUCCACAAGGUUCUGUGAUGUCGCUACAAAACUCGGAUGCAAAAAGGGUAUAUACAAAAACUUGUGUUCAUAUAGGUUCCUAUCAUGAUAGCAUUGGCCGAUAUAACAUGCCACAGCUGUGAGCGCAAAAAGCUGGGAUAAAAGUGGAGGUGGCAGCACGUAGACAUCGAAGCUACUCCAAUAGCCUGCUCCGAAUUGCCUCAAACUUCCAAUUUGUUAAGCAAUAAUCACCAAGGAGAAAAUGAAGUAUAUGCACCCUUGCAGGUUAAAUGAAAGGCAGCAGUCAAAUAACUGAACCACAAUUCUCAGGCUGCUCAGAGGAAUGUCUCGACGAUCAACUUCAAUCCCUCACUGUAUGUCAACCAGAUGAACACAUAUGCAUGUGGAAGAGCAGGUGUUCCAGCAUAAUCAAGAUGCAACUGCCAACUACUCCAAGUAGAUCCUUCUCCAGUUAGUGGCAAAGCAGCGUAAAUGUACUGCUUCGACAUACUAU